rnacentral:lncRNA from 1 species
AUUUAUUUAUAUAUAUUCUAGGGAAACUUCAAAUACCCAUGUAAUUUCACACUUUCUCACUUUAGUACCUGUAAUUUAAUAUUUCGUUAAAUUAUAUACAAAAAACUUUAGAUACUCUCUCUAGGUUUAUCGAAUAUUUAUUUUAGUACCAUUUAGUUUUAACUUUAUCACUGAUUUAACGAAAAAAAUAUCCCAAAAUAGUUAACAAAAAGAGAAAAAUGAAACCACGGGAUAAUAACUUGAUACACUUUAAACCACAAGGUACUAAAGUGAGAAACUGUAAAAUCACAGGGUAGCAUUUGAAGUUUUCCCUAUAUUCUAUAUCUAUAUCUCUAUCUAUCUCUUACUAUAUACUAAAGAGGUCUUUGUGCUCUCACGUGUCUUUUGACUAUUUUUGUUGAAUCUGGGGUAUCAUAAAUCACCCUCCCAUUCUUUCUACCUAUAAUAUAUAUGUAUAUAGAAAGAGAGAGAGAGAGAGUUAAGCUAGAAUGCUAUCAGUAGUAAACGGGUUCCGUUGCCAUCCAUUUAUUUUUAAUGAUGGAGCUUCCAAAUCGAUGAUCGGUACCGUUGAAUAUGAUCUAUACCACUUGAAGUGUUUAGAAAUUAAAUUUCAAAUCUUUUCGACAUCAUUUGCCUAAUGAUCAAAAGGUUUCAAAAUUUGUAAUUUUAAUGGUCGAUAUGAGGCGUUUUCUUGUUUAACGGCGUAAAGAUAUCCAAAUCAAUUGAAUUUUUGUUAGAAAAUUCUUUAAACUAUUUAAAACAAGAUCUAUACUCUUGAUCUUGACUACAAGACUCAUAUCAUCAUUUUUUAAAAAAUAUUUAUUUUCAGCCGUUCAUUUUUGUGUCCACUCGAUGGAUAAGAGAACAAUAUCGAAAAUGUAUGAAAUUUGAUUUCUAAACACUUCAAGUGGUAUAGAUCAUGUUCAACGAUGCCGAUCGUCGAUUUGAGGCUCCAUCAUCGAAAACAAAUGGGUGAAACGAAGCCCGUUUGCUAUCGAUAGUAUUCUAGCUCAACUAUAUAUAUAUAUAUAUAUAUAUAUAUAGAACUAGGCUACUAUACUAUCAGUAGCACGGAGCGCUCCGUGCUACCAAGUUGUUUUUGAUGAUGCGGCUUCCAAAUCAACGAUCGGUUCCGUUAGACUUGAUCUACACCAUUGAAAGUAUUUAGAAACUAAAUUUCAUAAUUUUUCGAUAUCAUUUACCUAUCAAACAAGUAGUCUAAAAUUGAACGCUGAAAAUAAAAAUCUCAUGAAAAAUGAUGAUAAAAGAUUUAAAUUUAAGAUCAGAUAUACUGAUCUUACUCUAAAUAUGAAAAGAAUUUUCUAUAAAUUUUCAUCGCAUUUGAAUUGUUUUCAACCGUAACCUCACAAACACACCACAUCGGCCAUUAAAAUUGUCAAUUUUGAGAUCUUUCGAUCACUAGUCAAAUGAUGUCGAAAAAAUUUGAAAUUUAGUUUCCAAACACUUCAAUAGUGUAGAUCAAGUCUAACGGAGCCGAUCGUCGAUUUGGAAGCCGCAUAAUCGAAACAACUUGGUAGCACGGAGCGCUCCGUGCUACCGAUAGCAUAGCAGCCGGACUCUAUAUAUAUAUAUAUAUAUAUAUAUAUAUAUAUAUUAUAUAUAUAUAUAUAUAUAUAUAUAGGGUAAAUUGCAUUGUACCCCUCGAACUCCUAAAAUGGACAUCUAACACGCUAAACUCUAAUAUUUCGUUCAUAUUAUCCCUUCCGUCAGUUUUCCGUCAAGCUCCGUUAACCGAAAACUGACGGAAAGGGUAAAACGAAUGAAAUAUUAGAGUUUAGGGUGUUAGAUGUUUAUUUUAGGAGUUUGGAGGGUUAAGUGAAACCUGCCAAAACUUUAGGAGGUAGUAGUGCAAUUUACUCCGUAAGAGAUUCUUGACUAUAAAUUAUUUUAUUAUAAUAUGUUACUUAUGGAUUGACUACUAAUCCUCAAGUUAGUGAUUAUUCUCGAUUUUGAAUUUAUAUAUAUUUUUUAUCCUAAAAUAAAUCAUAUCAUAAUUUAUCCUACAUUUUAUUGUAAUAAAAUAAAAAUGAAAGAAAUGAAUUAGAGUGGCUUAAAGAUAAAAAAAAGAGCGAUACUAACUACCUACGAUGCUCGAACACUCUACUAUACUGUGUACUCGCUAAUAUGGUUGNAAAUGAAUUAGAGUGGCUUAAAGAUAAAAAAAAGAGCGAUACUAACUACCUACGAUGCUCGAACACUCUACUAUACUGUGUACUCGCUAAUAUGGUUGAUUUACAAUAAGUGUCCUCACUCGGAUAUAGAGAUUUUAAUUCUCAGUUAAUUUUUUGUAAUACUCGUUUGUUCCUUUUAUCUUUAGAACCAUUGCUCUAUAAAAUACACCUAAAUAAAAUUUUUAUACUUUAUUUCAGCCAAUUAGAAAUUUUUAAUAUAAAAAUAUAAAAAUAAUUUAUAAUAAAAAUUUGGGUAAAUUGUAUUGUUACCCCCUGAACUUUUGGCGAGUUUCACUUAACCCCCCAGACUCCUAAAAUAGACAUCUAACACCCUAAACUCUAAUAUUUCAUUCGUUUUACCCCUUCCGUCAGUUUUCGGUUAACGGAGCUUGACGGAAAACUGACGGAAGGGGUAACAUGAACGAAAUAUUAGAGUUUAGGGGGUUAGAUGUCCAUUUUAGAAGUUCGAGGGGUAAAAUGAAACUUCACCAAAAGUUCAGGGGGUGACAAUGCAAUUUACCCUAUAUAUAUAUAGAGUUUGACUAGGCUACUAUCGGCAGUAAACUGCUCGGUUUACUACCGAUUUGUUUUUUAUGAUAGAGCUUCCAAAUCGACGAUCGGCACCGUUGAACAUAAUCUAAACCAUUUAAAUUAUCUAGAAAUCAAAUUUCAUGAUUUUUUGGCAUCACUAACUGAACGAUUAAAGGGUCACAAAAUCUAUAAUUUUAAUGGCCGAUAUGGUGCGUUUGCUCGUUUAAUGAUAUAGAAGAGUUCAAAUCAACUAAAUUUUUGUUAAAAAAUUCUUUAAACUAUUUAAAAUAAGAUCUAGACUCUAUAUCUCAAAUAUAAAAAUUGUAUCAUCACUUUUUGAAGGAUAUUCAUUUCCAGCCAUUCAUUUUUUUGUUCACUUGAUGGACAAGAGAACAAUAUCGAAAAUGUAUGAAAUUUAAUUUUCAGAUAGUUUAAAUAGUUUAGAUCAUGUUUAACGUUGCCGAUCAUCAAUUUGGAAGCUCUAUCAUCGAAAACAAGUCGGAAGUAAACUGAGCCGUUUACUACCGAUAGUAUUCUAGCAAAACUAUAUAUAUAUAUAUAUAUAUAUAUAUAUAUAUAUGCUGGUAUACUAUCGAUAGUACAGAGGCCUCCGUGCUACCAAGUUAUUUUCAAUGAUGCGGUUUCCAAAUCGAUGAUCGGUUCCGUUAGACUUAAUCUACACUAUUGAAAGUAUUUGGAAACUAAAUUUCAUAAUUUUUCGGCAUCAUUUACCUAUCAAACGAGUAGUCUAAAAAUGAACGGCUGAAAAUAAAAAUCUCAUAAAAAAUGAUGAUAAAAGACUUAAAUUUAAAAUCAGAGGUACUAAUCUUACUCUAAAUAGCGAAAAAAAAUUUCUAUAAAAAUUUCAUCAGAUUUGGAUUGUUUUACACCGUUAAAUUCACAAACACAUCACAUCUAUCAUUAAAAUUGUCAAUUUUGAGACAUUUUGAUCACUAGCGCCAAAUGAUGCCGAAAAGUUAUAAAAUUUAAUUUUCAAAUACUUUUAAUAGUAUAGAUCAAGUCUAACGAAACCGAUUGUAGAUUUGAAAACCGCAUCAUUGAAAACAACUGGGUAGUAUGGAGGCCUCCGUGCUACCUAUAGUAUACCAAUCUAUAUAUAUAUAUAUAUAUAUAUAUAUAUAUAUAUAGAGAGAGAGAAGGAGAGAGACGAGAGAGAGAGAGAGAGAGAGAGAGCUAGGGCUCCUAUGCUUCGAAAAUACGAUGGGCCUCCGUGCUUGUAAGUUGUUUUCAAUGAUGGGAUGUCUAAUUAGGCGAUCAGUUCCUUAAACAUGACCUAUGUUAUUGGAACUAUCUAGAAACCAAAUUUCAUAAUUUUUCAACUUCGUUUGCCUAGUGAACGAGUAGCCUCAAAUGAACCGCUGAAAAUAAAAAUAUCAUAAAAAAAGUGAUAAAUGACUCAAAUUUCAAAUCGGAAGUAUUGUUCUUGCUAUUGAUGUUAAGUAGAAUUUUCUAUUAAAGUUUCAUGUAAUUUGGAUACUUCUACACCGUUGAACUUAAAAACGUGCCACAUCGGCCGUUAAAAUAGUCAUUUUGAGACCUUUGAUCGCUUGGUAAAUGAAGUCGAAAAAUUAUAAAAUUGGUUCUAGAUAGUUCCAAUAGUAUAGAUUAUGCCUAACGGAGCGAUCGUCGAAUCGGAUGUCGUAUCAUUAAAAACAACUUACAGCACGAAAAUCUCCAUACUUUGAAAGCACGGAGACCUACUUCUAUAUUAUAUAUAUAUAUAUAUAUAUAUAUAUAUAUAUAAAUAUAUAUAUAUAUAUAAUAUAUAUAUACACUAUAAAAUUUUAAAUUGUAUUGUACUUUCUUUCUUACUUAAUUUUUAUUAAUUUCAUAUCAUAACUUUCUUUUCUUUUUUUCCUCUCUUCGACAAAUAUGCAUGCAACUUUCCUCUCUCUCCCUUACUUUAAUUUUUAAUUUAAUGUUAUCUUUUUUUUUUUUUUUUUUUCCUUUCAUUUUUUUUUCCAAAACAAAAAAAGGAUAUUUGGAAAAAAAAAAAAAAAUAUUUAAUUGUAAAAUAAUUUUAAACUUGAAUUUAAUAAUUAUAUAUUUUUUAAAAUUUUAAAUUUUUAUUUUUCUACAUUAUGAGUAAAAUAUACUAUAUUUGAAAGUGCUCUCUCUCUAACUUUAAUUUUUAUGUAAUUUCUCUUCUCUCUCUCCAAAUAAGAGAUAUAUAUAUAAAUUAUAAUUUUUAUUUGACUCUAUUAAGUAACUUUAUAUAGUAUAUAGUAUAAUAAUUGUGAACUUAAAAAUCGCACCCACUAUAAGCGCGGGUACAUUGCUAGUAUCUAUCUAUAUACUAAAGCAUUCUCCAAUAAUUGACAUAUAUCUCCUGCUGUAUAUUCGGUGCACCCGGUACACCGCAGAUGCACCAUAAUACUAUAAAAAAAUAUUAUUUUAUUUUAAUAUACAAAUAUCUAAAUUUUAUAUUUUUUAAUAUAUAGAUAUUUAAAGUACUAAAAAAUAUAUUUAAUUAAUUAAAUUUUAUUUUAAAAUUUUAUUUUUGACAUUUCAUAAACAUACACUAGGGUGCAGGCAAUAAUUUUCAAUAAAAAUUCUAUAUACUAAAAUGUGUGGAGCACUCUCCUAUAGUUUAUCCAUGUACCUGGCUAUAUAUUUGAUUCAUCCGGUACACAGCGAAUGCACCACAAUACUAUAAAAAAAUAUUAUUUUAUUUUAAUAUAUAAAUAUCUAAAUUUUAUAUUUUUUAAUAUAUAGAUAUUUAAAGUACUAAAAAAUAAAUUUAGUUAAUUAAAUUUUAUGUUAAAAUUUUAUUUUUGACAUUUCAUAAACAUACACUAGGUGCAUACAGAAGAGGAAUUGUUUGUAAACAUAUGUCCAUUAUACUGGUGCACCCGAUGCACCAUGAAUCCAAUAAAAAAUAUAUUUUUUUAUUUUAGUGAAUAUAUUUUAAAUUUAUAAAUAUUAAAAUAUAGAUAUUUUAAAUCUAUAAUAGUACAACGUUCUUCUAAAAUAAUAUAAUUUUAUCUUAACAGUGCAAUUCUAUCUUUUUUUUUUUCUUUUCUAGUUCUUCUUCUUUAUUCUAUAGUUUUUUAUUUUCAGUUUUUUUUUUUUGUUUUAAGUAAAGAAAAGUGCUUGAUCAGAGAUGCUCUCGUGCACCUCCACCCUCCUCGCCUCCGAACUCACCGAGGCCGCACUCUUCGGUGCUCUCUGGGAUGCCGCGCUCGCAGCCGCCCCGCCCUCUUCUCCGGCGUCGUCGCGCUCUCCUCCGUCUGCACCUCGCUUGUCGCCUGCCUCAGGUGGGCGCGGUGGGUCGCGUCUCGCAUGCCCCCUCCCUCGCCAGCGAGUUUUUUGAUGCCGAGAAGCGCUUCCUUUACGUCAUUAGCAGUGGUGGUGAGGACGGCGGGUUUCCAGAAGUGGGUUUGGUGGGUGAAAAGUUUACUGCAGUGGAGAUGAAUGUAGAGGUGGGUCGCGAAAGGCCACGGAGACGGUGGAGGAGAUUUAGAGAGAAAAUAAAGAGAAUCGUGGCGCAGUCUCGGCGGGAUCGGAGGCGAGGAGGGCGGGGGAUGAGCGAGCGCGGGCGAGAGCACAUGGGGCGAAGGCGAGGAAGGGUGUCCCAAAGGGUGGCGGCGAGCACGGUCUUGGAAGGGUCGAAGGCAAUGAGGGCGGGUGGUGUGCGGACGCGGGUGAGAGCUCGGGGUGCACAAGGGAGGCGAGCCGCCUCCGCCUGUACCUCCGCCUCUCUCUUCGUAGAGAAAAAAAAAAGAAUGAGAGAGAGAAAAAAAUAAGGGCAUUUUAGUUAAUUUUUAAAAAAUUCAAUUCAAAUCUAUAAAAUUGAAAAAACGGUUCAGUUUUGCAAAAGCUCAAAACUUGUAAAUUUUUUAUAUAAACUGGCCUAAGAAAUAAGGCAAACCAUCCGCACUUUAUCUUUUUUAUUUUUCAUUUUUUCAUCGCGCCGCUGAAGCUUUGUUUUUGAGACGCUGGUGGUGGCGCGAGGGUUCCGGAGGCUGCCAAAAACAAAUGGCCAGGAAGUACUUGCAGAAAAGGAGUGCACAUGAGAAAGUAAAUUUCCUUCUAACUUCAUGUUUAGGAUUUUUUUAUGCACGGACUCAUAUUGUCGUUGAUUUUUAGCAUAUUAAUUCAUACAAUUCGAUAUAGACGGUGCAGAUUAAUUUUAUUAAAAUUCAGUUGCAGUAUCAACCCCAUACGUAGUGAAUCCUAAACAUGAGCAUGCAACAACACGUAUUUUUCUAACUAAAAAGUUCAAUACAAUAUUUAGAUAUUUAAAAUAUUUAUAUAUUUUAAAAUUAUAUUUAACUAUGUCGAUUUAUGAAAAAAAUAUUUCACCAUUGAAAUGAAUUUGUACCCCUCUCUCUCUCUGUCCUGGAGCAUAUUUGUAACUUCCAUCCAACUUGCAUAUAAUUUUUUUUUAUUUUUAUUUUUAUUUUUUUGCCUUAGUUUUUCAUUUGUUGUGUAUUGCCCGUAACAACAACUAGUAGAUCCGAUCUCGUACGCAAAUGGAGUAAAUUAUAUUGGAGAUCCUUUACUUCUUACCGAAGUUACAGUUUAGUCCCUGGGCUACUCGCUUUUCAAUUUAAGACCUUAACAUUUUAAUUAUCGUACUUAAGUCCUUAAUCUUUUACCUAAAGUAUUGGUUGAGGCCUUAAUAUUUUUAUAUUUAGAUUUUUAUUUACUUGUUAUGAUUGUAUUGCGAAUCAAUCAUCACUUCUUUUGUUUUCUAAAGAGAAAACGAUAAAAUGAUUUACCGCUUUUUAAUUUUUAUUAAAAAAAUAUUCAAUCUUCGUCUUUUAGUUUUUGGAAUGCGCUGAGUUCGACAAAAUAGGAUUAUUUUGGCCAAAUAAAUACUUUAAAAAAUUAUGAGGUUUGAAAAUUUAUUACUUAAAAAUCAAAUAAUUUUAAUAAUUUAUAGUAGAUACAAGGUGAUUAUGAUGUAGUAUAUGGAUCAUACUUGUGCACCAGUUGCAUGCAAUAAUUUGUCUACACCCUAGAAUCCCUCGGCUGAAAAUUUAUGGAGACCCCCUCAACUGUUGCCUAAUUUGAACGAGAGGCCUCAACUUUUAUUUUGCUUUUUAGUGCAACCCCUUUAACUUCUUUUUUUUUUUUAAUGUGGUUACUAUACUUAAUUAAGUUAAAGAAAUUUAUUUAAUGUAAUGAUUCUAUUAGUCGUUAUCCAUUAAUGAGUCUAUUCUUAUUUGGUUAAAAAUAAUUAAUACUAUUAAAUUUGAUAAAAAUUAUUAACAAUUUGAAAAUAUUUUAAAAACUUUUGACUAAAAUUAGAUAGUUCCAAAUAAUCAAAAGUUGGAUAGGUGUCAAUAAAAAAAGGAAAGGGUUUUAUUUUUGCUUUUAGCCCCCUCAGAAAAUCUUUUUUUCACAAAUAGCUCCAUAAAAUUUAUAUUGUAAGAUUGGCCUUAUUUCUGCAACGCAAGCGCCACGCGAACGCCACAUGAGCGUGGCCGGUUAAGUUGAACGCAAUGAGCCACUCACCCAUAUUUGGACACGGUGAAUGAUUCAAUAUGUUCUUUUAAUAUUUUACUUAAACCGUAUCCUUUUCACAUUAAGUUAAAUUGAAAACAGUGAACGAUUCGCCGUGUCCAAACAUGGUGACUAGUUCACCGUGUUCAACUUAAACUCUUGACCAUAUGACCCAUCUUGUAAAUAUAAAGUUUAUAGGACUAUUUGUGAAUUUUUUUUAAGCGGGCUAAAAGCCAAAAAAAAGUCUAAAAAAUAAUAACUGAGAUAGUAAUUUCAGAAUAGCUUAUAGUUGAGGGGUCUCUAUACAUUUUUAUCUCGAUCCUUUUUUGCUUUUCUGAUUAGCACCUCCACAACUUUUAAAUUUUUUGAAUCAAGUACUUUUAACUAAGUAUUAAAUUAAAUUUUUCAUCAAAUUCGUUAAUAAUUUCAGAAAAUUUAUGGACUUUAAUCACCUUUUAGUAAAUAGAUUUAUUAAUUUGAUAAAAUUUUUAAUAUAACUAAGUAUAAAAAUCUAAAUAUAAAAAUAAAAAAAAUUGAGAGGUCUCCGUAGCAGAUGAAACACGUAUACAUAUCUCUAUAGCGAAUAUCGGGGUGCAAACGGGUCGGGUCGGUCGCAUUCAGAGUCAAUUUUUAUCUUUUUUUUUGGUCCCCAUGAAUCGUUUUAUUCGAGGCGGGUCCUUUUACCCUCUGCUCUAUUUUCUUGAUGGAUUAGGGGGAUGCGGGCCGGAUUAUUUUUUGAAUUAAUUUCAUACAGAUCCCUAUAAACAUAAGAAAUUAUAAAUAUAUCUCUACAAACUUCAACUUUUAUAUAUUAUUUAUGUAAAAAUUCUGAUAUUUUCAAAUAUGUCCAUGUUGUUAGAAUUUAUUAGAAAAAAUUAGUUAACCAAAGAUAAAAUACUUAACCUUAGUUAGUUAAUGAGGUAAAUUGAUCUUUUUCCUUCUCUUUAAUUAAUAGUUGGGAUUUUUGGAGGAUUAUAUUUGUGAUGCUAAAAAAGUCAUUUUAUUUAUAAAAUAAAUAAUAUUUUAACAAUAACAAAUCGGAAGAAUAUACUUGAAAGCAUUAGGACUUUUAUAGAAACAAUAUAUAAAAAUUAAAUUUUUUAGGAAUAUAUUUGUAAUUCACUAUAUAUGCAGGGACCUGUAUGAAAUUAAUCCCUUUUUUUUUUAUUUUUGGUCUCUGCUUACAUCCUCAUUUGGGGGCGGAUCGGGAUGGAAGAUCCGACAACCUGGAUCCAUUUGUAGCCCUAACAGCGAGAGUAGUCCGAACGCAUCAAUUAGCAUAUAGCCCAAAGGGUGAAGAAAAAGAAAAAUUAAAAAAAAAAAGAAAAAAAAGACAAUCUCUCUCUCUCUCUCUCUCUCUCUCUCUCUCUCUCUCUCUCUACGCAAUCCAAUCCCCCUCUCUUUCUCUCUCCCUCGCCCCAAAGAAACCCUCCUCCUUGGAGUUCUCUCUCUCUCUCUCUCUCUCUCUGUCUCUUCCUCUUCUGGGUGAUAGGAUCUUCUUUAGGGUUUUUUUUUAUGCUCCGAUCGAUCGCCGCCGCGUGAAUACGCAUGCUCUGCAGGUGAUAAUCAGAUUGGUUUGUUGAAGCUAUUUCCGAUUUUUCGUUGGUAAAUAGUUCUUUCUAGUACGUGAAUUAGAUGAUGUUGGGUAGAGUUUAGAAUUGAUUGUAAAUUUCAGAUUGUGCAAAAUUUCGCUAUUAGAACUCGUAGUUGCGAGUUAAUUUGCAAGUAGUUGAAUUGCGAAUUGCUGAUGUGCAACAAAGAGAACAAGAAUGUGAAGUUAGGGUACUUGAAUUAUCUGUUUUUCUUCUUUUUUUUCUUGUUUUUAUUAUGUUUUAUCUUUGUCGGAGACGGCUAUAUGUUCUUGGAAGCUAAGAUUCAUUCUUCCUUUCUGUAUCAUGCAUGUCUACAUAUGUAUAGUUUAAAAGUGGAAUUAGAUAGUGAGUCAAAGAACAAAUUAGGGUUAUCGUUUUGGUAUAUAGAACAUAGUAUUCGAUCACAAGAUGCAAAUAUUGAAGAAAAGAAGUUGCUUUGGAAUUUUAAAUUGGCCAACAAGAAAGCUUUUUUAUUCUAGGAAUCUAGGGAUACAUAUCUGCAACUAAGAUACAGCAAUUGAGGUGUUCUUCCUAUAAAGUUAGGGGCUUUCUUUUAUUUCUACUCUUCUUGCACCUUCAUGGUUCAGCAAAUUGUCUUCCCUCAGUAACCAGGAGAUAGAGUUUCGAGCAGAUUGGGGAUGUUAUUAGAGGGAUGGACUUAGAAGAGACCAUAUAUGCUUAUGCUUAUGAUUAAUGUGAUAUCGUACUUCUCUUUCUGAUUGAGAGGGGCAGGUAUAAUGAAUAGCGUUUUCGGAGAUAAAAUCAGAGUUGGUAUGACUGGUCCUGCUGUGCACUGGCUAUAUGAUAGUUUACAUGAUAUGUUGUUGACGUAAAAUUCUUGUGUAUUGUAGCUCGUUACAUAGCUACUUUCUGUAUCAUGGAUCUAACUUUGUUGUUCUCAAAGGUUUGAUAGCAUGACUUGUGGUUGAAACUCAAAUAAUUCAUCAAUGAGGGGGUUUAAAGUAUGUCACUUGUGUAUUUACACUUUUAGACAAUAUUGGCUUCUGAGAGGCCUUAGAGAUCUCGUGUGAUCAUUUUCAGCAUGAUGGAAAGGUCUUAAAACUAUGUUAGCUCUUGUGUAAGACUCGCAUCUUAAAUAAUUAUAUCAAAAUAAAAACUUCACACUGAGAGCUCUAGGCUGAGUUAGGACCUACUUAACUUCGUACAUGUAAACUAUUUCCCGUUCGCACUUAAUGCGUAAAUAAUAUCAUGCUAAGGUUUCCAUCCAAAGUUUUUUAAAUUCGUUAGUGUUUGUUAUUUAGGUGAAUCACUAUAACUCUAUAAGCAAGCAACCUAAUUUGAUCAAACUGACAUGUUUGAUAAACUGCAUAGUGGACGACUAAACCAAACAAACUAAUUUGAUCAAACUGACAUGUUUGAUGAACUGCAUAGUAAAUGACUAAAUUAGUUUAGUAUAGGAAAUCAAGAUUUCGUGAAGGUUAUUGAUUAUCAUAUAAACUCUGAUUGCUUACUAUUAGCAAUAUCUAAACUUUAUUUUCCACACAUCCUUUAUUUUUCGUGAAGGUUAUGGAGAGCUAUUGUGCUUUGUUUUUUUGUUUUAUUCUCAUCUGAUGCUUUAUUCAAGCUCAAGUUGCUCUGCUUAUAAAUAAUUAUUGAUGAAAUUUUAUGAAGGUUAGUUGAAAAUGUGGUGACUUCAAAAGAUCUGUGGGAACCUUUAGUUUAUAGAUUCCUGGCUCCUCUAUUUUUUAGGCCACCUUUGUACAUGGGCUAAUUUGCAGAUGGCUAUAAACUACCAUUUCACUGUGUAAUAGUUGGUUUUUGAACUCCUUAAAUUCACUCAGUGUGAUCUAUUUCACCCCUAGAAUCAUGCACAAGGAGGUUAUAAAAUAUAUUGUUUCCCAACAAUUAAAACAUCCAAACUAUGGAUAAAUAGCUUUUCUUUGAAAGAUUUGAGAGUCACUGUGCAAGAUUUAAGUCGAGCUCUUUGGAUUGAAGUGUUGCAUCUUCAGUUACUCUCCUUCAAGCAUCAAAGGAUUGGGGCAUGACACUCUGUGGUUCCUCAAGUGGUUUCGUGCACUUGAUGGCACAUCCAUGUGCUGCCCGCAUGCUACUACGUUCCACCAGCACAAUUUUGAUUAUUUAGUUAUUCUUUAUCACAAGGCAAUUUUAUACAAGUCGACUUCUAAAUAUAAGAUUACAAGUUGGAAGCAUCCCAUCUUUGCUAAUAGUGAUUCCAAUUACAAUGAUUAAAAUGACAACAUAUAUUAAAUAGCGUACAAAAGGCAAAAUCAUUUUUUGAUGUUUUUAUCAGUAUGUAAACCUAGGGAAAGUCAAUAUGACACUUGAAGCUUGUUUUCUUUCAAUUGUAAAUUACAGCAGGCCUUUUACCUGCUAAUAUAGAAACUACAGAACCUUCUUUGCGAAUGGAUGUCAGUACAAGUUAACUUACUGGAACUUGUAGAUUAAAGUCUGAUUUUGACUGUUCAUUUUUAUUUCAUAUUGAUGUUGUAGCAAAACUAUCUACUGCGACAUAUUGUUGAUCUUGUUGGGGAGCUUUAGACAAAAAAAUAAAAAUGCAUCCUCUAUUACUAUAUAAUUGAAAACGCUGAAAUGCACUUAAUUGGUUUCCAUCUAGCAUCUAAAACAAUGUUUUCUUUGACAUUCAGAUGAUCAGGUUGUGGCAUGGACUGGAGACCUUUAGCUGGUUUGAGAUCUUGUGAAAAUGUCCUCUUCUCAUAAGGGUGCAUUAUUUGCUCCCCUAAAAUUUAAAUGGCCGUGGAGAACUGAAUCACCUCUGAAUACUCAAUUGCUUAUUGAUAUUCCACCUGAGAUAGAAUUAUCCGAUUAUCGAAAAUUACCAAGCUCUGGCAGCGAGAGCCCAUCUAGCCUUCUUAAUGGUGAAGGUCUAAAGGCCAAGCCAAUCACUGAUUUAGAUGUGUUCUUUGAAAGGCUUUAUGAUUACUAUUGUGAAAAAGGUCUAUGGUGCAUCAUAGUUAAGUGGAUAGUAGAGAUACUCUGUGUCAUUUUCAUGGUAUGUUUUAUUGGUUUUUUCUUAUUAGUCCUUGAUUGGAAUGCUCUACGACAUGCAAAGUGUGGGAUAGAUGCCGUUGAGGCAGGAGAAAAGCCUUGUGAUCUGGCAAAGUUCAUUAAGAAGCAACCAUUAGUUCCCUUCACGUUUCCCAAAAUGGUUAUUGUGGGAUGUAUGGUUAUAUUGACAUUAUAUGGGUUUCUCAACUUUCUCAAGUUCUUUGUACAGUUACAGAAUACAGUGCAAAUUCGCCGAUUCUAUCAUAACUGGUAAUGCUUCUUUUCUACUGUUGAUACAUGAAUGGCUAUUCCUUUUCAAAUUGUUAAGGACUAUUAUUAAUUUAGAGCCACUGCUUUCUUUUCCCUCUCUUGCACAGUCUACAUGUUACAGAUCGUGAGAUACAGAUGACGGCCUGGCCAAAAAUUCUGGAGAAGGUUGUUCGACUACAAAGGUCACAACAACUUUGUGUUGUCAAGGAUCUAUCUGAACAUGAUGUGGUAAUGCGGAUAAUGCGCAAGGAAAACUAUUUAAUUGGUAUGCUUAAUAAAGGAAUCCUCUCCUUUCCGAUUUCUUGGUGGGUCCCAGGAGCUGGUCCAGCUGUCAAUUCCCGCAUAAAUGGAAGGAAAAAUCAUUUGAUACUCCCAAAGACUCUCGAAUGGACAUUAAAUUGGUGCAUAUUCCAAAGCAUGUUUGACAGGUAGGAAUAUACUUUUGAACAUCUAGUUUCACUUUCACAUUCACUAGGUUUAGUGCCUCUUUUUUGUCUGGAGCUUCUCUAGAAGUGUUGUGUGAUUAAAUUUAGGUUUAGUGCCUCUUUGUUGUCUGGAGCUUCUCUAGAAGUGUUGUGUGAUUAAAUUAUUAGAAAAGGCACUAACAUGCCGCCUAUCAAAAUGGCCCCAACAACUUCAUACUGCUGUAAAAGUAGAAAUUUUCAGUUAGAGCUUUUGCUUUUGAGGCCUAGAAACUCAUUGCAACUUACUAGUGCAGCAGAAGCUUGAGUUUUUCCUUGCCAAACAUUUUAAUGCUACUUCUCUGUGUAGAGAAUCUACUCUUGUAGCCAGGCCAAAUUGGGAGAUAGUCAUUGUGCAUGCUGAUUUGCCAUUUCUAUAGUGCUCUUUAUUUCUUUCAACUUCAUCAGUGUGAGUUUCGCUGUUGUUAUGUUAGUGUGGACUUGUAGAAUUGAUGUGAACAUUUGAUGAUGUAUGCUUGUGUUGUGCUUAGCUAGUUUGGUAGAAGUAUUUGUUCUACUUGAUGCGAAAGUUGGUUUUCUGACAUCCCCUAUGGGUUCAGAACCAAAAAUAACACGAGGUUUUGUUGUACCAAUUAAAAUCUGUUCAGAACAAAAAAUUGUAAACCGGUAUUGUUGACCAUAUCCAAAGAGCCAAACAACAUAUCAACCUUGCCUUGAUCAAGAGAACGGAAGAAAAGGUUUCAUGUAACUUAUCACUCCUAAUUGGAAUUGAGAGGCUCUAAAAUAGCCAUUAGUUGUAGGCUGCUGCUGCUGCUAACUUCUUGUAUGUCGAUGAUGCUUUUUAGAAUAUCUAGUUCUAACUAGCAUACAUAGAUAUCUAGUACAAUACUGAGCUAGAAUGCUUUCGGAAGCACACACUCCUUGGUGCUUCCACUUUUUUGAACUAUACAUCAGCUUUAAGAGCUGUGCUUCUUGGCUCUGCUUUUGAGAUCUCUGCUCACAGGCUUCAAAAUGUGCAGCCGAUGAAGCACAUCAAUCGCUAAUUUCUAGAUAGCGGCAGGAUCUCGAACCAAUCAGAAUGCUCCAAAAAUGGCAACAUCAGCAUGUUGCAUCCAAAGCAUUCUAACUCGGCUACUUCCUUGUUCUCUAUAUUAAGAGCUUGCUCUCAUAAAAGUGAUCGUUUGAUUCUCAUGUUUGAUCAUGGAUUCGAAUAUUUUUUGUAACCUUAUCAGCAUUAAGUUCAUGCCAAAGAAAGAUUAGUAAGCUAUUAGUAUAAAAAAUAUCGUGAAUCAUGAAGAAGUAAAAUUCAUCAUGAUGGUGUCACAUGUUUGGACUGAAUUACUUGUUACUCUGACUUAAUAGUUGAUUAGUACUUUGUCACCUUAUUUGUCUGUAGUAAUAUCAAUGGUUUCUUUAUAUGUUCUUUGGUUUCUUGUUCUAAUGCACAAAAGUUUCCUUACGUCAUAAAUUUUAAACUUGAAACAUGAAAUUUAAAUACUUGGCUUUACUACUGCUGCAUUUAAGAAUGCAAUCAUCCCUUUUUGUCUUUUACAUCAAUCACUUUCCAGUUAUCUUUUGGAUGAGAGCUCGGUCCUUAUUCUAUGUCCUCUUGGACAAAUUGUGAUAGUAUUUUUUUUUCUUGUGCAGAAAAUUCUGUGUUCGGAAGGAUUUCCUCACAAACCCAUCUUUACUUAGAAAUAGGCUUGUGUUCCUUGGAGUAGGGAUGCUCCUCAUAUCACCAUGUCUUGUUAUAUUCAUGCUGGUAUAUCUAUUCCUAAGUUAUGCUGAACAAUUUUACAAUCACCCAAGCACUGCGUCAUCUCGAAGGUGGUCAAACUUGUCAAAAUGGAUCUUGAGGGAGUUCAAUGAGGUGCUUAUCUGAAGAUUAACUUCAUUUACUCUGUGAUUGCUUCAUAUCUUAUUUUACUAUUUCUUUAGAGAUGAUUAAAUCUCUGUAGGCUGUGGUGUGCUGUGUUUUAAUGAAAGUGUAGAAGGCCAAUCUUAUAGAUGAGAAAGGCUUGAAUGAUGGAGGACUCAUAUAUAAGUUGAUAACUUGUUUCACUACUUCUCUAGGUGUUCAGAUGUUUAUUUACACAUAUUUUAGUUGAAAGUUUGUUAUAUGUUCAAUUUACAUUAGUCCCAUCUAUAUAAAUUUGUGACCAUGGAAGUUCUACUUUUUCCAUUAAAAUUUCACAAUAGCUUUCUGCAGAAAUAAAGCUUUGAUUUGAGCUUCUUCUUCUAUGGUCUGGAAGUUUAUUUGCAUUUUCUACUUCCUAAUUAAUCUUAUUAUGUUUCCACUUUAUAUUCAGGUUAACCAUUUGUUCAAACAUCGGCUUAACAACAGCGCAGUCCAUGCCUCAAACUACUUGAAGCAAUUCCCAUCUCCUCUUAUCUCCAUUAUUGCAAAAUUUAUCUCUUUUGUUUCUGGUGGCUUUGCCGCCAUUUUAAUCAUCGUAGCAGUCUUGGACGAAUCUUUGCUAGAGGGACAUGUAAGUCUGUUACUUUGUCUAUCUUGUUAUUAACCUGCUGAAGUAGUAUGUAUAUAUCCAUGCGGAUUUAUCAUUUUACAUAUAUACCAAUGUUAAACCUAAAUAUUUUUAUAUGCCCUUCACUCAAUUUCUCACCUAUAUAAUAUGAACGAAAAUACUCUUUAAAUUUUUUUUUUCUGAUAUAUAACCAACUCUCCCCAUGAAUCCGAUGCCCCUUUUUGAGAUUUUAUAGAUUUUUAUCUGUAAAUUGAAAAUUUUGCAGUUUAUGGCUGUAUAUCUGUAUAUAAGAUAUGUUCCUGGAAUAUAUAUGUAAAAGCCCCAUCAUGAUAAAAGUUGGAACUUGUUAAUUUUAUUACAAUAUUAAAACCACAGAUAUUUGGCCGGAAUUUGUUCUGGUAUGCUGCUGUUUUUGGGACGGUGACAGCUAUAAGUCGUGCUGCUGUGAGUAAUGAGCUCCAAGUUCUUGAUGCUGAGGGAGCAAUGACCCUUGUUGUCCAGCAAACUCAUUAUAUGCCGAAGAGGUGGCGUGGCAAAGAAAAUACUGACUUAGUGCGAAGAGAAUUCGAAACUUUAUUUCAGGUGAAGUCAUUUGUUUUUUAUUUAUAUUGUUAAUACAGUAUCCUUUUGAGAAUGUAUUAGAAUAGCGCCCUAGUUCAAUGGUUUAACGGAGCAUCAGUUUACUAAACUUGAUACUAGCAUUCUCUUCUUUUAUAACUCUGAGAGGGCACUAGUACAAUUUAUUUGCUAUUUAGUAUUCAACUUUGUGGAGUUGUUCUUUCUCACAUUGUUGAAAAGCUUCUAGAUUUUUUUGGUCAUCAAGAAUGGCCAGCCAAAUAUUAAACAAAAGAAGCUUUCAACAGAAAACUUGUAUUUUUUUUAUAUUGCCGCAGUGAUAAUUCAACUAAGAGUUAAGGAAAUUAUGCUUCUAUGGAACCAAAUAUAUAUAUAUAUAUAUAUAUAUAUAUAUAUAUAUAUAUAUAUAGAGUUGAGCCGAUAGCAAACGGGCUCCGUUGCCACCCAUUUGUUUUCGAUGAUGAAGCCUCCAAAUCGACGGUCGGCGCCAUUGAACAUGAUCCAUACCACUUAAAGUGUCUAGAAACCAAAUUUCAAAUCUUUUCGACAUCAUUAGCCUAAUGAUCAAAGGGUUUCAAAAUUUGUAAUUUUAAUAGUAGAUAUGAGAUAUUUUCUCGUUUAACAGUGUAAAACUAUCCAAAUCAAUUGAAUUUUUGUUAGAAAAUUCUUUAAACUAUUUAGAACAAGAUCUAUACUCUCGAUCUUGAUUAUAAAAUUCAUAUCAUCACUUUUUAGAGGAUAUUCAUUUUCAGCUGUUCAUUUUUACGCCCACUUGAUAGACAAGAGAACAAUAUCGGAAAAGCAUAAAAUUUGAUUUCUAAAUACUUCAAGUGGUGUAGAUCAUUUUCAACGGUGCCGAUCGUCAAUUUGGAGGCUCCAUCAUCGAAAACAAAUUGGUGGCAACGGAGCCCGUUUGCUAUCGAUAGCAUUCCAGCUCAACUCUCUCUCUCUCUCUCUCUCGCUAUAUAUAUAUAUAUAUAUAUGAAAUCUCUUCCAACCAUGGAUUUAAGUGUCAUGGCACAGGAUUGUGCAAGAACUUGCUGGCACAAUAUUACAUGCUUGUCAUGCUUGGGGAUGUCAAUGGUAUAAAUACCAGAAUUUUAUCCGAACUCGAAUCCAAAUAGGGAGGGUUUACUCGGUGCUAAACAAAAAUGGUUUCGGAUACGGGUAUAAAAAACGAAAACCUAAUGGAUUCAUGUUCGGGUAUGGAUUUUGUGUACACCUGAUCCGAACCCAAACCUGAAUAGAUUUUACAUGUUUGAUGUUAUAGUUGAUUUUGUAUUUUGAAAAUUUAGAUUUUAAUAUAAUAUGUUUUGAAAUAUGGUAAAGAGAAAUGAUUGUUUCGGGUUCGGGUUUUCGGGUUUUUAGUUGGGUUCCGGUUUGGAUAUGAAUUUUCAAAACCUGUCCGGUUUGGGUUCAGGUUUCGGUUCGGGUUUGGUUUUCAGUUUUAGUUGUCGAGUUUGGACUUGGAUUUUUGAAAACUCACCCCGAAUCUGACCCGUUGGCAUCCCUAUCUAUGCUGGUUCGUGCUGGUCAUGGCAUGAAUAUUUAUUUAUUUUGGCACCAACGUAUUCCAAUUGAUCAUUAAAUUCUCAUUAUGUUACUCUUUCAGAGUGUUGCCUCAUUUUAAUCCUCAACUCUCAUCGAGAUCUGGCAAUAGUAUGGCAAGUUAUAUUACUCCAAACUCUUCAUGCUCAUAGAUGUGCUCCUUUUGUCAGAACGGCUUGUAUGAUGUGACAAACACCAAAUAAAAUUAGUUUUUUAAACUAUAAAUGCAAUUUAAUGCUCAUCUUCCUGCCUUUCUCACAUUUUGACUAGUGUUGCUUUGUUACUUGUGGAGCACAUUUUGCAUCAAAUUACUAAAGUUUUCUUUUUGGAAUUUCCGGUUUCGUAUUUCAUGUCAGUUAGUGUGGUUAUUGUCUUGCUUUCAUGGGUUGAAAUGCCAUGAUAAUAAUAUAGAAUAUUCUUUAUACAGUAUACUGGAAUGAUGUUGCUAGAAGAGAUGGCCUCGAUACUCAUCACUCCUUACUUGCUAAUAUUUGUGGUACCGAAGGUACAUCUUGGAGCCUUUUUAUUGAGAGAAUCUGAUAUUGGACCCUGCUAUAGCUUGUUAUCUAAUUAUCUUUGUUAUGAUGUCACAGAGGGUUGACGACAUUUUGCGUUUUGUUUCGGACUUCACCAUUUAUGUUGAAGGAGUUGGCGAUGUUUGCAGGUUAGCAGCGUUUUCUUUUCGUUUCCUAUUCUUUUCAGAGUGAUGUGAAAACUUUUAUUCUCCCCAAGAGGUCAUUUCUAUGAGCUCUAAAUUGAUCUUUCGCUUUAUUCUUGUAGCUUAAGUUUGUUCGACUUUGAAAGACACGGAAAUAGGAACUAUGCUUCUCCAUUUGGUGCAGUUAAAUAUAUGAGGAGUUCCCAGGGGAAAAUGGAGAAAUCAUUCUUAAGGUAUAGUUUUACUUUGCUGGUUAUAAUUCAUUUUAAUCCAGUUGUACCAUCUAUAAGAAUUUCAGCCGCAUAGCCCUAGUUUUCAUAUUUCACACAAAAUUAGAUAGUAGGUUAGAAACUUAGUUCAAAGCAUUUUCUUCCGCAACGGAUUAAAACAAUGUAAUUGUUAUUCUGAAUGUUAUUUUGAACUUAAUUUCAAAAUAAAAAAAAAAAAAAAUUGUCAUACAGUAUUAGAUGGUAGGUUAAAAACUUAUUACAAUGUCAAGUAACGUUUAUUUUAAGAUGAAAUCUGGUAUGUUGUUUUGAAACCCUUAUCAAACAAAGACAACUUUCAGAUGAAGGCUAUAUAGAGUUCUGAGAAAUUUUUAUUUUUCAACUAAAAGCAAGGAAAGAUUUUUUUUCUUUUUUUUCUUUUUUUAGGUCUUCUGAUAUCCAAUUAACUCUCGGCCUGUGUGCUUGUUUUCAUAUGUGCAGCUUUUUCUUUUUUCCUUAGCUGUAUAUGUUAUGUUGUUUCAUUCUUUGGUUAUAUCUAUUUUAUUUUAUUUGAUGCUUUUGUAAUACAGCUUUCAGAGCACCUAUCCAUCCUGGGAACCAAGCGAGCAUGGUCGAAGAUUCCUCUUCAACCUCCAGAAAUUCAAAGAGCAAAAAAUGCGCCACACAUCAAAUCAGGAAUAUUCUACAAGUCAAAUACACCGGUUGUCCUCAACAAUUCGAAGCCACGGCGAUAAUCUAAUUCACAGAUUCCCCUCGAGGAGCAUGCGCCCGCCCGACAACUUUGAUUCACUGUUGUCUGUGAAUUUGGAUCAAAGGGCUCAACCCUAUCUGCUCGACUGGUAUUACACUUCACCACCGGCCAAUGCGGACAACUCAGAGGAAUCCCCUUCGCCACCUAAUGAAGCAGCUAUCCGAAACAAAGCGCUAUCAGAAAUAGAAGAGGAGGAUGACAGCUGGGCCCCACGUUUCUCCGAUCGGGUUCAGAGCCACUUGGAGGCUUCCACGUCAAAUUCUUUCCUCAGAAACGAAGCAUAUCAUCACCACAACCUAGAACAGCAUGCCUUUAAUAAGUGGUGGGACCGCACUGUUCCCCAAUCGUCCGACCCUCAAACCAGCUUCCUCGAGCCCCCCGUCUUCAACCAUCACAGUAUACCGAACCACAAUUUUAGCCAUCAUAGUGAUGAUGUAUCCUAUCGAAGCAUGGAGGAGCAAGAAGAGAAUGACGGCGGCGGCCGCGGCGGUGGGAGCGAGGGAGAAUGGCCGAACUCCAAUUCCUUGUCGAGGACGAGAUAUAUAGAAGACUCCGACCAAGAGGAAGAGUUUGGCUUACAUUUCGCCGAUACCCCAGAAAGGAACGAGGGCUCGAGUGGUCGGGUAAGUGAUAUUUACGGCGGGCCAUUGGUAAGCCUCCCUGUAAGGAUAAUACCUAGGAGCAACGAUCCGGUUUAGGUUUUAAGCAUUAAAUUACUGUGAUUACUGUGAAAAGGACUACACAAAUUGUUUCAAUAGGAAGGUUUAUCAACAAAGAAAGGCGGUAUUCAUUUACACAGUGGAGAAAGUUUAAGUUACCAAACUGUGAGAGGGGAAUCUGCUAUUCUUUUGUACAUAAAUUCAUUGCUGUCUAAAAAUGUUCCUCUGUGGUCUUACACUUUCUGUUCUAACCAAACAAUGGGAAACUAAUAUACUCUUCCACUGUUACAUUACAGUAUUAAACAGUAAAUGUGCCCUUUUGAUGACUAUAUUUCAUUAUUUGGUCAUUAUUUUGUAUGACAUGUAAUUUAGAAAUCUACGAAGCUCGAGUCUGGGGCUUUAGCAGGUGCGGUUUCUCUGCAGCCCAUGCGCAGGGAAAUCUUGUGCUCUGGUCCACCCGCGGCACUUCCGUGGCGGGAUGGGCCUCAACCGUCGGAUGUUGGCGGUUUUAUAUACAUCUUGCUGUGCAUGCGUGGUGGCUGAGCCAAUUUAUUUGGGCUGUAAAAAUGCAUAGAAUUUUUCUGCGCACGAGGCUGAACAUAAUGUGCAUAUGCUUUAGCCUAAACCUUGGUAUAAGCUGGGAGAUCUCAUUGAUGAUUUAGAUGACACAAAGAAAUAGUCCAAUUUGCUUGAUAAUGAAGUAUGCGAAUUUUGGGUCUCUAAUAUCAAAUUUGCUCUCUCUCUCUCUCUCUCUCUCUCUCUCUCUCUACAUGUUCAGGUGAUGCAUGGUAGAAAAGCAUGAAGACUAUACUGCAAAUCAAUGCAUGGUCCAGGCAAACAAAACAAGUUACGGACACCGGGGAAUGCCUGAUACAUUGGCUUUGCCUAUUCGACUAAGGCUUAGUUUGAUAUUAAGGUCCAUCUGACGCUGUUAGAUAAAAUAGAGUUAGGGUAAAAAGAUAUAGAAAUAUGUUUCUGCAUUCUCCGGUGGGAUUGCAGAAAAUAUAUCGUAACCUACUCAUCGUGAUAUACAGAACGCAAACGCAAUAUUACGUCCGGAAACAAAUAAGAUAUUUAUCCAUCAUAUUUUUUCACCGCACGUAACGCAAUCUCUCUGCAAUCCCGAACGAAACCUACCUGAAGUUUCUGCAAAAGUUUUGUUUUCAAUGGGGAUACUUGAAAAAGCACCUGCACUUGAAAAAAAAUAAAAGUGUUUUUUACAAAAAAAAAAUCUGAAUGUCACAUUCCGAUUCAGUCUAUUCGACUUUAUUAUAAGAUGAAUUGGAUAAGCAUCCAAAUUUUAAAAUUCCAUCUAAUUUUCUCUGUUAACAUAUUGAACAGGUUUAUAAUUAUAUUACACUCCUCUUGAGUAAGAUCUACUCAAAAUAUUAAACCCCUUUCCACCAACGAAUACUUAUUUUAAAGGUUAAAUACUAUAUUUUAUUUUUUCUUUUUUGUCGAAUGGAUGAUCUGGUGAGCAACAUUUUCUAAUUCACACACUUUCUACGAAAUUUCCUGAUUAACUUACCCUUUUAUAUAUGAUGAAGUUUCCUACUUGGACUUCCUCAAAGAUGUUGUCACCAAUUCAUUAACUAAAUAAUUACAAAUUUUAAACCUUGAUAAAAGGACUGAUGCGACUUUAACAAAAACAUCUAUUGAAAUUACGAAAUAGAAUACUUCUGACCGGCUUUUCCGCCUUUCAAUUACUAAACUGCUUGCUCCCACUAAAUUUCAGACAUUCAAGGACUUUCAAGAAUAAAAUCAUAUAUAUAUAUAUAUAUAUAUAUAUGUAUACUCUCUUUUUUUUAGUAUUCUUUUAUAUAAAUUCUAAAUUCAAAAUAAUAAAAUUUAAAAUUAAUGACAUAUCUUUAUGGAAUAAGGCAUAUGGUAAUAAUAAUACUUUCUAUUUCUAUUUCAAGCGUGCUAUUUUUUCCUCCAAGAAAAAAACAGAAAACAUACUCUACUUAUCAUGUCAAAUUUUUUUAUUUUACCAAAAAUUAUUUAGAUUUCUAUCAAUCUUAGGAUGAGGGAUGUAAGAUCUAUGCCCCUUUUUUUGGGUGUACAAGAAAUUUUUUCAUAUUUUAGAUUUUGUAUGGAUAUUUAUGAUAUUUUGAAGUUUUAGAAUAAUAGAUUUAAAAUUGCCCCAAAAAUAUUGAGCAAUACUAUAAUAAGUGUACCACCCAAACGAGUCGUAAUCCCUACAUCUCCUCAUCCAAGGGGUUGUAGGGUUUACUAAGCCCUUUUUGGAUUUUAGUAAAAAAAAUAAAAGAAAACAUAUGAGGAGUGAGACUAGUAGGAAAAAAUUUGGUCAUUGGAUAAGUGAGGUUCUAGAGUACAGUCCAUUUUGGAUUUUAGGUGUAGCAUUGCUAAAAAAUAUUUGGCUGAACUUCAAUACUAAUAGUAUUUUGGUUCUCAAACUUUAAUUUAUUAUAUUUUUUACUCAAUUUUUUUAAAUUACUAUAAUCAAGUCGCAUAAAUUGAAUAUAAUUGUCUAAAUAGUGAUGCACGCUAAUACAAUAUUGAUAUGAUAGUAUUUUUUUUUUUGAGAGAGAGAUAGGUAGCACGCUAUCCGCUUCGUUUAUUUAUUUAGAAAUAAACUUAGCUGGAAAUGUGAAUCAACUAGGAUUCGAACUUGGGUCUCGGAUACCAACCACAAAGCCCUUGGCCACUUGUUCUAGGGACGGUCGGUGAUAGUAUUAUGAUAGUAUUAUGAUAGUAUUAUAACGGAUAACUUAUCGUGCGGAGUUCACUGAUAUUGAUAUGAUAGUAUUAUAACGGAUAACUUAUUGUGCAGAGCUUAUUAAUUUGAUUAAGAUAUAAUUUCUAUAAUCGUCAACAACUGAAAAAAUAUAUAUAUUUUUAUAUGCUCAUACUAACAAUUUAAGAUUGUGUAAACUUUAGAUGGAGGGGUGUAAAUCAUAUAUUCCUUGUAGGUGUAUAAGUAAUAUUUUUUUUUAUCUCAUUUUUACUUUGCCAUCUUAUGGAUCAAAAAGACGCACUUGAUUAUUCUGUGAUUUUAUCUAUAUUUUUAGACCAAAUAUGUACUAUCAAAUGAAGUUGCGAAGUAAAAUUUUUUUGAUACCACAAGAUGAUAAAGUAAAAAAACUAAGUUAAAUCAAGGGUAGUUGAGUGCGAUAUUUUGAACCACAAUGUGCCAAGCUAGAAAUAAGCUAAACUACAAGGAGGCUACUAAAUUGAAGUUUACUUUUGAAUAUAUAUGGCUUUUUUGGCAUUUGGCCCUCUCAAAAAGUUUUUUCAUAAAUUGCCCCACUAAUUUUAUAAUUAUAAUUUUAGCCCUAUCUCUGCCACGCAAGCGCCACAUCAGUGCCAUUUGAGCAGGUGCGGAGGAUGUAAAAUAAGUUGAAUACGGUAAUUCAUUCACCGUAUCUAAACACGGUGAAUGAUUCAUCAGGAAAUAUAUUGACCCUGCACGCAAAUAAUAUAAUACAUUAAAUACGGUAAAUUAUUCACCGUGUUCAACUUAUUCCACAUCCACCAUCCCUACUCGCAUGGCGCUGACACGUCGCCAGCGUUGCGAGAAUAGGACCAAAAUUACAAUUAUAAAAUUAAGGGGGCUAUUUAUAAAUAUAAUUUUUUUCAGGGGUUCAAAUGCAAAAAGAAGCCCUUGAAUAUAUUAUCGUUGACAACUUAUUCCGACGGCCACUAAAAUGUAAAUUUGCAAACUUAGCAGGGACAUCCGUGCAAUAAUGCCCUUAAAAGGUCGCAGGGAAGCGGAGGGGUCUCCAUCCUCAGAUUCCAAACUUGGAGCCUUCUCCUUCUCUUCUAAAACCCCCCCACCCUCUCUCCAAAAACACUUCACAUCUCUCUCUCUCUCUCUCUCUCUCUCUCUCUCUCUCUCUCUCUAGGGUUAUGGGGUUCGUCUCCUUCGCCGGGAGGGUCCUCUUCGCCUCCGUGUUCCUCCUCUCCGCGUACCAAGAGUAAGCUUCUCUCUCUCUCUCUCUCUCUCUCUCUCUAAGAUCCGUUUCUUAUAGAUCUAUGUCUUCGUAUACCUAGUUACUUCGGAGUCGGUGGUUUCUGCUGCGUGAUGGGCCCAAUUUGGGGAGUUUUAGGGAUUUCUAGGGUUUUUCUGCUGUUGCUCCUCUUUUGGAGCCGUUUGAGUAAGUUCUUAGUUGGUUUGUAUGCGAAAGAUUGGAUCUUUCGAUGACCUGUUCUUGUUUCCGGUUUGGAUCUGCGGAUUGAUGAGUUUGUAAUGCUUGGAUCGGGUCGUUUGCUUUGUGGGAUCUUUCUUAAUCUGUUGGGAUUCGGCUGUUUCGGUGUUGUCUUCUGAAUCCUGUUGUUUUUGGAGCUUGGGAUGUGUUGCUAACUAAGAAUCCCUUUUUAGAGAUCUAUUAGCGGUUAUGAUCAUGUAAUCUUUGGACUAAUUUUGAACUGUGUGGAUGUUGCCUCUUACUUUAGCUACUUAUAUGGAAUGGUUGGUGAAAAGAGUUAGUGAACCCUUACCUUUGGCACUAAGAGGAGGCUCGUGAGUUGUGUCUAUCAAUAGCAGUUGCCAGGAAUAAAGCAUGCACAAAGUGUUACUCUUGGUAGUGAUUCUUGCGUUCUUAACUCCGAGGAAAGUUACUUUUCUAGAUUAACAUGAGUUCUUUUAUUGCGCAUCUUACUCUGAAGUUGUUCUAGUCCGCCGUAAUUAACAUGCUACUAGGUUGACACUGUUGUUGUCUUCCUGUGGUAAUGUCUUAGGAGCUUAGCUAACUAUAUUUGACUUGGAUAAGUUUUUGUCUUAUUGGUAUUAUUUCCUUUACAUUAUUCUUCUGAUAAAAGAAAACUGCUUUUUUGAUCAUGUACCAGUUCUCUUAGUUCUUCUUUAGCAAUCAAGGUAAAAAUAGUGUGUGUUUCCAAUUGCUUUAUAAAGUCCUCAUGACGUAUAUGUGAAAGAAAUGGCCUAUAGUGUAGCUCAACUCAGAUGGUAAAAUCUACUGUAACUAUUACCUCAAUAUGUUAACUUACUUGGUUGUGUUCUCUUAGAAUGCCUGGAAAGGAUCUGUGGUGCAUGAUGUCAUGAUAGACACUGACCAACAAAAGAAUAGUAUAUAAAACUUUAGUUGGUUACCAAGCAAGUGAGCAAUUGCAUUAAUAUAUUGUUCUCUUCCAUUAUAUCAGGUAAUUAAUUUUCCUUUGUUGUUGCUGUUGAUCAGAUUUUUUUUUUUUUAACUUGGUUUGAGAGAUUAGUGUUGAGUAGCAUCCUGCUUUGCUUCCCUCCGAAGCUAUAAACUAUGAUUCUAUUUGUUGCUGUUCUAAUCUCAUUUGGUAAAGGUUUGUUUUUUUCCUUUUUGGAUAACACUGGGGGUUGUUGGGCGGGGUUGGUUAUUGGUGGGUGGGGUAAAUUGUCAAGUAUGGAUCAUAAGAAAUUAGGUAAGACUUACUUUUAACAAAAGAAUGCAGUUUUUCUGGCAUAAUGAAUAUGUGUUGAAUAUGCUUAUCAGCUGCAGCAGAUAGAAAUAUUGCUCGAGAUUGGUCUAUUAUUCUAGCAAUUGCUGAUUGUUCUCAGUUUCUGGAACCAAGAUAUUUGUAUAAUGGUUGAGUUGUAAUUUGGGGCUAGUGCCUUGUGCAGUUAUCGCUUACCUGUAUUGAGUGAAAAGGGGAUAGGAUCAGUAUGUUUUACCUAUUGGGGCCAUGUGAUUGCAGUUCCAGUCUAGAGCCUUUAUGGUCAGCAAAACCCAUAGGCGUAUCUCCGUAUCAAAAAAGAGUUUAGGUGAUUUGGUUUUUAAGGUACAUACUUCUGAAUACGUGAUGCUACUUCUGCAAUAUAUGAAAUUUAUCAAGGUAUUAGUUUGGCCUCUCUAGCAAACACCUAACUCUUGAUUUGUACUAGAAGUUUGUCACUGCAAUGCUGUAGUUGAAAGUUUUAUGAUUCAAAUUUAAAAUUGUAUCCAUUUUCAAGUCAAGAAAUUUCUUUAUUUCUUAUAGCAGCUGUUUGACUUUCUAUCACAUCUCGUUAAUUGUUUAAAUUUUGAUUUGUAAUUUGAUAUGGCCAAGAAACCUCUUAUUCAGUAGAUGAAGUUUCAAACAGCGUUUUUCGAGGUAGAUUCAAUUAGAUAUGAACUUGGAGACAUCUCUGGCUGCAAAGAUAUUAGUACAGUUGCUAAGUUAGUUCGUUCUUAUGAAGUGUGCUCAAUUUCACUGGAAUCUCUAGUGUGAAUUACUUUGUUUCUGUAGAAUACAACUUUGCAUACCCGAAAGAAUCAUUUGAUGUUAUCGUACUUCCAUGCAUACGGACCUUGCAAGUAUUUUCUUUCUUUUGUUUUGAUAAUAUGGGGUUAGAUAGACACAUGACUCAAAAGUUAAGAAACUUCAGUAGAAUCCAUAAAAUACUAUUGCGGACGUCAAGGUGGGAUGUUUAUAGUGAGAAUGCUUUGUGCAUGCCUUUUUAAGUUGGUAUCAUCAAGGUAAUCUUUUAUGAGUUUACAUUGUAUGUGCCAUACUUCUACUUUUUUUGCCUAUCUUUGAACUUCCUGCUCUGAAGGUUUUGUGAUAGAGGUAUAGGUUGCCUGCUUGUAUGAUGUUCUUUAAUUUUUUCAUUGUUGUUGUUUUGUAUAUUGUUGCUUUUCGCUGAGAUAUCAUCUGGGCAGGUUUAUUGAAUUUGGAGUUGAUGGUGGACCGGCAGCAAAAGCUCUGAGACCAAAAUUCAACCUUUUUGUUAAUCAUGUUUCAUCGCAUCUGGGGGUAGCAGUUCCACAUAUUGAAGUAAGUUUCCUAAUUGCAUUCUUUUGUUUCUCUUGUUAAUGAUCAACCUAUCAUAAUUGUUUUGUGGCAUCUCAAAUUUUCCUUUUUCCCCAGAUGCAACAUGUAAUUGCUGCUACCAUAGCUCUGAAAGGACUGGGAGGUCUUCUAUUCAUCUUCAGCAGCUCUUUUGGAGCUUACCUGCUGGUUAGUAUUUCUUUUCUUUGCUCUGAAAGCACUUGGAGCUCUUUUAUUAUUGCGACUUCUCUUUAUUUAAUCCAUAUGAUUUUCCCUACAUUCAUAAUAUUUCCAAAUAAGUGGAAUCUCAUCAUUCUAAACCCUAAACUCUAUAUAUUGUUCCUGUACAGCUGCUAUAUUUGGCAUUAAUAACUCCUGUGGUGUACGACUUCUAUAACUAUGACAUUGAGAAGCCGGAAUUUGUGCAACUCUUUAUCAAGUUCACCCAGGUAAGAAGCCAUCUCAUAAAUUCAUGUGUUGAAAAAUUUUAGAGUUUCCUCAGGAACAAAAUAAGUUUCUAAUGAAAUCUUUAUUGCAGAAUUUGGCACUCUUCGGCGCGCUACUUUUCUUCCUGGGAAUGAAGAACUCUAUCCCAAAACGGCAGCCUAAGAAGAAGGCUCCCAAAUCGAAGACAAAUUAAGAUUUAGACCAUAGUGGUCGGCACCUAUAAUGUUGGUUCAGUGAAUCCCUCUAUACUGGAUGAAUAUUUAAAUUUUAAUGGGCUGUUCGGGUCGUAGAUUGUUCUAGGCAAAUUCACAAUGGGUUUAGUCCUUGGUGUGAUCUGAAUGGGGGAUUAGGAGCUGUCGGCUUGUGUGUAUCAUUAUAUACUUGUUCUUUGAUUCAGAAACCAUACUAUUGUUCCUAUGGGUUAAAACUCCCUUCUUUAGUUUGUUUUCACAACAUAACGUUAUUGGCUGUAUUAAAACUUGGUUUCAUUUUUGGUGACCAGCUCCCAACAUUUUGUUUCAUAUGCAAAAGUGUCCGCAAGUACUUUCAGUCCUGCAAAUGACUCUGUAAUCAGCCAUCUUUCAAAAGUUACGCAUUAUUGAGUAUUUCCUGCUUUUGUUACUGUUGUGCAGAAGUGACUAUAAAAAACAUCAUUGAGUGGGUUUUUGUCCUGUGAGAUUUUGAUAGUACCAUAUUGGAUAAGAAAAGAUGUGCAUGUGGGGAUUAGGCCUCACAUUGUCCGGUGAUUUUUUUAUUGUGUGUGAUUGAGUCUGACGAAGUUGUCAGGCCUAAAUGGAGAGUUAUGAUUGUGUGUAAUUGAGUCUGACGAGGUGGUUAGGCCUGAAUGGAGAGUUAUGUGUAAGUUUACGCCCGUAUUUUAUUAACUUUGGAUCAGUGAUUUGAGUGUGACAAGUUGUUGGUACUAACAGUUUCACAUUUGUGAAUGGGCUAAUUAGUUGGGAUGAUCAUUGUUUCUUGGAGAUUAAGGUUAGAGGUGGCAAAGAAGCUUAGAAUGACAGCCUUGUCUUGUUGUCAUGCCCAAUAAAAAAGGUGUAAUAAGUGUGGCAUUAAUGUAUUGAUGCUCAAGUUAAAGCGGACAUAUAGGCAUGUAGUUUGAGGACGAUGCAGAUGGGCACCAUGUGGCCCAUCCAACGGCCACUCAUGAAAGAAAAAAAAAAAAAGUGCACUGUAAUUUUAGAGAGAGAGAGAGAGAGAGAGAGAGAGAGAGAGAGAGGACGAUGCAUAUGGGCACCAUGUGGCCCAUCCAACGGCCGUUCAUGAAAGAAAAAAAAGUGCCCUGUAAUUUUAGAGAGAGAGAGAGAGAGAGGCCGUCGGAUAGGCCGCGUGGCGCCCAUCCACACAAUCCCCAAACUAUUAGUUUGGGGACGGUGCCCAUAAAAGUUUUGUCGGUUAAAGCCUAGAAUGAUAGCCUUAUAUUAUUGCCAUGCCGAAUAAAAAAAGGUGUAGCAAGUGUGGCAUUAGUGUUCUGAUAUAGUCCGGCUAUUAUACUCUUAUGAGUACGAUCGUCUUUAUACUCAUAAGUCAUUUUCGAUGAUAGAGUUUCCGAAUUAAUGAUUCAUAACGUAAAAUAUUAUAUAGAGCAUUUAAAACUUUUAAAAAUUAAACUUCGUAAUUUAUUGACAUUAUUUAUCUUACGAUCAAAAGAUUUCAAAAUUGACAAUUUUUAAUGGUCGGUAUGGAAUAUUUGCUAGUUUAACGAUGUAAAAGAAUCGAAAUCAGUUAAAUUUUUGAAAGAAAAUUCUAUUUACUAUUUAGAUAAAGAACAAUAACUCCGAUCUUAAAUUGAAGAAUCUGAUCAUCCAUUUUUAGGACGUCGUUCGAUUUUGACCGUUCAUUUUAUGCGCACUUGAUGGAUUUUAUUAUGAUUUCAAAAAAUUACAAAAUUUAUUUUUUAGAAGUUUCAAAUACUCUAGAUCAUAUUUAAUAGAGUAGAUCAUCGAUUUGAGAGCUCCAUCAUCAAAAACAACUUAUGAGUAUAAAAGGCUCUAUACUUAUAAGUAUAGUAGCCCCAUUUUAUAUAUAUGUUUUCGGCUGUUGAAUGAAAAGAUGUGCAGUUAGGAUGAUAAUGGUUUCCGGUUAAGAUAAUAGUGGUCUCAUAGCAUUGAAUGGGUGGUUGUUGAAUAGUAUGAUCUAACAGGUGGAAAUGAUCAAAGAAGUAGAUCUAACAGCUGAAAACUUAUUAAUACAAAAGGAUCCAUACUUGUAAGAGUAUAAUAGCCAAACUCUCUCUAUAUAUAUAAUGUAGAAGACAUCUUCCGUUUUAGAUAAUUAGAAAACGAAAUUAUCUUUUGGUAUUCAAAUUAUGAAACAGACAAUACUUCAAUUUUCAAAUUUUAAGUUGUUGUAAAUUUUAUCCUAGGGUUUAAAAAAUUCUAUUGCUUUUUAGUUAAAAAUAGAAAAAUUAAGGGAUAAUUGCCUAUAUACCUCUCAAAACUUCGGAAAUAUCUCAUUUACCCCUACAUUUUUUACUUUCAAAUAUACCCCUCAUAUGUUCCUCCGUUAUUUCAAAAUACCCUUGCAGUUACCACCCGUUAAAUUAACUUGGUUUGAACGUGAAUUAAAUAUUUACCACAGUUAAAAAAAAUUAAAAUGCCACUUUUGCCCUUAACUUAAGGGCAAAUAAGAAAUGUUGGUGAUGGUAGAAGGGUAUAUUUGAAAAGACCAAAAAGCAAAAUACUUUUUGUGCCCCUAACUUAAGGGCAAAUAAGAAAAGUCGGUGAUGAUAGAUGGGUAUACUUGAAAGGGCAAAAUAGUAAUUUCAUAGAGAUAACAGAGUUUAUUAACAGAUUUUAACUCUAGGGUGUAUUAGAAAUAGGUUGGAACGUAAAAAGGGUAUUUUCAAUAUUAGCCUUCUAAGAGGGAUAAAUCAGAAAGUCGGAAACUUUUCAGGGGUAUAUAAGCAAUUGUCUAAAAAAUUAAUAAGACAGGAAUGAUCCACACUAUAGUUGUAGAAUUUACAUCUAUGGUAUAAUUGUAUAGGAACCAUUGCUCUUUUUCAGACAGUGGUAAUUAAGUUCUAUAGUAUACUUGGAGAUGAUGAAGUUUGGAUUUCACGUCACGAACCGUGGGCUCCACAAGUGCUUGAAGAUUGCAAGAAACGUGGGAUAGUUGUUGGGCGAGAGGGGGAGAGAGAGAGAGGCGAAGCUGUGAAAAGAGAGUGUCACACAUGCGCCAUAUCAUUAAUAACAAAUGAAUCAAAUCUUUCAUUUUGAAAAAAAAAGUACAAUAAAAUUUUUUUUUAAUAAUCAUGAUGGAACAGGUAAACCCAAAGAGAAUUAUUUCAUUAGUUGGAGAUGUCACAUCACCGAUAUAAUCGGUGCAUUCUAGAAUUUUUUGUGAAGAGGAGGAGGGUGACUCUUUGGUUGCUAAGAGUGUAAAUUUGCACCAAGGCCGUCGAUCUUUGUCAUAAUCCCCUCACAAUUAUCUCUCCAUUUCAAUUUACUCUGCAUUUUACAUAUGAACUAUUGAACUUUCGAAUUUGAAGUCUCGGAUAGUUAAAAAACCCUCAUCCAAGGGUUGGGAUUCACUAAUCCCUUUAAACAUUUUAGCACAAAGAAAAAAAAAAUGAUAAGAUUUGUACAGAAAAACUGACUUUUGAAUUAGAGAAGUUGCAAUAUUACAAUCAAAGUGGAUUGUAGGCCAAAAUUAUAAAAUAGUAAAAUAAAACUUUUUAUGGCACGAGAUAACAAAGAAUAAAUGCAUUAAAAAGCAAGGAGCAAAAUGAAAUUAAAAACUAAAAAAAGAGGCCUUUGUUUAUAUACCCUUGAGUAUUAAAAUUUUUCAAAUUACUCUUCUAAUUCUCAAAGUCCAUUAGUAAAUCCUACGAUUUUGAGAAUAUUUGAAAUAUUUUUUAGAAUUAAUCAGAAAAUUUUGAGCAAUUUAGGACAUCUUAAAUAUUUGGGAAGUUUUGAAGGGUAUAUUAGAAAUUAGAGAUAAUUGCCUAUAUACCCCUUAAAACUUUGAAAAUAUCUCAUUUACCCUUAUUUUUUUUCUUUCCAAUAUAUCCCUUAUAUGUCCCCCGUUAUUCUAAAAUAUUCCUAUAGUUACCACCCAUUAAGUUAAUUUGGGUUAAACGUGAGUUAAAUAUCUAUCCGAGUUAAAAAAAAUUAAAAUGGCUCUUUUGCCCUUAACUUAAGGGCAAAUAAGAAAUGUUGGCGAUGGUUGAAGAGUAUAUUUAAAAAUACCAAAAAUCUAAAUUUUUUAUGCCCCUAACUUAAGGGCAAAUAAGAAAUGUUGGCGAUGGUUGAAGAGUAUAUUUAAAAAUACCAAAAAUCUAAAUUUUUUAUGCCCCUAACUUAAGGGCAAAUAAGAAAAGUCGGUGAUGGUAGAAGGAUAUAUUUGAAAGGGCAAAAUAGUAAUUUCAAAGAGAUAACCACUAUUGCUAACCGUUUAUUAACAGAAUUUAACUCUAUGGGUAUAUUUAAAAUGACUUGGAAUGUAAAAAAAGUAUUUUCAAUAUUAGCCUUCUAAAAGGGGUAAAUCAGAAAGUCGAAAAAUUUUCAGAGUUAUAUAAGCAAUUGCCCUACAUUAGAUAUUAUUAAAAAAAUUGGCCAAUUUGUAUAAAAAAUUCACAAGUUUUAGUUUUUGCAAAAUUGAGCCACAUUUUUCAAUUUUGAAGAUUCGGUCUGAAUUUUCAACAAACUGACCAAAAUUUUCUUAUACCUUUUUCUCUUUUUUUUUUUUCUUUUUUUUUUUUUCUCUCGUUCAUUUUUUUUCUCUCCGAAAAUGACGGCAGAGGCGGAGGCGGAGGCAGAAAUCGCCCGCCUCGCCUCUGCCUCUCCCACCCUCGCCCUCGCCUGCGCACCGCCCCUCCUUGUCUCCAACCCCACCGAGGCCGUGCUGUGACCCUCUUUUUUUUUUCUCUUUCCAACCCUUCUCCACCGCCUUUGUGGCCCUCCGCGACGAUAGCAAGGACGGUACCGCAUCUUCUUCCUCCGCCUUCGCCCUCUCCCUCCACUGCAGCAGAUUUUCUACUCUCCAAACAAACCCGUCGUUUCUACCGCCGCCGCCGGUGACGAAGAAUAAGUGCUUUUUGGGGCCGAGAAGCACGUCGGCGAGGGAAGGGGAAAAAAAUAGUUACAUUUCGACAAAGGCGGCGGUUGUGAUAGAGGGCAAGGGAGAGGUCGUGAAAAAAAAAAUAUAGAGAGAAAAAAAGAAUAAAAAAAUAAAAUAAAUAUUUUUUUUCUUACAGUAAAGAUAAAAAAUUAUAGAAGAAGGAAGAAAAAAAUAAAAUUGCACUUUCUCUUCUUCUUCCUCCUCUGCCUUUCCUUCCGCUUUCUCAUCUUCCUCCUCCUCCUUCUUCUUUUUCCUUCUCCUCAUUCCUCUUCAACUAGUAGUCGCCGCCGCCAUCGCCGUUGUACAUGCCCCCGUUUUCGCCGCCAUCCACAGCUGCAGCCGCCCAUCUACCACCGUCGUCGCCGCUAUUGCCGAGGAAGUCCUCGAGCUUCGGGUCCCCUACUCCUGCCAUCGCCAUCAGCUCCGCCGUCGCCUCCCUUUCCUUCUCCUCCGUCUCCUCCAUCUCAACUUCGCCACCUACUUACAUACGCACGCACGCCCAGGAUGCACAUAUAAAAAUUACGAGAAAGCGGAGGGAAAAAGAAGGAGGAAGAAGAAGAAAAAGAGAAAUAGUGUAAAUUUCAUCCAAAUAGUGCAACUUUCGCUUAAAGAGUGUAACCAUCAUCCCAAAGAGUGUAAUUUCUGUCUCAAAGAGUGCAACUUUCAUUUAAAAUAGUGAAAAUUUUUUUGAAACAGUGUAACUUUAUUUUAACAGUACAAUUUCAUCUUAUUCCUACUUCUUCUAUGAUUUUUGGUCUUUCCUGUAGGAAUUUUUUUUAUUAUUCUUUUUUUUUCUUUCUACAAUUUUUUUUGGUCACGACCUCUCUCUUUCCUUUUAUCGCAGCCACCGCUUUCGUCGGAAUGUAACUAUUUUUCUUUUUCUCCCUCACCGGCGUGCUUCUUGGCUCCAUGAAGCACUUUCUUUUCGUUGCCGGCCGGCGGUGGGGACGACGGGUUUGUUUGGCUGAUAGAAAAUAUGUUGCAAUGGAUGUGGAGAGCUAGGGAUGCAAACGGGGCGGAUCUAGGGGCGGGAGCCCCGCCCCACCUCCUGCCCCGAAUCCGUUAUGGGUUAAAAAAUACAUCCCAUAAUCCAUCCCGCCUCGUAACCCGCCUCCCGCCGGCACCCCAAAUCCGCCCGCCAAAUAGUAUUUGUUUUACAAAUUAUAAUAUUAUUAACAUUUUGUAAAUAUAAAUCAACAAAAUUUUUAAUAUUAAUUGAUAAUAUUAUCAAGUUAUAUAUAAAUACCAAUAUCAACUAUAAAAAUAAAAAAUAUCAAUCACAAUUCGCAACAAAAUUCAAAAAUUUUAAAUACAUACAUAUGGGAAAAAAGUCUACUAGAAUUACAAUAAUUUGUCAACAACAUAAAAAAUGUAAUACACUAAUACACCAUCAUGAAAAAAAGCAAAGUAUUCAAAUAAUAAAAAGCACUCCCCAAAAUCACAAGUUUAUACAACAACAAUAUUGUAAAGUGUUUUUUAAAACAUAAUUCACAACAAUCAAAUCUAGCAAAGUCAUUACAACAACAUUGCAAAGUCCAAAUCCACCAUGGCCACGAUAAAGUCUAAAUAGUAGAUAAUAACUCACGGCCAUGAUAAAGUCUAAAUAGUAGAUAAUAACUCAUAAAUAAAAAGAAGUUUACAACAAUAAAAAUGGGCUGGGAAUAUGCGUAGAUAAAAGCACUUUCAAACUAAUAAAAUAUAUAAACUCUGUCACUUUGCCACUUUCCAUGCGAUAAAAAAACAUCAUUCCACGGCCGGAAUUUCCUAAUGCACAUACCAAAUUAACAAAAAAAUAUUAAAAAAAUAUUAUACGUAACAUACAAAUUGAAUUUAAUGUAAAGAAUAAAAAAAUCGCAUACCUUAUUCUCGACAUCAUAACUAUCAUCAAGUUUCCCAAAGUUAGAAGAACUUGUCUCGUCCGAAGAAGAUGCGUAAAAAAUAAGAACAAAAAAUUGAUUUAUAGUUAGAAAAAUUAUGUAGCAUCAUAUAUUAAAGCUAAUAUUGAUAUAUGUAAUUGAUUUACCUUCUAAUUCAACCCAUAACCAAUUUCUUGCACACAUUAGAGCUUCUAAAGUUUCAGAAGUGAGAUUGUUCCUGUUUGGAUUCACAAUUCUACCACCAAUACUAAAUGCAGAUUCUAAAGCUACUGUGGAUACUGGAAUGGCAAGAAUAUCUCUUGCAAUCAAUUGUAAUGUAGGAUACUUGAGUCCAUUAUUUCUCCACCAUCCCAAAAUAUCAAAAUCUUCCAUCCUUGGCAAUAUAUCUUCCUCAAAAUACAUGUCUAAUUCUGACUUCACUAAUGAGUUAGUUUUUCUUUUAAUGGCAGCAAGAGUAUCAAAUUUUUUAAAAAAAUUUGAAGUGCUAAAUGUAUUGGAUAUAGAAGUUUCUGCCACAAUUGAAGAUGAGGUUUGAAAUGAAUCAGAUUGGCUUACCUCACUUCUACUUCGACUUUGGUACUCUCGAAGUAAACUAUAACAUAUGUCACGAAUUCUUUGGACUUCAUCACUUGCAUUUUCAUGAAUUUCAUUAUAAGCAACUUCUAACAUUGUUAAUUUGUAUCUAGGAUCGAGUACACACGCAACUCCCAUAAUUCCAUGAAUCACUGACCAAUACUUGUUAAACUUUACUAACAUCUUUUCCACCAUUGAUCUCACUAAAUUACUUGAAAAUGGAGAGUCAAUCCAUUCAUGCAAGUUUAAUACUUAGUUAGUUAAUUCACGUUUAAUACGUGAAUUAUUCGCGUAUUUUUUAACAUACGAAUUAAACGCAGAUUUUCGUAUUUUUCCAAAAAAUACGAAAAAAAACGGGAUUUUUUCAUCAAAAAUGAUUAUUCGCGAAUUAUUCGCGAUUCGUGAAUAAUUCGCCCAAAAAAUCGGCGACAACGACUCGCGGUCGAGGGUCGAUUCGUAGUCGAUCUCGUCGCCGCUCGCGUCGUCGCCGCUCUCGUCACCGCCGUUCGCGUCGUCGCCGCUAGCGUCGUCGUCGUCCUUCGCAGCCCUCGCCGGCGCCGGGAGCAAGGGCCGCGGCGGCGGAUCCCAUCUCCUCACCCGAGGUCGUCCGCAGAAAAGAAGAAGAUGAACAGUAAAAGCAUCGGGGCUUUUGGGAGAAAUAGAUGCGCGCGGUCCACGAGGCUAUUUCAGCCUCGUGGACCGCACGAGGGGGAGGUCCACAGUGGACCUCCCUCUCAUGUAUGUGUGUGUAUAUAAAAAAUUUUAUUUAUAAAUAUAUAUUCAUUUAUUAUAUAUAUUAUUUUAUUUUUAUAUAGAAAUAUUUAUAUAAUAUUUUGUUUAUAAAUUUGUAAUUAUUUAUUAAUAUUUUUAAAUAUAUAAAUUUUAUGUAUUAUUAAUAAGGUUUAUUAUUAAUAUAUGAAUAUAUUUAAUCUAUAUAUAAAAAUUAUAAUAAUAAUAUAUAUAGUAUAUUAAUUAUUAUAUAUUUAUUAUAUAGCCGAAUUUUUUAUUCUGAAUUUUUAAUUGGUGAACGUAUAAUAUCCGUGUAAAUCACGUAUCCGAAUAAUUACCGAAUCCGUUUUUUAGCCGUAUUUUUUAACGAAUUUAAAAAUUAAAAGGAGAAUUUUAUCCGAAUUAUACCCGUACCGAAUUUUUGCCAAAUCCGAAUUAACUAACUAUGGUUUGAUAGAAUGCUACAAAUGUAAGGAAAAUAUUGAUUCGCCGUUGGAUACUUAGUCCCUGAGAAAAGCGAUGAAACACUAUAAAAGAUCUCCAAUUUGCCACAUAUUUCUUUGGCUCUACUCCAAUCCUCCUCUGUUGGCAAACAUUUAUAGUUAGAAUCACGUAGCCUUAACCGAGGGAAGACAUCUUUAUAUAUCAAAGCUGUCUCUAACAUAAUAUAAGUAGAAUUCCAUCGAGUUUUGCAAUCAAGAGCUAACUUUUUACCAUUUUCAAACCCCUCUUGUUUUGCUAGCUCUUCAAAUCUCUCUACUCGUUUUGGUGUUGCUGUCCAAAAAGCUACACUUUCUCGGAUUCUCUCAAUGCCAUCACCAAUAACUUCCAAUCCAUCUUUAACAAUGAGAUUAAGAAUGUGAGCACAACAUCUCAUAUGAAAAAAUUCUCCUUGCAUUAUUAGAGAACUAGGAAGUAAAGAGUCCUUCAAAAUUUCAAUCAACAAAUCAUUACUAGUACAAUUGUCCAUAGUAACUGUACUAAUCUUUGUCUUAAUUUUUCAAGUGAUUAAACAAUCUUUCAAGACAUUUGAAAGUAUCUCGGCAGUGUGUGGGCAAGGCAUAUAAACAAACCUAUAAUUUGUACAAAUAAUGAAAGAAAAAUAUAUUAGUAGAUUAUACUAGUUUAUAAGAUAAAAUAGAUAGAAAUAGAAUAUGCACAUGAAAAAGAGUAAAUUGAGUGUGCAAAAGAAAAUAGAAUAUAUCCAAAAAAUAAAUAUUGUAAAAAAGCAAGUAGAUUAUGCAAGAAAGAAAGUACUUAAUUACCUUAAUAUCUGAUUUUGAAUGAGCCAAGAAUCAUCUAUCCAAUGAGCUGUGACUGCCAUAAAUAAUUUCUUUUGAUUGCUAGAGGUCCACAUAUCAGUGGUUAUAGCAAUUCUACUUCUGUUCCUUUCUAACAACUUCAUAGUUUUUUGCUUCUCAAUAUCAUAAAUCUUUAAAAUGUCACUCUUUAAUGUUGUUCUUGAAAUCAUCUUAAAAGCAGGUUGAAGACUUUGAUAUAAUUCUCAAAAGUCAUGAUAUUCAACAAAACAAAGAGGCAACUCUUGUAAAAUGAUCAUAUUGGCAACCUUCCUUCUACAAACUUCUUGGUCAAAUAUAUAAUUAGUUAUCUUGAGUUUUCCAUCCCUCACAUCAAUUUUCAAUCUUUUUUUAUUUCGCAUUGCAUAUUGGAUGUCUUUAUGUUUCCUCUUCAAGCAUCUGCUAUAAUGGUCAUGUAAAUGUCUUGUUUCUUUUUUCCCAUCACCUACAAGAUGGGCUUUAUAAUAAUUGCAAACUGCUUUAACCUCUCCAUUAAUUUUUUUUUUCUUAAAAUGUUCCCAUAUUUUUUAUGUUAAUUUUCUUGCUCCAAUUACAUCUUCACCUGAUCCAUCAAAUUGACUUUCAGAUUCAGCUGGAGUUGGAUUAGAAUCUAUUUGAAUUGACACCGAUGUAGAAGCCGAUAUUCCUCCUUUAGAACGAUUUGUUGCUGCUUCACCAGUUAUAGAAUGUGUAGGAGGAACACUUGAUUGUGCUUGUUGAGACAUUCUUUUGAACAACAAAACAAAAAAAUAAAAUUAAAACCCUUCACAAACCCAUAUGUAUUUUUAUAUUAGUGGAAUGAUUACAAACAAAUAAAAAAGAGUAAUAGUGCUACAAAUAAAAAUAUAUAAUAUCCAAAAUUAAAGGAUAAUAAUGAGUAACAAAAGAUGAUACUUCUACUGAUUUAUAAAAUUUUGAAUAGCAGUUCCUUCAAAAUUCUGCAUCUCUUACUUAGAAAAGACAUCUGAAUAUUUUUUUUUUUUCUUGAAUUUUCUGCAAUAUCCCAGAUUAUUGCAUCAUGAUGAAAAAAAAAAUGUUAAGAUACAUGAUAAUUAUUCUUUCAGUAGAAAACUAGAAGAUCAUAGCUUGAAAAGUAGCCAAGGGAUUAGAGACAAUUAGAUGAUAAUUAUUCUUUCAGUAGAAGUUCAUAGCUUGAAAAACAGCUUGAAAUGCCAUUAGAGACAAUUGGAUGAUGCUAAAAAAUGGUGAAAAAAAAAUAGGGAAAAGAAAAAAAUACGCGUGUUGAAGCCGUUGAGGGUAUGGUACUUGUAGACGGAGGCAAAGAAGGAGAUGGAGGCGAGAAAAAGCGCGGCGGUCGGCGGCGGUGAGGGACAGGGCGGCGGCCGGCGGAGGUGAGGAAAAAGGCGGCGGCCAACGAAGGCGAGGAAAAGGGCGGCGACCGGCGGAGGUAAGGAAAUGGGCGGCGGCCAGCGGAGGCGAGGAAAAGGGAGUUUUGGGAUUGUGAUUUGGAGCGGUUAGAGUUUUGCAAAAGAAAGCUAAGCUGCUAAAUAUAGUUGGGUUUUUUUGUAAAUAUAUUAACUUUCANAAAGCGCGGCGGUCGGCGGCGGUGAGGGACAGGGCGGCGGCCGGCGGAGGUGAGGAAAAAGGCGGCGGCCAACGAAGGCGAGGAAAAGGGCGGCGGCUGGCGAAGGGGAGAAAAUGGGCGGCGGUCGGUCGUGUUGGGGGAGAAGGAGUUUUGGGAUUGUGAUUUGGAGCGGUUAGAGUUUUGCAAAAGAAAGCUAAGCUGCUAAAUAUAGUUGGGUUUUUUUGUAAAUAUAUUAACUUUCAGGGAUAUUUUAAAGAAAUAUAUAAAUGGUUUUCGGGGCGGAUCAAAAAUUUUUCCGUUUCCUGCUCCGAAUCAGCCUCAUAUCAUAAAAAUUGCCUUGUUUCUUGCCCCGAAUCCGUUUAUUUUCUCCAGUUUACUGCCCCAUUCGGGGCAGAUCGAGGCGGGAGCUCCACCAACCCGAAUCCAUUUGUAUCCCUAUGGAGAGCGAAAGUGGAGGAAGAGGACGCGAUACUGUCCGCACUAUCGUCGUAGAGAGCCGACGGAGCGCCGCGGAGGUAGUGGAGGAGGGUCGAAGAGAAAAAAAAAAAGGGUCGUGACGCGGCCUCGGCAGAGUCAGAGGCGAGGAGGGCGGGGGGGUGCACGGACGAGGGUGUGGGCGUGAGGGGCAGAGGCAAGGUGGGUCGUUUCCGCCUCCGCCUCCGCCUCUGUCUCCACCGCCUUCUUCGACGAGAAAAAAAAAAAGAACGCAAGAAAAAAAAAAAAAGAAAAAAGUAUAAGAAUAUUUUGAACAGUUUGCUAAAAAUUUGAAUCGAAUCUGUAAAAUUAAAAAAAGGCGAUCCAAUUUUACAAAAACUCAAAAUUUGUGAAUUUUUUAUACAAAUUGGAAAAUAAAAUAAAUAAAAAAAAAUAAAACUAAGUUUUUAUUUUAAUUAAAAUUUAAGAUUGAAUUACCCAACCGCGACCCCUUCGCUCUCGGUUUCGUCGUUCGCGCGAGCGCUCUCCGCCAUGGUGAUCUCUCACUCUCUCCCCUCUCCCCCCAAUCCCCCUCCAAAACCCUAAUAUGCUCCUCCCCUUUUCGCUCCCAUGGAGAUCAAAACCCUAGUUUGUCGUUUUCCGCCCUUUUCUUUUCGACAUCAAAACCCUAACGCGCCUCUCUUCCUCCCCAGGAUUACCUCAGAACCGUCGUUCCCUCGCAGCUCACCGCCGAGCGCGGGUCCAAUCUCGUCGUCAUCAAUCCAGGUUCCAAACCCUAACUUUUUCUUCAUAAUUUGUAUCGAAAGAACGAUCUAAAGGCUCUUUUUUUUUUUUUUUUUUGCAUAUACUGUUGAUUCGAGCUAGUUUGUUGAUUGAAAUGUAUCAACAUUUGGCAAAGAAAAGUUAUGUAGUGCUAAUUUUAGCCGCAAUGCUCAUAAAUUUUCUUGUUUCUUGCAAUUUUAUUUAUUUAUUUUUUUUAAGAGUGUCCUCCCUUACUUUUUGGUUAAUCUUGUUGCGUGGAAGGUUCGGCGAAUGUAAGGAUAGGAUUUGCUCAUCAACAGGUGCCGUUCAAUGUACCGCAUUGCGUUGCUUGGCAUCUGAAGGGUCAGGAUGAGGGGCCAAGAAGAACUGUACAGGACCAGGUAAUCAAAUACGGUGAAAUUAAUAGAACUUUAAGCCUCGAUUUUGUUUAAUUCUAUUAGGUUUUAUCUGUAAAAUUUGUUCUUUCUUAUUUUUGUUCCCUAAUGAUUGACCUUAGAUGCUUAAUACUCAAGCUACUGCAACUCAAACGAGGGAGCGCGAGAAGGCAUAUGACAUUGUAUGGAAGAAAGCUAUAAUAUUUCUUUUUGACUUGACUUUCAGACCACAGGAAACUCUAUUUCAGAAAAAAAUGACUCUUGCAUUUUAUUUCUAGAUUGCGUCUCUAUUGAAGAUCCCUUUUCUUGAUGAAGAAGCAGCAAGCAACUCAUUCCCCCGUAAGGUAUGAUCUUCCAAAUUAUUUGAGUCAAUUAGUCAACAUUGAUAUUUAACUUCCCAAACUUUAAGCGUGAACUGGAGGUGUUUAGAUUGCAUAAGCUUGCCUAUGUUCAUUAUAGCUUGGACGUGUUGAGGGUUAUGCUCCACAUCAGAGUAGAAGUGAUACUACUUUCGCUUGGACGAAUGUGAUGGAGAAGAAUCCUAAGUUAUCAGUAGCAAUAGGUACUGUAAAACCAUUUUUUCGGUCAUAUCUGUUCAAUGAGAUUUUUUUUUUCCCUCUCCUUUUGUCUAAUUCCUUGAUUUUUAUUAUGCCAUCUCCAUAGUUGCCUUGCAUUGUUGCUUCUAAUUUGUUGAUUGUUGGAAAAGGCUGAUUAUUUACCUCACACGAAUGAUUGUUAUUCAUGCUUCCUCUGGUAAUGCUUAUCUUUGUUUGAAUGGUGGUAUUUUGGUGGUGUUUUCGUUCUGAAGCAAUGUACUUUUGGUGAUCCAACUCUAAUUUGAAUUUUUAAUUUUGGUGAUUGCUGCCAGUAAUUGCUAAAUUAGCAUUAUAUUUCGUUUGUGGGUUUAUGUUGCUAAUCAUCUAAUUGAUCUCUCAGAAAGGUCAGAACACAAUGCUGGUGAAAAGGAUUCCCUGGAUAGUGCAGGAACUCGUGGUAAAGGUCCUCAUACUGACGAAUGCAAGUUUAAGGAAUUUAUAAUGGGAGAAGAAGCUCUGAAAAUCCCCCCUACUGCACCAUACUGCGUGAGGCGUCCCCUGAGGCGAGGCCACUUUAAUAUUUCUCACCAUUACUCUUCACAACAGGUAUGCUUGCAUCUGACUGCAAAGUGCAUAUAUAUGAUUUACUUCACUAUGUACUUCACCUACCUUUGGCAAAUUGAUGGUCUAAAAAGGGUAGCUUAUGAUUAUGUUGUUGGACUUUGUAUUUAGUUGGGGAUGCUUUUUUCUUCUUUUUUUUUUUUCCUUCGACAGUACAACAUAAUAAUAGUUUCCGAAUGUGUUCAAAGUUUGCAUUCCUGACUUUGUUACAAACAUAGUAAUGUGUAGCAAGUGUUUUCUGAACUGGGUUUCAAACUGGAGAAGGGCAAACGUGAAAGGUCAAUGGUUCAACUGGGAUCCAAAUGGUGAUUGGAUGCUUCAACAGAAAAAUAACAAUUAAUUACAAUAAAAUGAGGACAUCCACAAUAUUUUUUCUUUUAAAAAAAAUUAUAAGUCAAGUUAAAUAUAGUGGUUUGCAAAUAGUACUGCAUUGCACUAUUAGAAGGUAACAAACAGAAAGGUCAAAAAAAAGAAGAAAUUGGUUUCAGCUUAGAUAAAAUGUAUGUUAAUCAACUGUUGAAGCAUGUAAGUGGAAAAGAUAUAUGAUCUAGUAUGUCGUGUUAGCUUUUAACCAAUAUUCCAAAAGGUGGUAUGUGGUAUAUAUGCGGUUACAUACUGCAUAGUGCAUGUGCGGUAUGUCGGCACAUGCAUACGCAUAUACAGUCCAUCUAUUAAAAUAUUAAUAAAAUAUUUAUAGGCAUUAAACAUAUAUAUAAAUGCUUCCUAACAAAGCUAAAUAACAAAAAUACCACUCGGUAAUUCGCAAAUUAAAAUAAGUAAUUUCAAGUAAAGGACCUCAUACGCACACAUAUAUCACUAAAAUAACAAAUAGCAAUUUACUUUUAAUUAUUAAAUAGAAUAAUAAAUAGGAUUUCAAUGCAAAAUUAUUAAAAAUGUCAAACAAGCAUCAAUGUUCUGUAAAGUAGUAUGCUAAACUUUUACGAAGAACAAUAACUUUUUGAAUAAAUUGUCAUUUGCAUUACUUGAUAUGUCCAACACUUACUAUAAUAACAUCUAACAUACUACAAAAUUAUGCAUUAGCAUUUAAACAUAUGUAUUAGAUACAUUUGGAAUAAUACCCACUAAAAUAAGACGAGAGAUAGUUAGGUUAUAUUUAUAUAGAGAUAAUUGCAUUUAUAUGCAUUAUUAUCAAUUAAACUUCUAUGAAAAUAGUCAUACAUAUAUGUAUAAUUAUUAAUCAGACAGUCCCAUUCAAUAUUAUAUUUUAAUCCCACCUUAAAGAAAAACUUUGCCGCAUCUGCUGCUGCAUAUGCGACCGCUUGCUGCAUAUGGGGCCGCAUAUGAGCCGCAUAUGCGGUCCGACCGCAUACUGCACCGAUAUUACAUAUGCGAUGCUGGUCCGAAUGGCAUAUGCAGCUGCAUUAACCACUUUUUGGACCAUUGCUUUUAACAACUUUGACUCUUUAUAUUAAAGAAUGGAAGGAAAGGGCAUCUGAAAUAGUUCAUGCAACUAUGUGAUAAAAAAAACUAUGCCCGUUACAUUAUACAGAAAUUACUUUAGGUCUAGAUUUAUAUGUUUCAGAAAUAAAGAUGAAAUUUGGUUGGUUUUCUUGGGGUUGUACCUGGUUUUCAGGUUUUGUGGUUCAAUCAACAGGUCCUCUAGUUUUGGGUGGUUUAAAGCUGAAAUUGAUAUUUGGCACGCAAAGUCCCAGAAGUACUAUGCAGCGGGCAUCUGAUAAUGACUUGCCGACGUCCUUUUCGGCGUUGGACUUGAGAUCUGAAACUCCCAACAUGUUCUACACCAAAGUUUUAAGUGCCCGUCGGUACGGGCCGUAUCCACCGUGCCGUACCGUGCCAACAAGAUACCGGCACGAUACAGACCCCGUGCCGAUAUCACAGUUCAAAACUCUCUGUUCUUUAAAUUAGUAAGUAAUUUCCACAAUAAAGUUCAAAAGAUGUGAUAAAAAGACAUAAUAAAUAGUUAGAAUAUUUUGUUGCUAAAGAAAAUAAAUAUUUUAUGCUAUUAUGUGUCGGCACACAAGAAUAUUUUUGACCGGCAGGCAUCGGCACGGCUCGGCACGCACCGUGCCGGUAAGUUUCCGGCACGACCCCGUGCCACGGCACUUAAAUCCUUGUUCUACACGAUUCUUAGUAACAUCUAAAAUCUUGAACUAGAUGUCUGACACUUUUGAGUAUUUUUAUUUUAUUGAACCGACAUUAGGUCAACUUGCUUUUUAACCUAGUCCACUGUUUGGUCCGUUUUGGUUUUCAGAUGAUUGGCAGUGUGCUCAAGUAGUAGUAAUGAGUUAAUCAAGUUUUGCUCUUCUUGGGCUUUUUAAAUUCAUGGUUCUGAAGCUUUAGUCUUGUAACAGAAGGCUGCAACAAAUGUAAAUUGCCAGGACUGAUGUCCAUUUACGAGCAAAUGUAAUGUUCUAUAGCACAUAAGGCUUCGUUUGGGAUUGCAGAAAAUUGCAUUGCGUGCGGUGAGAUACUAUGAAGAAAAAAUAGUUUGUUUGUAACUAUAAAUAAUAUUACAUUGUGCAUAUCAUAAUGAGUUGGUUAAGAAUUAAUUUCUGCUGUCCCACCCAAAAACAAAGAAGCAUAUCUCUAUAUGCUUUCACCCCAAGCUCCUUUUUGCCCAAAGCGUUAGUUACCGAUAGAUACCAAAUGGGCCCUAAGAAUGAAUGAUGCUAAAAGUAGAGAUUUAAGUUUUAUAAGUUAUUCAAAUAUCAUGUAAAGUUAGUUUUAACUUAUGUCUAUUCAUGGGAAUUUUGUGAUUAAACGAUGGGACAUAUGGGUAGAAAGAUUGAUUGUGAUUAAAGCCAAAAAAGGAGUAAUGAAAUAGUAAAUAGUAAGUACUUGACUGAAUAGCUACUUUUGAUAUAAGCAAGGAUUCUACAUGCCGCACCUUGCUGUACUAUGCCGAGGUCGUGCCGGCAUGUGGGACAGGAUCAUGUUGAUGCUGUAUCAACUAUGUAUUUUUAUUUUUAUUUUUUGAGUUUAAGAUAUCUCUUUUAAGUUUUUUUGAGGUGAAAGGUUUUAGAAAUGUUCUCCGUACUCGAAAUAUAUAGUUCUUGUCCAUCUACUACCAUAUAUUGCAAUUAGUGACUUCAACUGCAUAAUGACACCAACUUUUAGUGAAAAAAAAAUACAAAUAAUAUCUCCCUAAAUAUUUUUUAUCAUUUUAGAUUGUAGUGAAUUUACCUGUUGUAAUGUUUUUCUAUAAAUUUUAACCUAAUUAUAACUUCAAUUUUGUAUUCAUGUACAUACUUUCAUAAUAUAUGUAAAAUGAUUUUUUUAGUUAUCAAGAUCUUUAUGACUCUACUUUUACUAUUUUUUGUGAGAUAUAACAUCUGAGCCAUUUUAUUGCUAUUAGAGAUAUUAAAACAAUCUAAAAAGCUAUUUUUUCAUGAAAAUUUAAUUUAAAAAUGCGUUCCAAUGCUUCCCGGUUUUCUAGUAGCGUGCCACUAGAACAGGGGCGGCACACCAACGUUGGCACGAUCCAUGCCGCCGUGCCAUGCUGCUGGUACAACGGCACAUGUUGUGCUGGUGGCACAAGGAAUCCUUGGAUAUGAGAGAGUUGAGGGACGGUAAUGGGAAGGAGAAAUGGCUAAUGUAACAUCACCAACUAGCUAUUAUAAAAUUAUAAUUGGCACGCCCUGUGCCGCCGUGCCGUGCCGUCCCGUGCUGCUGGUAGAGCAGCACAUGUCGUGCUGGUGGCACAAGGAAUCCUUGGAUAUAAGAGAGUUGAGGGAGGGUAAAAUGAAAUGGCUACUGUAACAUCACCAACGAGUAAUUCUUUUUAAAAAGCUAAUUAUUACUGUGUGUCCGUAAGAUCUAUAAUGCAGGAAGAUAUUGCUUUGUCUUGCAGGUUUGUGAAGAUCUCUCUGCUAUUUGGAACUGGAUAUUGGUCGAAAAAUUGAAAAUUCAACUGGCUGACAGAAAUUUGUAUUCUGCUAUUCUUGUUUUGCCAGAGACAUUUGAUAGCCGUGGUACAAUAUCUGAAAUCUUGAGCAUCAUUUUUCUUCAUGUUGUAUACCCUUUAUGUUACUUUAUUUGAAGUUUUUUGUUUAAUGUUAAAUUUCAAUCUUUCUCAUUUUUCUUCUGUUUAUAAUUUUACAUUUGGUAUGUUACUGAUAUGAAUGCAAAGUCCAUUAGUCAAAAGUGAAAGCUUAUAGUUCUUGAAGAUCUUCUGGUUGGGGAAACUUCACCAGAGGAUCAGCAUACUGAAGUAUUAGUUUAUAUUUAUCCGUUUAUGUCUCAAUGAAGUUUGAUAUCUGAUAUGUCAAUGGCUAGAAGACAUGUUUGACGGAUCCACUUUGUUUUCCUUUGUUGAUUUUUAGACUGUUUUGGUCUUGGUCAACAGUUGACUUUUUAAAGGUUGUUUGCUCUUUGGUUUGGGCUGAAGUGGCGGAGAAUGCCAAAUUCCUCCCUUCUACUUUACUGGGCUUCCUUCACAAAUGCUCAAUAGUAGUAAUUUAUGCUUUAAGUGGAUAGAUUUUCUCGUGUAUCAAUGAAUGAAAGAAAUAUUAAACAUUAUCAAUAUCAAUAUACAUACUGUUAUAUUAGCAGGUUGGUACGUAUAACAGUAUAUUAAUAUCAUAUAGAUUAACUUGUUUUUUUUGUCCUUGUCAAUUGACGAUUUUGCUAUGAUUUAUGCUAUACAGUGUAAUGAAAUCCUGUCAGUAAGGAUUUUGGACCAAAGUAGAUUGGUAUGAAUUAUGAUCUUAUGUGGAUCUCAGUGCUUAUUAUACCUACAUUGCUUCUUUCAAUUGUGAGACAUUUUCAAUAUCGAGGCACUUUUUCACUAAUAUACUGUGCAUUUCUGGGUAAGGUAUCCGCAUUGUGUUUAUUGCUUACUGAAGGGCUGCAAAUACUUAGUGUUUUAACUCGAGUACCUCCUAAUCUAGAAAGUCAAACAUAUUUUCAACAUAUUCAAGAUUUUAAUUAUAUUCUGACAGAAAUCAAGGAAAUGCUCUCUAUCGUGUUGCGUGAUUUAAGGUUCAGCACAGCAGUAGUACAUCAGGUACGCGAUCCCUGUACUCCUUUAACUCAAUCAUUCACAUGACUGUACUUUCUAAUCAGUCCUAAGAAAUUACUUUUAAGACAUCUAUGGGUGUAAAAUAUUCUAGAAUGCAAAUCUAGAAAGAUUAUUUUUGUUCUUUGUAUUUAAACUGCCAGCUUUUAAUGUUCUAUUUGGUACGCAAGUUGAAAUAGAUAUGCCAUACUAAGAUAUGUGUGCAAAUAAUCAAAUUUGAGGGGCAAGUAGUACUAUUCAAUCCCUUUGAAUUGGGAAGGAAACAUGGUUACUUUGAAUGCUUUACUUCAAGAACAAAAGGCAAGUACAUACUACGUACCAUUGAGCCUUAUAAUGUAUUUAUUGCACAUAACCAUGCCAUCUCUGACUAUGUUUUCACUGCAUCCAAAUUACUGGAAUAUAUUAUUUACUGAGACACAAGAACUCCAGAAUCACUAGACCCAUAUCAGUGGAGGAGACAAGAUAGAUGGAGAUAUGAAAAAGGGCUUUGUUUGCAAAUAGCCCCCUGAUAAAAUUUUAUUUUAAAAUUGGUCCUGUUAAAAAUUUAUUUGCAAAAAUGGACCUGCCCCUGCCACGCAAGCGCCACGUCAGCGCCACGCGGGCGGGGCAGGAGUUUAAGUUGAACACGGUGAAUGGUUCACCGUGUCCAAUAUGAUAUUUGUAUUGGACACGGUGAACCAUUCACCGUGUUCAACUUAAACUCCUGCCCCGCCCGCGUGGCGCUGACGUGGCGCUUGCGUGGCAGGGGCAGGACCAUUUUUGCAAAUAAAUUUUUGACAGGGCCAAUUUUAAAAUAAAAUUUUGUGAAGGGACUAUUUGCAAAAAAAGCCCUAUGAAAAACUAUAUUGAGAAGAGUAUAGUUAAGAUGGGAGUGAUGGAUCUUGAGUUUUCAGUUUAUGUUCCACCAAAAUUUAUGUUUGCAUUAUGAUUUAGGUGUAGGUCAUGAGCCAAAUCAUGGGGAGAAGUAUUUUAGAGAGUGAAUAUAAUUGCAAUGACUGUGACAUUGGCUUUUGUGUAGGAAGAGUAAAUGAAAAGGAGCUGAAGAUGGGUGAAUUGGGACUUAUUUAAUUGUCCAGUAAUGAGUUGGAGAAGUAUUCACAUAUUUUGUUUUCCCGUAAGUUGAAUGUUUAGUAGAGCUGACGAGAUGGGAGUGAUGGAUCUUGAGUUAUCAGUUUAAGUUCAACCAAAAUUUAUGUUUGCAUUAUGAUUUAGGGGUCAUGAGCCAAAUCGUGGGGAGAAGUAUUUUAGAGAGUGAAUAUGAUUGCAAUGACUGUGACUUUGGCUUUUGUGUAGGAAGAGUAAAUGAAAAGCAGCUGAAGAUGGGAAAGUGGGACCUUAUUUAAUUGUCCGGUAAUGACUUGGAGAAGUAUUUUUCCACAUUUUGUUAUCCCGUAAGUUGAAUGGUCAGCAGAGUUGAGGAUGAUUGAAUUGGAUGCAUAACUUGAUAGACGGGGAAAAAUAAAGGAGGCUCUGUUGAAAAGCACCUUAGUUAUGUGUUUCAUUGCUUAGAUUGCUCUAGUAACUAAACAGAUGUUAAUGUUGUUUUAAUGCUUACUGUGGAAUUCCAUCUUCUCCCUCCACUAUAAUCUUUGUAUUUUGAAGUACUAUUCGUUUUCUUUCAAUGGAAAAGAAAGCUAUUAUAAACAAUUUGAUAAUAAAAAGCUAAAAAAAUGUCCAUAACAUGCCAGCGGUAAGUACUUUGUCAGCUUAUGACUAGCUUAUCUCUCUGUCGCAGAAUUGCAAAAAUUGUUAAGCACUAUGACCAUUAUAUCUGUAUCAAACACUUACAGUUGAAACAUUCUACUUGCAAAUAUAUUGAAUUCAUUUGUGCAAAAUAAAAAUGUUAUAUUUGGAAUAUGUUUUAAUGUUUUGAAGAACAGUACUAGAACACUUGAAAAAUAAUCUUUCUCAAUGCAUAGUGAACCAUGACUGUGCAUUAACUGUCAAAAAUUGACCAAAAUGCAUCAGUUUGGUUAGAGAUUUAAGUUUUUUUCAAAUGAUAAAAGCCCUAACAUGGACCUUCUAAAAAUGCACUGGAGUAACUUUACUUUUUCUUGGCCUACUUAAUACAUGUCAUCUAAUUAUCAUUGAACAAAUACAUGAUAAGCAUGUGUAGCAUCUCAAAAAAGGAGGGUUGCCAUCCCUUUUAGGUUAGCUUUGCAUCCAAUAAUUUCUACUUUUUUAGAACAUUUACACUUUUAACUUCGACAUUCUGAUUAAUUUUUUAUUGAUAUAGCUACUAUAAGACUCUUACUGGUUUUUAGUCUAUAGAAAGGGCCCUGGUCAAUCUUUCUUGUAUUUUAACUCUCAACAAGAAUCUCAUAUAAUUUGAUGUCAUUUUGCUGGGAGUAUUAUAUUUUUCUGCCGAAGAUGCUAAGAUUCUUUCUCAUGAUGUUGAAUUUAAACCAAUUUAUCUUUCAGGAAGGUCUUGCUGCUGCAUUUGGUAAUGGAUUAUCCACGGCAUGUGUUGUGAACAUUGGCGCUCAGGUUACAUCUGUAAUAUGCAUUGAGGUAGGGUUCCUAGUUUGAACUGAAGUUUCAAUUUCAUAAUUUUUUAUCUUAUCAUCAUAAAGAUGGCAGUUUGAAUCAGUUACAAAUGGAAAUAGUACAUGCUGUGUUUGCCUUAAAUUGAUGUUUAUUCUAAUGUUCAGGACGGGGUGGCUUUGCCUUCUACAAAUGUCAAUCUGCCAUAUGGUGGAGAGGUACUUGAUUACUCUUGCUUUUCACCUCCUUUGUUUUGUACUACUCAUUCUGAGAGUUUUUUCUCCUUUGUUUUGUACUAAUUCUGAGAGUUUUUUUUUUAACGUUUACUACAUAUUAUUUUCUGUUAGACUAGUUAAUGACAUAGUGAAACUUUUAACUAGGAUGAAAUUUGAAGGAUCGUACUUUUAUCCAUAUUUACUAUAUUUCAACGGACCAAAUCCUGGUCAGCUCAGCUCAUCGAUAGUCAGACUUCACUCCAUUCUAAGUCUGUUGGCCAUGUGAAGUCUGAAAAGUAUAUGAGAUCUUUCAUGUAAAUAUUCAUUCACAAGUUAAUCAUGUUUUCAUCUAUUUCUUCUCCUAAAACAAUCUUGGGCGAAUCUUUUCUAUUCAUUUCUAACCAUGUCAUGUUGGGCCUCUCACUGUUUUUUAUCAUAUCAUCUGCCAGGGGGACAUGCAUAUCUCUACCUUUCAUUUGGCUGUAGCAUCUCUCUUUUCAUGGAUGAAUGCUUUCCUUUGUAAUCGUAAUUUUAUGUAACUACAAUCGACCAUAAAAUCCUUAUCUUAGUUACACUUAUUCCAUGAGUGUGUUGUUUCCUACUGGUUCUACAUUUUGUUCAAUAACCAAUGCGACAAUUCUGUGAAUUUACCUGUCAGUUGGAAUAUUUGACCCCAUAUGUUUGGAAUGCCUAUUUUUAAGGAGGCCAUAGCCUUGAAUAUUUUUGAAUAUUUGUCGACUCUUCUCCUUCUAAGCAUAUUGCCUUGAAAGUUGGACCUCCUUAUCCGAAAUUUGUCUGUAUUGUUUCCAACUAUAUAUAUUUUUUUCCUGAUUUUACCUACUAAGAUAAAUUUUAUGCAAUGGAAUAAUCCAACGGGCAUUGUUUUGGUGGACACUAUUACGUUCAUCAAAAAGUAACAUAAAAUGUGAAGGAUUUAGAGUAGAGCCUUCAUGUUACCUUCGGGAUUAGCAAUUUGCUUAUUAUGCCGCUACUAGUUCUCACUGUGGGUAACUAUUUCUUGAUGCAUUUCCUUUGUCAAGUUGAUAUAUUGAACAAGAAUUGGUCAACAUUACAUUGAAAAGAGGAAAAAGUGGUCUCGAUACCGGCUAUGUGCUCGAUAAUCCUCAAUUAAAACCCUAUAUUAGAGGUAUUCAACCUUGUUCGAAUAACUUUAUCAUCAUCUCUAUCUGGACAGCAUUUUGUCGUUGUAGUUCAAAAGGGAAACAAAGUUCUAAACUACUUUCUUGAUACUUAAUUUCAAGUGGCUUUAGUUCUUCAAACAAUUUUGUAUCCUAUGGAAGUUUAAUUAGGAUAAAGUUAUGGCAGUGUCAGUUUACUGAGGGGUUGCUGUUAAGCCAAGGGAAAGAAAUCUAAGAGCUAUAAUAUUGUCCUGCCAUAAUGGGAAUCUCUAUUGUUUUUCGAUGAGCCAAAGGUGAGUCGGUCAUCUUCUUGAUGAACUGCAUUCAGAAAUUGGAUUAAAUAAGUUUCUUUCAUUGGGAAAUGGGAUUAAUUUUGUGGACUGCCCACGGCUCAUCAGGAAGAGUUAGUUUGUUACUUGCACAAUAAAUUAUUGAUGAUAAUAAGUCUGUGAUUGCUGCUUACAUCAGGCAUCCUGUUUGACAGUCGGAUGAGCAUGAAAUACCUACAUCUGUCGAUCUCUUGGUCAAACAUUAUGUAUAUGUACUAAUCCACAGUCUUCUUUGCAUGACUCGUUGCAUAAUUCUUCUUAGUUUAUUUUUCUUUGUAACCUAAUUAUAUAAAACUUCAAGCUAAAUGUUUUAUCUAUUUCCUGUAGGACAUCUCAAGAUGCCUGCUAUGGAUUCAACAGCAUCAUCAAACUUGGCCGCCUGUUCAUACCAAUCCAAUGAAUAAGCCUGUUGAUAUGUUAAUGCUCAAUAAGUUAAAAGAAUCAUAUUGUCAGAUCAGAGUGAGUGUUGUACACCAGUGUGAUUUAGAUUGCGUGUCUAUAUGCAUUUCAUGUAGAUUGUGAUUCAUGACAUCUGAUGGUUAUUUUUCUUAGAUGAUCAGUUCAUAUCUUGUGAUAUUGUUUUUCAUAACUGCCUUUAUCAUUCUUUGUCCCUUAAGAAUGAGUUCUAUUUUCCAACUAAACUUAUAAUGAUCCAACAUACUAGAACUUAUGCAUAUGCGUGCAUCUAUGAGCCUAAAUACCUGCAAGUUUUUUUGUUAAUUUUUUUUAAAAAAAUUUUAGGGUGCAAAAUAGAGUACACGAUCUUUUUGACUGUCUAUAGUCCUUUAUUAUAGUUCAAACCAAGAUAUCUGGAAAUUCAUUCAUCUUACUGAUGUGAUAUUUAUCUAAACCUGGUGCAGUUGAGUUAAAUUUUAGGAUUUGAGUAGUGGAUUCGAUGAAUUGGUUGACUGUGUUGUUAGGUUUUCAAUUUUUGCUUCGAAGCUUCAGUCGAGUUAUAAUGUAGUCAAUUGUUUAGUCUACACUGUCUUUUAGAUUGACAUUCAAACUUUUGUGUUGGUUUGAACUUCUCUUUUCCUGAUUUUAUAAUUGUCAUGAAAUUUACUGCAAAUUUUUGCUUCAAAUUUAUACUUUCUUCUACUUCUAUUAAAAUCUAGCUUUGUUAUUAUGCGCUGACAUCUGUAUAUGUUUCACAAAUCUCUUUUUUUCUGUAUAAGAUUAACCUCCUUGUCUGGAUAUUUUUUGUAGGAAGGAGAAUUUGAUGCUGUUGCUGUAGUUAAUUCGUUUGAUCAAGAACAUGUUGCCUCACAUAAGACAAGGCUAUCAGCCCUCAAUGUAAUGCUCCUUUAUAAAACUGCACAUUUUAUUCUCAUAUUUAGCGUAAUAUUCUUUCUUAAACAGUGUAAAAGUAGCAUUUUGUUUGUUUGUUUAUUUGUUUGUUUGUUUGUUUGGGGUCAAUUUAGCAUGCCUAAUUUAAUUACCAUCCUUUAAUCAUGAAAAGCUAAUUAUGUGUGUAAUUUGCUUCAUUGGUCACUUGAAUCGUUUGCUCUCAGGACACCAAACUUCAAUUUCCUGCCAUCGUUGUACUGAAUUUCAAUUUCUGUUACAAUUGGUUCCAGCUGUCAAGAAUGUUUAACUUUCCUAACUGAAUGAUGAUGUAGCAGCAGGCUCAGCUGCCAUGUCAUCUUCAGGACUAUCUUACAGUGAUCCUUCAUGAUGCAGCAAAUAAGUUAUGUGCUUAGAAGGAUGAUAUUGAAUCUGAUUUUAGAAUGGCAUGUCAUCUCUCCAUCAGGAAAUCUUAAGGCCAUCUGGAGUUGGAUAGUAACAGAAAAUUUUCUCUAGUUCAUCAGUUUAAUGACCACAUCGAAAUAUCAUUGUAAGUUCAAUAUGUAGAGGUGAAUUUGGUGACACUCAGAAAUAUGACUGGAUGAUGCUCAAUUGCUUAUAAAGAAAGCAUAAGUGUGCAAUCUUUACAUAGCUGUGCAAGAUAUGGCACGACUCCUAUAGCAGUUAAGUUUCAACGAUAUAUAAUGUAUUAAUUCGAGUGAAGGAAAUGUUCUUCUAGCAAUGCAUUGAUGCCAACCAUGAAUUAAAUUAUCUAUAUUAUUAUAUUGCUGAAAGCAAUUUAGAAAUAUCAUGGGAGAUGAUUUACUGCUUCAUUAAUGCACACACUGCUAAUGUUGAUUUCUUUGCAGAAAAUAUUUAUACUAUGAAUUUACUUUUUAAGUAUCUUGUCAUAAUUCAUGUAGGUUCCUCCUAUGGGUCUUUUCUACCCAACACUCUUUGUCCCGGAAGAAUACCCACCUCCUCCCCGCUCUUGGUGAGAUGUGAUUUGGCUAUUGUUGUAAUCUGGCAAAUGGAUAAUUAUUUAAUAAUCAGUCAUCGUUUUCAUUGUUGCCAGGUUUCAGGACAAUGAGGAUAUGCUUGAAGAGACUUGGCAUAUGGAGUUCCCUAGGAGGCCUGACAUGCCAGAUAGCUUUUAUCCCAGUGGUAAUGGUGGACUUAACAUGUGGGACUAUCACAUUUUUCCUCGGAGAUUGAAGAAGGAUGAGAAACUUGGCCUUGCAGAAGCAAUUACAAAUAGUAUUCUUUCAACAGGUAAUAUUUCUCCUACUAUCUUUCUUUAUUGUGUAUUAUUAUCAGCUUUGACAUGAUUAAUUCUGACUUAUAUUGAAUUAGGGCGUAUUGACCUUCAAAGGAAACUGUUCUGUAGCAUACAGCUGGUGAGGUGUACAGUAGAUUUGAGUAUGCUUUUAUAUGAUUCGACACAUUUGAAAAGACCUUAUUGAUCUGUUUUGCAGAUUGGUGGCGUAGCUUCGACAUCUGGUCUUGUUGCAGCGGUGGAAGAUAGGUUUGUACUUUUUUUUUCCUUUUUUGGAUAGGAGAUAGACUAGGGAGUUCACUUUUUUUGUGAACAGGUUAUGUAUAGUUUUAUUCAUGGAUAUCUAUGCUAGCCGUGCUGAUCAGUGUGGGUUGACAUGUUUUGUCCUACGGCAAGUAAAAUCUUGGUUUCAUUUCAGUCCAAGGAUUAUAUUCUGAUUCACUGAAAAUUAAUUUCGUAAGUUUUUUGUGUCAUAUCAUUAUUAAACAGGAGAAAAAUUCUUAAUUGAUCUUGAAAAUUUCAGUUGUAUCAAAAACUAUAUAACCACAUAUUGUUAUAGUAGGUUUUAUGCCAAUCCCCUUUGCUUCUCUAUGUUUAGCUUGAAAUCAUAUACAAAUGUUUAUUGGUUUGACAUCAGCUUAGCUGGUUUAAGUGGCGGUCAAAAUUUUCCACAAAUGCUUUUUCUAAAGCUUACAUACUGCAGAAGACUUGGGUGAUGAUGAUUUAUUCUUUUUCGUUCUUUCUGUAUCUGUAAUGAACUCCUUGGUCCUGGAUUCUAAGAACUUUGCUUCUUCGUUCAGGGUUUUGCAUGCCAUUCCUUCUACUGAAGCAAUAGAUACAGUUGAGGUUAGUUUCUUCCUACAAAAUACUAUUGCAGGAAUUGAACUGCUCUUGGGUUAAUGCCUUUCUAUAUUGCUUGGAGAUGCUUCAAAGAAAAUCUUGCAUUUUGCAACUGAUUUGUCUUAGGUUUAUUUUUACAAUAGGAAAUUUCACUACUAAUACUGAAGGGAAAAAUUUAGCGAAGCAUCUUAAUUUUGCAUUCUCCAGCUGAAAAUUACUUAUGUGGCUCAUACUCAACAAUUUAAGAGGAAAAUUUUUCAUUUUGUAAGAUUUGAUUCUAUACCUUGUGUAAUUUUAAGGUGCUCUUUUGUUGAAAUGCAUGUAGCAUUGCGGAAUAUCUAAGUCAAAUCCUGACUUUAUUAUAUUCAUCAGUUAAAGGUAGUUGAUUUUUUAUGUACUUGUAAUAGGUACUUCAAUCAAGAAGUGAUCCAUCAUUUGUGCCUUGGAAAGGGGGAGCAGUAAGUUAUUUUAUCCUCCCCAUUAUUUUUCUUAGUAACCUUAAUGUUACCUUGGAUAUGCAAAUGCACAAUGGAUCUCUUUUUAUGGUGUUUAUGUCGGCAUGUUUUUGAAAUUCUUGAAUAAAUUUUGCACUACCUUGAGUAAAUACUUAUGCUACAUUGAUCUUAUUACUUGGAAAUGGAGAAACCUAUCGUAUGUAGAAGGUCAGCAUGUUAUUAAUUUCUAUUACUAGUGAACAGACAAUCUAAACUUGAAAGAGUUCAAGUGCUGCUUCCUUCUAGCUUUCACUGUUCUUUAAAACAAAAAUAUCAACAAUUUUGGAGUUAGCAAUAAUAUAGUUACCUAUUAGAAUUUAAAUGUCAAAAUGGCUUUUGAAUUAUAUGCUUGGAUAACUGUGAAAUGGUAAAAUAUAUAAAAUAUCAAAGUAAUGUUUAAUAAUAAAAACAACUGUCAAAUGGCAGAAUUCUGUGCUCGGAUGACUGGAAUGGUAGUGAUCCAAUAACCUCUCUAUUUGUUUAAGAUAAAAUACGGAAAACAGCGUUGGAUUUAUUGCGAUAUGCAUUACACUCUGCUGCUCUAUAACUGAAAUCAAAGAAUGAUCCUACCAUAAUAGGAUGGUAAUAUCUUACACUCUUGUGUAGGAACUGUGAAAUGGUAACAUAGAUAGAAUAUCAACGUAAUGUUUAGUGAAAACAACUGCAAACGGCAGAAUUCUAUGCUUGAUUGACUACAAUGGUGGUAUUCCAAUACUCUAUCAAUUUGUUUUAAAGCUAAAAUACAGAACUGCCUUGGAUAUAUUGUGAUAUGCAUCAUACUCUGCUCUGGAACUGAAAUCUAGGGAUGAUCCUACAAUAAUAGGAUGGUAAUACCUUACCCUCUUUUGUAGGAAGCUACUAUGUAGGUUUUCUAACAAAUGGAGGGGGUUAUCUUUAGGUUUUGAUUAUCUAGGCCAGUAAAGUGCAACAAUAUACCCGGGACGGUUUCUGUCUUUUACUUGUUGCCCUAUUUGCACAUCUCAUUAAUUUUUACUGCAGCUGAUCAAUAUCCUAAGGUUUCUGUCGACUACACAAUAUAGAUACUCAGAUGUGUUAUGCAAUAUCCUUUUGGUGGAAAAUCAGUUCAUAUGUUUAUGAAUGGUGCAAAUCUGUAUAUCUUUGUAUUAGCAAGUUGUCGAUAAGUGGUAUUACAUUUCUUUUUCCAUAGAAAAGAACUUUUUCUCGUUGUUAGAUUCUUGGCAUACUUGAUUUCGGCCGAGAUGCUUGGAUCCAUAGGGAGGACUGGAUAAGAAACGGGGUCCACAUUGGAAGUGGCAGAAAGUACAAGGAUUCUUAUUUUCUCCAGGCUCAAGCAAUGUGCUAUUACAACACCCAAUAGGUAAUUUGCAAAUGGUGAGCUUCAAAAAGGAAUUUACUUUGAUUACAGCAUGCCUUAAGUGCUUACUGUUAUCUGCUUUGAUACUCUUUGCCUGGAAAAAAAAAAGUGGUGUAUUAUUAUUCUUCUAAAAUCUUGGAUAAAAAGUCAUAACUUUGAAUGAACAUUACAAUAAUGUGAAAUGAUUACUCAAUGGUCCCAUCAAACUGUAUUUUGUCCUAAAUCAGUUAUAAUUUUAAAUGUCCCCUUCACAGGUUUAAUCUUUAUAAAAAAAUCAAAGAAAGGGAAUAAUGAAAUGAUUAUUCAAUGCAUGGAAUGUUGCAAAACCAGUAAACCACAUUGAAGUUGUCCGAGGUUGAGAAGGCUAAGAAAAAGAACUUGAUAGAUAUAUACGAUGACCAAUAUUGUCAAUCCUGCUGGAAUUCUGGCUUAAUUGAUCAAGAAAGAAUAUUCAAUGCUUGAUUUUGUUUCUCUUAGUCUUGUUGCAAGUGUUAUAGCCGUAUUUUGGCACCCAAAUAUUUACCUCAGCUUGAAACACAUUGACUGUCAGUUGAAGUGAACACUGUUGUUGCUUUCGAUAGAGCUAUCUUACAUCUUGCAGUUUACUAGAAUUAUGUAUGCGUGCUCACAGAUGAUGCAUGAUACAGGACAGCGAGAGUUCAAUAGAGAUAAGUAACUGGUACAGUUGCAAAACCGUCGACCGUAUGAAGCACGGUGAAGCUUUCCCAAUUUGUUAAAACGCGUAGGUUGGGCCUGCUACUAGAUGGGCUUGUAGAACAGAACGAGUACUAAGAUCGAGGCUGCAAAUAACUUAGGAUAUAUGAAGUUGUAUUGUGAUCAUUGUAAAUAUGUCAUGAACUGAUGGAAGUGAUAAUGAUAAAUGAAUUCUUUUUGGAGAAAGUUUUGUUUAUUUGGUAUUUUUGAUGAAACUUUUAGUCUCUUUCAUGAACUGUUCUGAGUACCUCGAAUCAAAAAAUUGUUUGUGAAACCGAGUGAAUAUAAAAUAAAGUUGGGACGUGGGAGUGGCUAUGGGCCUCUUUGCCUCCACUGUGACUACUGCCUUUGCUUUCAGCAAUCAUUUCUGGUAAAGUAGAAAUUCUAAUCCAAAGCUUUUGAUUCUGUUCAUUGGAACUAUUUUAGUUAUAACGCUUACACUGUUAAAGUUCGCAAUAUUUUAUCAGAAAAUAGCAUGAAUCAGUUUAACAUGGUUUUGUUUUGCUAGCAGAGAGAGACUCAUUGUACUUUUCUGUAUAUAUAUCACUUAUGUUUAAAUAGUGUUACAUUUUAUAAUAUGCCAAAUCAUAUUUGAUCAUAGACAUGGUCUUAUCCUAUAUGACUGCUGUUGGUAGCACUGCCAAUGUCAGCCUUACAAUGUGAUCAAAACUCCCAGUGAGAACAAUCUCACCAAAACUAAAUGUGUUUGAUGCCCUAGUCACAUUUAACCUAAUCUCCAAAUUUUGUGUUCCUUGUGGAGCUAGGUUGAAUGAUGGUGGCUGCACACUAACUUCCACCCCCUCCGGCGAGAUCACGGAGCACGAGUACGUCUCCGAUUUGUUGGCGACGUUCUUCACCACGCGGCGAACUGACGGUGAUCCUCUUAGAUUUGAUAUUGUGAUCGACGGAAGGUUUAGAUUCGUCGGCGAAGCGAGUGAAGCUUUGCAUGCUGCUCCGGUGGCGGCGCGGACGACGCCUGGAGUAAGGUUGGGCAAUGAGCACAAGAAGCCCAUGUAGUCUCCAAAUUCUAUGGGAGAUAUAGAAGUAUUUUCAGUUAAUUUACAGUUCAAUGUCAGAAUAGAUGAUACAAAUUGGAGGUGGCCUCUCUACAAUACAAAUUGUUACCUGCUGGAAGAACUAGUCCUGGAUCAAGCGCUUUCACCGGAUUUAUAAAUCCAGCACCGUAGUCGAAUGGUGUGGCAAGAUGCACCGAGUACAGCUCUGCGCCUUCUGCCAUGAUCGGCCUGCCGGCAUUGCUAUGCUUAUUUGCGGUGGUCAAUAGAGCAGAGGCUAUCAUCGAUGGCGUCCAUGAUGGAUGCAACUGCUUGAUAAGUGCCGCGACUCCGCCGACGUGCGGCGCCGCCAUGCUUGUGCCCGACAGCAGCGCAAAGCGAUGGCCGGAGAGAAUCGGGUCGGCUGCGCUGAUCGGGCUCCAUGCUGCCCAUAUCUGCUGGCCGGGGGCGAGUAUGUCCGGUUUCAGCACAUCGGCCGGAUGCAACUCCCAGUCCAAGAUGUCGGGCCCUCUAGACGAGAAUCGGGCGACGACGGGUGCUUGUGUUGACCCGGCGAAGGUCGGGACUCUUCCUUCUUUGAUUGCUGCACUUGCAUGGUUGCCGACUAUCGCACCUUUUACGUCCCAGGAUGUUUGAUUCUCGUAGUACUCCCAGAGAGCCUAGUAAGUCAUUUAGUAUAUAAAAGAAAAUUUAAUUCUCGUUUGUAACACGAUUUCUCUGCUCCGAGAAGCAGCAGUCACUUAUCUAACCAAGAAAACGUCUCGGGCUAAGAAGCUUAGUUUGAAACUUUUGCUUUUGAUUCAAUGAUCAGCUGUUUAGAGCGUCUAAUGUUUGAAAAAGUUACAACUUGAGCUUCUAAUGUUUGAAAAAGUUACAACUUGAAUAGCUCUACUCAAAAAAUACUUAUACAGAAUGAGAUCUAUAAAUCAUACUGACCUUCGCAUCAGUUAUGCGAGGGAUCAUAAUGCCCGGAAUGGGGAAGGGGAGGGGUUGCGCGAUAAAGUCUCCAUACAAAGCACUAGCGACGAGAAUGAAACCGAGGAAUCCGAGAGUAUUCGCUGUGUCGAGGAUGGCGGUGACUGUCGACGUGCCAUUCAAGAAGCCCUGCAAGAACGAGCAGAUAACGAUGCCGCCAAGCACUUUUGCAGGCUGCAGCGCCUCCGGGUGCUGGCAUUCUUCGGCGUCCGUCGGGCUGCUUAGAUUUGCUGCUGCUGCAUCCCUAGCUGAGACCAGCCUGAAUUGGAAAAUCCCAUCUCCAGGAGUUGGUACUGUUAAUUGUUUCGAGCAAAGAAAAGAUAGCAUUUCUUGUUAGUAUACUUUCAUUCCCUUCAGAUUGAAUAUAAAAAGUAGAAGUUUCAAAUUAAAGAUAGUGUUUGUCGGAGCAGAAGCCCAUUCAAGAUUUUCCUCUAGUCAAAAGCUUUUAUAUUGAGCCUUUGGCUUAUGCUCCUCUUCAGUCAAAAUUAUUAUUGAAGAAGAGCAAACCAAGCAUUUUAGUAACAUGGAAUAAGUAGGUUGAUUGGGAGAAAAACCUUAUGGAACACUAAGAUAAUCUUAUUUUCUACCUUUCGUAUUAUAUAUUAACUGUAUUAAUUAAUAGUGCUUAACGAGUGCUCUUCAGGCGCUCGCUAAAAAAGCUCUUUUGGUAUUUGGACUUGCCUGACAAGCCAACACCCUGAAUUUGGAGGCCACUUCCCAGGACAAGCACAGGGCUAUAACUUCUUCCAGUAGUGCCAGCACCAACUCCCACCACCCAAGGGCUAAAAGAAACAACAGAGGCUUCUCCUGGUCCCUUGUUUCCUGCAGCUUGAGCCACAAACAUGCCAGCUCUUCUUGCUAAAAGCAAGGAGAUGUCAAGCACACUCAUGAAAGUUAUGGUGUCCACUGGGGGCUCAUCUGGUCCAAUGGAAAGUACUAGAACAUCCACCCUAUCUUGAGCCGCCUGCAAAUUUCAGUAUAGCUAACAAGUGAAACUUGAUUCAGUUGUUUCGAUUACUGCUAAAUAGACCUGAUCAAAUUCAGCCUGAUCUAAGCCGAAGAGUGUCGUAUUUGACCUAAUCUCGGUAAGUAGUAGGAUAAUACAUGCGAGUAUUUCUCAAACUUUUGGAGAAUUACAUUACGUAUUGGUUUGUUCUCAAAAUUUCACUUGUUUCUGAAAAUUCUGGAUGAAAAGUCCUUGCUUUUUGUUCUGAAUAGAGUUACUGUCUGUCUAGCAUUUUACACAAUGUAUGCCGCAUCAUUUAGUUCAAAAUGUCAUUCAAUUCUCAACAAAGUAAAAUUUUACUUUUCCAGGGGGGGGAAAAGAAGUAAAAGGGUCUUCUUUUAAAUGGAGUACUGCACCAAACCAAUGAUUAAGCUUACUUGGUCAAUUGCUGAAACAAGAUCAGCAGUAGUUCCUCCUGCAGGAUACAUGGCCUUGUAUACUCUGAGCCUGUUCAAAAACACACAGAGUGCUACACAAACUUAGUGAUCACUUAAUAGUAAUUUCAUGAGAUAUUCGUAUUUGAACUGCAGCUGUGGUCUUGCCUUGCUCGAGGCGCCAUUCCGCUCGCAAACCCGUACAUGGCACCGUCUACAAUCACAGGGACUUGCCAGUUCCCUGCCGCGAUCGAAGCCACAUGACUGCAUGCGAGGAUCCUCGCUUCGAUUAGUUCAUCUCUUCAAAUGUAGUUUAAGUUUAAUUGCACACUACUAGGGAACACUAACUAUUAAGAUGCUUUAGUUAGUCCUUAAUAUCUCUAUCAAUUUCAUGCACUACUAGUCCCUGAACUUCCAACUCGAGUUUCAUUUGGUCCUCAAAUUUGAAAAUUUGACCGCAUCAGCAUUUACGAAAUUCAAGUAAAUUGCACCCCUGAAUAGUUCUCCAAUAUCAAACUGAGAAGUUCAAGAAUUAUAUAAAUUGAUAGUUGAAACAGAAUGCUUGUGUUCUGACGGAUUGUACGUGCAAUGAAAACUCUGCUCAUGCUGCAGGUCUGUCGUAAACGAACCAAAAUGUGGUGCAAUAAGAAGAAAACCAUGCACAACAUAAGAAGCUAUAGAUAUAACCUGCCAUGUCCAACACCAUCAAAAGGCGACAAAUCUCGCGAAGGAUCGAGAGGAAGAACUGCAGCUGCCCCCGCCGCGAAGUACCGAGCCGACAGUAUCUUAUCAUUACACGAACCGACUGGAAAUUGCGCACCAGUCUCACAAACACCAACCAAGAAUGGUUCACUCUGGCUUGAACUCGAGGGACUGUACGCGAAGCUUGGAUGCGAGGGAUUGAUGCCUGUGUCGAUAACUCCGAUGACCAUCCCUUCCCCGGCGUGCUCUGCUCCGCCUUCUUGAGCCCAUACACCUCUAGGCAAGUCCAGCAAGUGUGGUGUGUAUGUGGUCAUUAGCUUUGUUCUUCUAUCUUUCUCUAUCUUAAGCACUUCAGGAGCCAUUCCAAGUCUCUUUGCCUAAGUCAAUGUCAUAGCCAACUUAUAUACAUAUAACAAUUGAUCUUGACUAGGGCUGUCAACGAGCUGAUCACGAGUGAGUUUGUUAUUAACGAGCCGAAUACGAGCUGGCUCGCGAACAAUAAGUUAGAUUGUCAUCCUUACUAUUAGGUAAAAAGCUGAAAGAAAAUUAGAAAACUAGAAUCUUAAUCUAAUAACUAAAAUUCAAAAAUAUUGCUCUCUUUAUAGAACCUAAAAUCUAAAUAGCUGGACAUGAGCGAGCUGACUCCAGCUCGUUCUCGACUUGUUUUGUUAAACAAGCAAUCGAUCUUGACCUCAUUUCGUGUCGAACACGAGCUGGCUCGCGAACAGCAAGCUAGAUUGCCAGCUCUUAUCUUGACCACCGACAGAGCUUUAAGAUUCGGAUGAUGGAUGUGACAGUUUCGCCGUGGUAAUGAUUCCUAUGUAAUUCCUGUUCUCAAAUCAUGUGGUUCACCUGAGAUGCAGAUGUGCGAAUUGCGAAGCCAUUGACAAUGUGGUGAAAGCUGCAGAGUUUGCUGUAAGUCCCAGAAUCAAGAUUUUUUCGAAGAAGUUCGGUGUGAGAUUCCACUACACGCUUUUUUUGGGUUCGAUAUUGUUCGCUGCAUGCACAAGCGUACACCGAAUUGAAAAUGUCAAUGUGAUUAUACAUUACGGGGUUGUUUCGAUGCAUGAGCAUGUUGUUUGAUGAAUCUUUUGUCGACGAUACUCGGAGAAUUUCUUUCACAGCAAUUGAUUGAUAGUUCAAAAGUUAGCAUUGGAUAAUGUAUUUUACUACAUAAACAAGAUCUCAUUCUAUGGAUUAAAAUUUCAUAGAGGUCUCUGUUAAUAUUAAAAUUUUCACAUUGGCCCUCUAAAUUUUUAAAAAUCACACUUGUGCUCUAAUGGUUCAUGAACUAUAAUUAUAAUGGAACAUUGUUGAAGGAAGUAAAGCAAUGAAAUCUUCUACUUAGGCUAUAAUAUUUCAAAGUAAUACAAUGGUUUUCUCCAAUUUACCUUAAAUAAAUAUCUCAAUUAAAAUUACACUAUAAAUGUUAUAUGUCUUAAUUUAUUAAGAGUGAACUACUCAUGUUGUUCAAAAUUUUGCACUUGUAAUUAUAAAAAUGUUUUACUUUGAUCUUAUCCGAAAAUAGAUUUUUUAGAUGAAAAUAAAGAUAAAACUAUAUAAUAGUUAAAUACAACUUUUUGAACCACAUGAUAGUAAAGUGAAACAUGAGUCAAACUACAGGAGGGGGCAAAUUAAAGUUUACGUAUUCUCGUUAUAAAUUACCUAUUAGGGUUGAGCAUUUCUUGUGGAUUAGGUGUUGAGAUCUCUCGGCGAAAGGCGACGCCUUCUCUUUCAACUAGAACAAGAUAGAUGUCUUGCUUCUCGAAGGAACUAGGUUUAACGAACUCGAAUGCGAUGAGAAUGCGAAGGAGAAGAAGAAGAAGAAGAGCGAAAGAUCGCGGAGUUUUGAGGUGGAGGAAAUGAAGAACUAGUUGGUUUGUGAUCUUCAUUGUGGUGAACAAAUUUAGGGAGCUAGUUUAUGAAUAUAUGUAUAUAUAUGUAUAGGAGCUCAAAUUAAUCCUUAAACCAUGCAAAAAGAUGGUGGAAUCACAUGGUUAACAUGAAACUAUGGUUCUUUAUUGUUAUGUCAUGUAUAUCAUUGGUUAGUUUAGUAACGGUUUGAGUUGUCCAAUCCUCUAUUUUCUUUUUUCGUUAAGUUGUUGUUAGUCAAAUUGACUAAGUUUUGCAAAGAUUAGAAACUAGUAAUUGUAAAUUAAUUUUACUGUUAGAACAUAAUUUUGAACCAUCCUUGGGGACAUAAUUGAGUUGAUUUAUUGAGAUUGCGGACUCGAUUGACAAAAAUAAAUGGUUAGAGACCCCAAUUGAAAAAUAAAAAAAUGGUUUGGGAAUUGUUGGAAAUAGUAAUCUCUAACUUAAUCUAAAAUUUAGUUAGAGAUAGAGUUUAUCCAAAUUAUAUAUUGAUUAUAUUUAAAAGUUUAUGUAAUUAGAGUAGCAUUUGUAAUUAUCCAAAGUAAAAGUUGGAUUUGUCAUCUAUUAUGACUUUAUAGCUAUAUAUAGCUAGACGUGAGUUAAUUAGAUGAAUCGACCACAGUAGACAUGACCGUAUAAGGCCAAGUGUGUCGUCCAGAGUGUGCUUAGAUACUUUUUAAUGUAUUAGCUUAGUUAUCUUCUUCUUUUUUCAAUGUAUCUUCUCCAUAUUAUUUUAUUCAGUUUUAAAUCCUGAGUUAUAUAAUCGAUAUUAACGUGAAAACCUGUUUCAACAAUUGCUAUCAAAGCAAAUAUCACUUCUAACAACAAGUAUCAAAUAAAAUCACGCUUCCAAUAAGAAUGUGGUUCACUGAAUUUAGAUUCUGGAAUCGAAAUGAAAUUCAUUAAUUCUGCUAGUAGUUGUUUGUUACGAAGGAAUCGAAUUUUGAUUCCCAUUUCAUUGUGGAAUGGGAAUAUGACCCAAUCCAUUUAUGUCCCAUUCCGACUUUAAAUUCCGGACUCGUCCGUUUUCAAGUAAAUCAUCCAAAAUCUUCUCUUACAAACAUCUCUUCCUCCCCUCCUUUAAUUAAAAUUCUAUCUCAAAAUUCUAUGUUCUUCAGUUGUUCACUCCAAGAAUAAUCAAAAUCCUAUUGAAUUAAUGAUUCGUCGUUCCGUUUUCCAUUCAAAUGCAAUCUACAGCUACGGAGAGCCUUUCACCAAAUCCUUAGCCAAUAGAAGCAGCAGGGUCGCCUACUUAUCGGUAUCACGGGUGAGAUAAAAAAUAUAUUUUUGAGCCAAUUUAUUUAAUUAUCAGUCGAAUCUCGACACCUUAGUACUGAUUUAAAAGAUAGCGCGAAUCAAACGCACCCUAAUAAAAAUGUAUUCAAAAUAUUUAAUCUUAAAAAUACUGUUAAACUCAAUUUAUCAUACUCUUACCUUAUUUUCUUGAAAUAAAAUAAUAAUUUAUACAUAAAUAUUACAUUUGUUUAUAUUUAUAUAACUUAUUAAAUUAUAGAAUAAUAUAGUAAGGGAUAGUAUUUAAUAUACUCCUCAAAACUUUUGAAAUAUCUUAUAUAUCUCUACUUUUUUUAUUUCAAAUUUACCACUCGUAUAUUUUUCUGUUAUUCAAAAAUAAUAUUGUUGUUAGUAUUCGUUAAGUCAUCUCGGAUUAAAUCCGAAUUAAAUUUUUAUCAUCAUUAAAAAAAGUUAAAAUAUAUCUUUUGUCCCUAACUUAAGGACAAAUAAAAAAAACUGAUGAUGAUAUAUUUAAAAAGACAAAAAAUCAAAAUAUUUUUUUUUGCCACUAACUUAAUGACAGAUAAAAAAAGUCGAUGACGAUAGAAGUAUAUAUAUUUGGAAGGGUAUAAAAGUAAUUGUAUAGAGAUAACGAUUGUUUCUAACCGUUUACUAACAAAAUUUAACUAUAAAAGUAUAUUUGAAAUAACUUAGAACGUUAAAAAAGUAUUUUUAAUAUUAGCUUUUCAAAAGGGCUCAAUAAAAAAUCUAAAUUUUUCAGGGUUAUCUAAGCAACUGCCUCAUAAAGGAAAGCUAGGUAAGACAAUAAAUUUUUCCCUUAUUUAUCUGAGUCCAGCUACUAUACUAUUGAUAGUAUUAACCUUUUAGUACUAUCGAGUUUUUCAUCGUUAGAUCUGCCAUUUGAUUAUUCCAUUCGUCAGAUUAAACUAUUCAACCAAUCAUCCACUCAACCUUACCACUAUCAUCUUAAUCGCGCAUCCUUUUAUCAAACAGCCGGAAAACUCGAUAGUAUCAAGCGUUUGGUACUAUCGAUAGUAUAGUAGCAUAAUUUUUUUUUAUUUUUUGUGAAAGUUUUAUUUUUCCAUAUCAAAUUUCAAUUUUUUGCCCCAAAAUUUCUCCUAAAUAUUAAACCGCAGUAAAAUAAUUUUACCGCCAUAAUUAAUUAAUCCAAGUUUAAAACCCCGCGAACUUUCCAAAAAAAAAUCCACCUCUCCAACGCACACUUGCCCAUUUCUUUCGCGCCAGAAACCGCGAAAUCUCCCACUUCAUUCCCGCCAUAUUUCAAAUUUCCCUUAAAUCCAAUAUAAACUCCCUUUCCCCUCCUCUCCAACAUUCUCCUCACUCUCUCUCUCUCUCUCUCUCUCUCUCUCUCUCUCUCUCUCUACACACAUUAUGUUGGGGGCCAAUGGGGUUCCGGAGUGUGAAACCCUAGAGCCCCGAAUCCUCCUUGCCGAGGAGAUCCGGAGCAUUCGAUCGGUUCUCGGCGGCGAAGUCGCUGAGGGGGACAUCGUCCGAGCCCUCGCGAUCUGCGGCAACAACCCUAACCGCGCUAUCAACGUCCUCCUCGACUUGCGGGAGAUGGAGUCCAACGACGUCGGAGGAAAUGGGAUUGUAAGUAAUUUAUGCUCCAACGAUGGUAGUAGGAUGGGGAAUUGCGGUGUUUUGAUGUGUGGUAUUGAAGUGAAAAAGGAGGAAGCUGAUGUUUGUAGUGAGAGAGAGAGUGCUCCGGUCUCGGAAAUUAGGGUUAAAAAGGAAGAAUUUGAGAUGGAUUAUGAGAAAGGUGCGAUUUUGAUGCCCCAAGUAAAGGUUAAAAAGGAAGAAAAUGAUGAGGGUUUUGAGGUCGAAGCCGUUCCGAUGCUGCAGAUUAAAGUUAAGAAGGAAAAUUUUGAUUCGAAUUAUGAGAAAGAUGCUGUAAUAAUGAGAAAUGAUGGAGAAGUUAAAAAGGAGCGUCAAAGCAGUGUUGUCGAUAAAUGGGAUGACGGAUUGGACGAGUAUAUUCGGGCGAACAAUGGCUUGGCGAAGAAGCACGAAUCCGGUGGAAAUGUUAAAAGAGAUGAGAAAUUAAUGGCCAAAAAGGAGGAGCCCUACGGCGGGGAUUUACCUGAUUUGGCUAUUACCCAUUUUACUCCGUACCUCAAUCCGCGCCCUAUCUCUGCUAUUCGACCGAGUGUGGUCGCCGAUCGGAGGCUUCAAGUGGUCUCGGAUUCGGAUUCCGCUGAGCUCGGGGAUUUUCCGGAGGAGCCUGAGUGGUUUCUUGUGGGAAAGACUUAUAUGACUGGGUUGUCCACUUGCCGCGGGAAGAGGAGGCUCGACGCCGGAGAGAUUGUCCAUUUGUCUUUUCCGGCCUCUGCAUUAAAAAGGGAUUAUGGUGGGCUUUCGGUCAGCGCAAAGGCGGCGGCUGCGGUGUCGGAGAUCGUCCGCUUCUCAACAAAGCGGUGUGGAGAGGUAUAAUAGUAAUUCGACACUCAUUGAACAGUUCUUUUGGUUUUGCCCUAAUCUAAGAUUGUUAGGGAGUUAUGUUUGUAGCAAAAAAAAAUCUGUGUGAUCAUCGUCUUGUUCAUUGAUUUGGUUAGAUUGGGAGGCUGCUUCCGGAGUGGACUAGAUGUCUCAUCCCGCUUGUGAAUUCAUCGAAGGUUAAGGUUCGAGCAAGAAGCGUGUUUCCUUCAGUGCAACUCAGUUUGAUGCAAGAUAUUGUUCUGUACGCGAGGUAAUUCAAUUGUUUUAAUUUUUGUUGCAGGUAAUGAAAAUGUCAAAUGCAUGAUCUUUUUUUGGCCUUUUUCUCUGCAGUUUUUACAUCCAUAGUUCGAUCUUCACAGAGGGAGACAAAUCGUCGUGGAAGCUUUCAGCUCCUUCGCACUUUGAUCCUACUGUUCAUCCUCUCCCAACACUAUUUAAACUACUAAAAAUCAAACCGUUUAAGAAGGUGUUUGCCAAAUAUCUUAUUAUUCUCCUUUUCUUUUUUCAUUUACGCAACUUUUUCUUUCCCUUCUUUUCCGUAUUGCUUUGAUAGAGUCAGGUCAUCCUCAUUUUGUCGCUCUUUUGAUAACUAGGCUGAUUUUACUCCAGCAGAGCUCGACACACGGAAACGCUCUCUAAAUCUAAAUGUAAGUUAGAUCCUUUAUAUGAAUUCCUUUUCUAUGUUGCAUUUACAAGCAUGUAAAUUCCUUUUGGUUGAAGUCCAAAUUCAUUUGAUCUCUUAAUCCUUUACUUGGUUACUUAGAUUAUUAUGUGAGAUGGCAGUCUUCAAAGUGAUUAAAUUGUUUCUUUUUGAAACUAGAAACUAUCUUUUUCAUGUUACUCGUGGGUCUGCUAAAUCUCUUUUCCUACUUGUGUGCACUGUAUCAAUAGAGAAUACGAACAUUAUUGUGGUUUAAGUAUGCAUCUAUGAUUUAAGUUGAAACAAAAUGCAUCUAUAAUGAUGUAUUUAUUUUUUGAUUAUAAAAAAAUUAGGAUGAUGAUGAUGAUGGAGAAUCAAAACAUAUAGUUGGGCUUGCAAAGCGGCGGAAGGGUUGUGAAACUUAUCCUGAGCAAUCUAAAGACGAACAAGCAAUCUCCGAAUCUGCCCUAAAUAAGCUUGUUGGAACGGCAGAUGUAUACGAUUUAGAGGUAAUCUCACAUGGAAAUUAGUCCUAUUUCAGAUUUUAGCAAGCAUGUAUAUAUGGAAGUAGGCUUUGAGAAAAAGUUAGUGAUAUGUCUUUAUGGAACAGGAAGCAGAGCCACCUAGCUCACUUGAUUGUGAGCUAAGGCCCUACCAGAAACAAGCACUCUUUUGGAUGUCUGAAUUGGAAAAAGGAAUAGAUGUUGAGCAAGCUGAAAAAACUCUUCACCCAUGUUGGAAUGCCUACAACAUUGUUGACAAGUAUGUAGUUGAGAUAAUUUCUCUGGAGGAACACUAUCACGAUUGUAUGUGUUGAAUCUUACUGAUCAUAAUUCAUUUCUCUAAAUAACUCGUCAGGAGAGCAUCUGCAAUAUAUGUAAAUGUUUUUUCUGGUGAAGCAACAACUAAAUUUCCACGUGCUACACAGAUGGCGAGAGGCGGAGUAAGUCUUCUUCUAUUUUCUAUCGGUUCUCUAAUAUGUAAAUUUGUAAAAGAAAUUGCCGAAUGUAGGUCCCUCCUGGUAGUAAGCACCAAACCUGCUUUGGAGUUUCGGGUGUUGCUGAAAGGGGAUGAAUUUUGUUUUUUUUGGCUUUUCCCUUUCCCUUUUUCUUCUAAUGUUUUGAUCAACCAAUGCUUUGUAUUGGAUUCAAAAAACAAAUGGAGUUAUAAAUUUUAAAAUUCAAGACACAUAUAUAUGAUUUCUUUUUGAAGGAUUAAAUUGCAAUGUGAAGUUGCAGUGGUCAAAUAUUUUCACUAAAAAAUUGUCAAUUAUUUUAUUAAAGCGGAUUUAUUCUAGUGAUUGCCUAUUUCAUUCAUAUAUAUCUAGAAGCUUGUAAGGUUGCUAGGAAAGUUAUUUUUAAGCUCUUAGGAUAUCUGUUGAAUCUAUGCUAAUUUUAGAGUAUCUGUGCGCUCUCUCCAUCUUAGGUGUCUAGAAAGAGCCUGACAAAAAGUUUCAGCUUGUGUUCUGCAAUUUAAGAGAAAUUAGAGAUGUUUUAUGUGUUCAAGUAUCUACGUUUGUUGUAUGUUAGUCAACUACAUGGAACUCGAUGUAAGGAACGAUGCUUUGGCAUAAAUUUGCCAUAUAACUGGUAUUAAACAACUUGUGUAUUAAACAACUUGUGUAUUCCACUAAAAUCAGCAAGUAUCGAAACAUACCCUGUUAAAAAAAAGUAACAACCAUAAAAAUUAGUACUUAAGCUGGCUUGCUUUGCCACAACAUUUUUGCCUAUAUUGCUUGCGUAGGUGUUAAAACCCCCAAAAGAUGAUUUGACUUGCAUUUGUUUCUACGGCUUCAUGGUCCAUUUCUGAUGCCCACCUAAUUUACUGGUUUAGUUAAUAUUAUCUUUUUUUCAGAAGGGUUUUAAUUACAUUUAUCAAAUGGGAAUUGAAGCUUACUGCGAUUUGUUUCCUUUUUCUCUCUUCUUUUUUUUAAUAGAUACUAGCAGAUGCAAUGGGUCUUGGGAAAACUGUCAUGACCAUUGCUUUAAUACUGACAAACCCAAAAGGAGAAAGAUGUGAUGAUCAAAGCACGAAGAUGGCUAUUGCGCAUGAUUCUGAGAAAGAAACAGUGGCAACGGCAACCCCAACUGUUAAAGGAGGCACUCUUAUUGUGUGUCCAAUGGCAUUAUUAGGCCAGUGGAAAGUAAGCUUUUCUUCAUAUAUAUGCCAUCAUGCCUUUUCUCAAUAUCAUUAGCCUGCUAUUUUUCUUAUUCCGUUGAACAUAUAUAAUUGAGUAGUUGUUUAUAACUUUCACUAGGUUACUAUCUGUCUUUUGUUUGCUAACAAGAUUUUAAGGGCCUAUCAGCACGGGCUGGGCCAACUGUACCGACAAGAUAUCGGCACGAUAUGAAUUUUGUGCCAAUGGCAAAGCUCAACAUUCUUUUUUUUUUUUAAAUCAGCAAGUAGUUAUUAUAAUAAAGUCCAAAAGAUUUGAUUAAGAUAUGACAAGCAAUUAGAAUAUAUUGGUGCCAAAUAAAAUAUAUAUUUUAUGUCAUAGUGUGUCCAGCACACAAAUACUUUUGUGAGUGGAACAAGUAAGCAUGACACGAAAUGCAUUGUGCCAACAAGUUCUUGGCACGACCUCGUUCCAGGACACUUAAAUCCUUGGCUAACUGUUAGCUCAUGGUUAAUUUAUUCUUUUGAAUCACAUAUGAAGCUUGAAGCUUGUACUUUAGCUGCUCUUUAGAUUGUUCCAAAUAAAAGUUCCUUUCAUGAUAAAAGUCAGUUUACUUAAAAAAUCUUCACUGAUAAUAAAAGAACUCUUUCUACUUGCAGGAUGAGUUAGAAGCUCAUUCUAAGCCAGGGAGCAUUUCCGUCUUUGUGCACUAUGGAGGUGACAAAACUAGUGAUCUCAAAGUGAUCGCAGAGCAUAAUGUGGUGUUGACAACAUAUGGAGUCUUAGCAUCAGCUUAUAAAUCUGUAAGUAACUCCGCCUUUUUGUUUCUCUUCUUUUUUACAUAUCAAGUUAGGAUAAUAUAACUAUUCCUCAUUUUACAGGGUUUGGAAAGGGAAAGCAUCUUCCACAAAGUAGAUUGGUACAGAGUAGUGCUAGAUGAAGCGCAUACUAUCAAAUCAUCGAAAACCCGAGUUGCUCAAUCAGCCUUUGCUUUGAGCUCAUAUUGUAGGUGGUGCCUGACUGGCACCCCUCUGCAGGUUGGUUUAUUUUCCUUUUUUUUUUUUUUUUUCUUUUCUUUAAGUCAUUUUGAACUCCAUUCUAAGUUACUAACUUAUAAAACUGUUAUUAGUGGAGCAUUUCACUAAUCUAUGAAGUUUGAUUUUGAAUGCUGCAAAACUUUUAUAUAUCCUGAACCUGCGUGAGUCUGCGAGUAUAAUAUGCAGCACUUGUUUUUAAAGCUGACUUAUUCUGAUAUCAUUACAGAAUAACUUGGAAGAUCUUUACAGUCUCCUUUGCUUCUUACAUGUUGAGCCAUGGUGCAAUUGGGCUUGGUACGUACAGAAAUGGCAACAUUACUCUUAUUAAAAUUUAACUUAUAGUAGAAAUUUAAGAAAUAUAAAAGAUUUAAGGUAAUUGUUUCCUCACUAACCAAGUAAUACAGUUGAUGGUUCACUAAGUGAGAACUAUAAUGUCAGAGUUGUGCCCAAUUACAAAACCUGCAAUCUCAUGCAAAAUUUUCUGCGAUGUCUUGUUCAUCUGCAAAUCAUCUUGAGUUAUUCUUUUUAACUCUUUUUUUUUUUCUUAUUACUAGGUGGCAAAAGUUGAUUCAAAAGCCUUAUGAGAAUGGUGAUGAAAGAGGACUAAGACUGGUUAAAGCCAUCCUAAGGCCAUUGAUGCUGAGGAGAACAAAGGAAUCAAAAGAUAAAGAAGGAAGGUAGGUAUUCUUAUCUUUCUACAUUUUCGUGGCUUUCUUGAGUCAAGGAACUCAAUUAUCAUGUAUUGCUAAUUGCUGCAUCAUCAAUUUUUCUCUUUCUCCAAAAACUGGUGGUGAUUUCAGGCCCAUUCUUGUCCUCCCUCCUGUCAAUGUGCAAGUUGUGGAGUGUGAUCAAUCAGAAGCCGAGCAUGAUUUCUAUGAAGCUUUAUUUAGGAGAUCAAAGGUUAGAUUUAGAUUUUUUUUCCCCCCUUUCUUUCACUAAACUUGCAACUCGAUAUUGAUAUAGAGAAUUAAUUUAAUUCCAAAUUUGAUUUACAGUAUGUCCAUCCUUUUCUUUUAAACCGUUCAGCCUGUUCAAUUAAUUUAGGCACUGAGAAAUCAAGGAAAUUUCUCUUUGUGAAUUAUAAUUAAAGUUACUUGCAUGGUGCUAUGCAGAACUCAGUUAGACACUAUUUCCUGAAGUGGUUGUUCUUGAUUAUACUGUUUAGUUUCUGUGAAUUAGUGAGGGAAGUAUCAUGUUCUUUGUACUUUUUGUCAAUGCUUAUGUACUGUUUUCUGAGGAGCGGCUAGGUUCUAGGUUCUUCAUAACAUCAUAACAUUGAUGUAGUAUUUCAAAGUUGUGCUGUGUAAUUUAUCCUUCGGCAUUUUUUUUUCCCUUUUUUUAACAGAGGAUCUUGUGGGGGUUUACUAAAAUGUAAUGCUUCUGACGCCUACGCUAAACUGAUUUUCCUCAUUUGCAUGAACAUCUGACAGGUUAGAUUUGACCAGUUUGUAGCACAAGGCAAAGUUCUUCACAACUAUGCUUCCAUACUUGAGCUUCUCCUUCGAUUAAGACAGUGCUGCAACCAUCCUUUUCUUGUUAUGAGGUUAGAUACAACAUGCAUUAUCCUAAUGUAUAGAAAUCUAUCGAUUCAUUUAUCCAUUAUUGGAAAAUAAGGCAAUAGAUUGUAUAGAUGUUGCCUGAAGUAUAACGCAUUUUGAAAUGGACACGGACUUCAAAAUUUUGAUUUUACUAUCUAAUCUGGCAACAUGUGUGACUUAUAUACUGUUGCAUGAGAUUGAACAGUUUUUGAAACUUUUUGAUAUUCUAAAACUAAUAGGAAUAUCCUAUAACGUUUUUUAGCUUUUAACACAAGAUUGUGGGAUUUUCUGAAGCUAAAAGUAUGAAAGGUGAGAUAGAAAAAUCAAAAUUUUGAACUUCCGAUGCACUCAUUUCAGAAUGUACUAUAGUUGAGGUAACUUCUGUUGUUGGGAUUUUCUCACCUUUUUCGCUCUCUCUUCAUUUCUGAUGCUCUGUAAAACACGCAGCCGAGGAGACACUCAAGAGUACGCCGACCUGAACAAGCUUGCUCGCCGCUUUCUCGAAGGAUCUCAUAGCAGGAAUGUGGUCCCAACGCCAGCCUUCGUUGAGGAGGUGGUUGACAGCCUACGGAAAGGUGAGAUGAGGGAGUGCCCAAUCUGCCUCGAGUCGGCCUCCGACGAUCCGGUGCUCACCCCAUGCGCACACCUAAUGUGCCGUGAGUGCCUCCUCUCCAGCUGGAGGACCCCGUCAGGCGGGCCGUGCCCCCUCUGCCGCAGCCCGUUGAGCAAGGCAGAUCUGAUCACGUGCCCGACCGAAAGUCGGUUUCAAGUAGAUGUUGAGAAGAAUUGGAAAGAGUCAUCUAAAGUCAGUAAGCUCAUGAAGUGCUUGGAGGGUGUUCAGAAGCUGGGGGAGAAGAGCAUUGUGUUCAGCCAAUGGACUGCUUUCUUGGAUUUACUAGAGAUACCAUUGAGGACUCGAGGAAUUGGUUUCUUACGGUUUGACGGGAAGUUGAGUCAAAAGCAAAGAGAAAAGGUCUUGAAAGAGUUCAGUGAGAGUGGGGAUAAGCUGGUAAGCAAGUAGCCAUUACUGGCCUUUUUCCUGUUUACAAUGUAGUUAUCAGUGAUUUUCAAGCUUUUCUCAUAUAUUGCUAUCAUCAUUAAGCAAAAUUUACUAAAUCUUGUUUCUUUUUUUUUGUUCUUUUGCUUUUUGGAUAAAAGGUGUUGUUAAUGUCACUCAAGGCGGGAGGUGUGGGGCUGAAUCUCACUGCAGCUUCAAAUGUCUUUUUGAUGGUAAUAUUUUCUGAUAUUUGCUCAUCACUUCUUGUAAUUUAUGUUCCUAUCUUAAACUAUUUCUGUUAUGACUCUGAUAUUUCUUAACCAUGUGAUCUUUUUGAACAUAGGAUCCAUGGUGGAAUCCUGCAGUGGAGGAGCAGGCAAUUAUGAGGAUUCACCGGAUCGGUCAGAAGCGUCAGGUUCGAGUUAGGCGGUUCAUUGUCAAGGUAAAGACCUUAAAAGAAUAAAGGGCUUAGAGCUAGUUGGAUGCCAAUGAGCAUGCAAACCUUUUGGGUGAAAAAAAAUUUCAAACAAAGACAUUUGUUUUUCCAACACAAAUAGUGGAAUGUCAGUGAACUUGUGCGCGAUUUUGUAAUGUGCGGGGUGUGGUACAUUGCAGGAUACUGUUGAGGAGCGAAUGCAGCAGGUGCAAGCGCGGAAGCAGAGGAUGAUCGCCGGAGCGCUGACGGACGGGGAAGUUCGGACCGCUCGGAUUGAGCAGCUCAAGAUGUUAUUUACAUGAGUUAUUAUUUUGCCGGCGAGAGAACAAAAAUAUGUAUUGCCUCUUCCAGUUUUGCUUGUCAAGGAAGAGUUAUUUGUUUCAGAAUUAGCAGGGCUAAUCAGAUGGAUAGCUGUUGAUAGUCCCUAUCAGUUCACUGAUUUUGUAAAUUUUUGUUCAUAGUGGUGGUAAAAAAGCCUUUUCUACUCCAUUCAAUUGGAUGGUUGCUUAAAGUAUUAUCUACCUGCAUAUUUGACAUGUGAGGAAUCUGGCAUUCUUAUUGUCAUUUUAAACAAGAAUAGCUUUUGAUAGAUUUGUCUCAAAAGAAAACCAAAAACAGAUGCUUUUAUGAGCAGUAGUGGGCCAGAAGUAGGAGUGUCAACCAGCGGAACACCAGUGAGCUUGGGCCGGCUCGUACGCUCGUUAAAAUAUGGAGCCGAACAACAAGUAAGAAGAAUUCGAAAGAAUAUAUAUAUAAAAAAUAACGUUAUGAGCUUUUAUCUAUUAGAUUUUGAUUUAGUGGUUGAAAUUUUAUUUAUAAAUAUGCUUUAUUAUAAUUGAGUUGGAAUUUAUAUUUAGGUUGCAUUAAAAAUCAAUAAUCGAAAUCUAUAUUAUAUAUAUAAUUAUUUAUUUAUAUAUAUAAAAUAUAAAAUAUAUAAAUUAUAUAAAAAUAAGAUAUAUGUAUUCGAGUUAUUAUCUAGCUGAAUACGAGCGAGUUGACCCCAGCUCGUAUUCGGCUUGUUUUUUUUUUUUUUUUUUUUUUUUUUUUUUUUUUUUUUUUUGAGAAAAAGGUAGCAUGCUAUCCGCUUCAUUCAAUAAGUAGAUGAAAUAAGCAACAUGGGUGAGACAUCAAGGUCUCAAGGAAGACGGAGACAAAAAACGAAAAAACAGGAUAGUGGAAGUUGUUUGCAGACUACAGCUGAUUCUCCUACACUAGCUACGAGGUCUAUCUGCAGCUCUACGGGUCAGGAGCACCCCACUGAGCUAUCAGGUGUUUGAUCUUAUGAGUACCCCGGAUCGGAUCGGCCUGGGCCUUCGCGAAGAUGACUCCAUUCCUAGUCUCCCAAGCCACCCACCAGCAAGCAAUAAUACCGCUUAAGUCAUUAUUCGAACCUUUCCGAUCCCUCCAUAUAUCCCACUGGCGGUGUACGUCAGCUCCCAAUUCUCCUAGCUGGACAUCCUCAAGCGACAUAGCCAUAAGGAAUCUGACUAGAGCACAUUGUGUAACCUUUUUCGGCUUGUUUUAUCUCUCAACUUCGGCUUAUAUUGUCGUGUCAAUCCAUAAUCAUUCAAAAAUUAAUUUUAUUAGAAAAUGAUUUUUCAUUUUUUUAAUCCAUGCUGUAAAACUGCCUCAUUUCUUACAGUUUAAUCCAAACAGGAUUAUAAAAAAUCAAUUUUUUUUUUAAAAAUUUUUGAAGACUAAAAUACAAUAUGUGUCAAAGUUCAGAUACUAAAAUACAUAAAUGAAAAGUAUAAUGACCAACUAGCAAUAUUGGGGUAGCAAGUGCAGGAACUUCUCCAUACAUUUAUCUUAAUUUUUCUGUAAAAGUCUUUUGCUGACAAAUUCUAUAAGAUGAUGCUGAAAUACCAAUCCUACAUACUACAUUGGAUUAGGCAAAAACCCAUCAGAAACCCAAGUGUUUUUUCUUUUUUCUUUUUUUCAAAAUAAUUCUGUUCCGACGAAUGCACAAAUAGAAACAAGAAAUGACGAGCGUGAAAUAGACGAACAAUAAAACAUUAAAUAAAAUAGAAUACAAAGAUUUACAUAAAAAAUUCUUUUGCAGGUUAAGAAACCACGGGUGAAGAACUUUACUAUGAAAAAAAUGAAUAUGAAGUUUUUGUUGUGUACAACAUCCUGUAUUGCGUCUACCACAAAAGAAGAAGGAAAUUGCUAAACAGAUUUUUUUUUCAUUAUUGGAUUCGCAAAACUGUCACCGAAUCAGGAGCACAAAAUUAAAGUCGAUAACCAAAAUUUCGAGGCACACAUCGAACGAGUUCCCGACAAUAAAAGAUUAAUCUAACAAUCCUAUAGAAGCUGAAGCCAGUAUUAUGAUUAAUUUAGUAGGAUGUAAGACAAAGUUAAUUAAAUCAUCUAAUCACAAAAGCUGAUGAGAGUACCAACAAUGCAGCAUUAACAACACCUUGCUUUUUCUUUUCCUUUUUUUUAAAUUAUAAAUGAUUGAACAACCUGAAUUUUUGUCUUCAGCAAAAGCACCUUGCAUAUUGUAUUCUGUUCAAUGUACUAAAAAGCUACUGACUCAAACCCCACCACUGCCGAACUAAAACUUUUCCUGUGUCCCCUAAACUGGUCUGACUAAAUGCCUUUUGGAAUUUGGACCUUAGUAAUGUAGAAUAUAUAGUAUUAUUUUGGUUAUAAUUAUUUAUAAAAAAUUUUCUUAUAAAUUGUUGGCUUUUUAAUUUUUCUUUUUUAAAUUUCAAAAAUCUACAUUUUAUUCUUUCAACAUUUCAAGUUGUUGCAUUUAGCCCCCUUCUGUCAGGGUUUCAUCAUUAUUGUGUUUAUUUCUUAUAAUUUAUAUCAAAAAUAUCUUUCAAAAUGACGAAAAUAUAUUAAAUUUUUUUUAAAAAAAUAAGAAUAAUUUGAUUAUUUUGCCUUUUCUAUUAACACCUUAUACUCCUAAAAAUAUUUUUAAAAUUUUAAGAUGGUAAAAUAUAGAUUUUUAAAAGUUAGAGAAAAAAAAGUAAAAUAAAAGAUAUUUAUAAGAAAAUUUUCUGCAUUUUAACCCAUUAUUUAAUAUACCUUUUUGCAAUCUAAAUUGUACUAUAAAGAAGAUCUAAAUAAAAAGUUUCAUAAGUUUUAUUUCAAAAAGAUACAGCCGAAUUCAGUGCAAGUAGUCCACAAAUUUAAGCAAUUGAUGAAGGAGUGGGAUAAUUACCUUCUCACAGCUAAGCAGACACCUUGAUUUUUUAUUUUAUUUAUUUAUUUAUUUAUUUAUUUAUUUAUUUUUUUGUCAAACUCUUGAGGCCCAUGCUGCCUUACCCCUGUAGCCUAGUUUCUUAUUCCAACGAAUGAAGCGGGUAGUGUGCUAUUUUUUUCUCAAAUUUUUUUUUUUCUAAAUUAGAAGUAACAGUUUUAAAUUAUAAUUUUUUUAUUUUUUUAAAUUCAUAAUCUUAGUUAACUUUGGUUGUGAGAAAAUAACGGAUGGUGCUUCUUGCAGUAAUAGAGUGUAAGAUAUAUAUCCAAUAAUGAUUAAUGAAGUGAUGGAACAGCAUUUUUCUUAGUUCUACACUGUGUACUUUUGAGUUGCUAGCUGUUUUCACUCUCAAAACGUUUGGCAAAUCAAGAGAUCUAAACGUUUCGUACUGCGAUAGGCCAAAAAAAAGAAAAAAAAAAUCCCAAAGUUGGAGAAUCUUACACUCAUCAUCUAUAAGGGUUUUACUUUUUUUUUUUUUUUUUUUUCAUUUAGAAAUAAAUUUAGCUGAAAAUGUGAAUCAACUAGAGUUUUACUUUUUAGUAUUAAAAAAUAGAGGUGAUAUAAGACUACAGAGAAAAACUUGGCCCUUCGUGAUAAGGAUGUAAGAUUUAUACCUAUUUUUUGGUACAGUGACAGUAUUGUCACUAUAACAAAAACGAUAUAUAGCGACAUUUUUAAAUGUCGGUAUAUGUCAAAAAAAAUGCUGCUGGCUAAAUUACCGACACUUUUAAAAGUGUUGCUAUAUGUGGGGUCGCUAGGUAUAUAGUGACAGUUAAAGAGUGUCGCAAUAAUCUAAAAAAGUGCUGCUAAUUUACCAACACUUAUUUAAGCAUUUAGCAACCGCAGAAUCUCUAUCUCGUUGGCUGCAGUGGCGGAGGAGGACGAGAGUAAAGGCUCUUCGUCUAGAAUUUCAGUGGAUUGAGUGAAGAGAGAAGAAAAAAUGGUAAUUGAUUUUUUUUCUUUUUUUUUUUUUGUUUGUAAUCGGGCCAAAUGAGCUGGGUGGGUGGGUUGAGUAGAGUAACCUUUUCUUUUUGAUUGGAUUGAGCUUUAUAUUUAGGCAUUAAUAGGUGUUUUUUUAAGUUUUGGCAUAAAUGGGACGCUUACACAAAAUGUGUCCCAAAUAUGUGUCCCUAUAACCUAAUUCUUUUGUAGUGUUCUGAAUAUAAAGGUUGAACUGCACUUUUGAUCAUCAAACUACAAGCACAUGAUAUUUUGGUUUUCCAACUCUAAUUUGUUAAAAUUUUUUACUUCAACUUUUUGAGUGUUACAUUUUAGUACCCUGUGCUUUAUUUUAACUUUUUCACUGAUUUAAUAAAAAAAAUUAAUAUAGAGAAUAAAAAAUAAGAGAAAAAAAAAAUACAAGAUACUAAAGUGAUAUAUUUUAAACUACAGGAUACUAAAGUAAGAAAAUGCAGAACCAUAGGAGUGGUAUUUAAAGUUUUUUUUUUAAAAAAAAAUAUGCUACCCGUUUCGUUUAUUUUUUUUAAAAUAAACUUAGUUAAAAGUAUAAAACAAGUAGAUUUCAAACUUGAGGUCUCGAAUACCAAUUAUUAAGCCAUUUGCCACCUGCACUAGAGAUGAUCGGUGAUGAGCGUAAAACUUAAACUCCGCUUUUGAGUGUACAGCUAGUAUUUCUUAUUUUAUAAUAUAUAUGUUAAUGAAAUAAUAUGUUAUGUAAGCAAUAAGUCGAACGGAAGCAAUUAACACCCAUGCGCGUUGCAGUAGUCCCGAAGUGCGGCGGCGUUCGGCGGACAAAAGGCGUUGGUGCACUUGGAAUUCUUUAUUCUAACUUAUUCAAACCUUUAAUAAGUGUUGUCUCAUGUUGGAUACAAAAUUAGAACUCUUGUUUGUAUAUAUAUACUGGAUGCAUGUGUGGCUUAGUCCACUUCAGCUUAAGACUUUUGAUUAUUAGCUCUAUAUGCUAAACUAUGGUACCAGAGUUUGAUUCACGUGUUCUCAAAUUUAAAUGCUGUUUUAAAUUCAACUUUCACAUAGUUUUUUUAAGAAUGACAUGUUGAGAAAUAUCAAGAAUAUUAGUUAAUUAGACCAACCUAUUGCAUGAGUAAUAGAAUUCUAGUCUAUAUAUAUACAGUGUGUGCGGAUCGAGUUACUUCACCUAUCAGCUUAAGUUUUUGUGUUGGAUCACUACACCUGAGUCUAUACGUAAUGUUUUUUAGUUAACUCCUCUGAAAAGCCCUAAACAGUUGCCGAAUAAGUUGUUUAUCCAAAAUUGCACUUUGGUAAACUGGCUUUGGAAAGCGAGUAGAUUCAAAGGGGGGCCAGAUUUAGCUAUAAUUGCUACUUCAUGGUGGGCUAUUGAGUUGGAGCGGAGCAAAAGAAUUUUCUUUUUUUUUGAGAGAAAGGUAGCAUGCUACCCGCUUCGUUUAUUUCAUUUAGAAAUAAACUUAGCUGGAAAUGUGAAUCAAUUAGGAUUCGAACUUGGGUUUCGGGUACCAACCAUCAAGCCCUUUCGCCACUUGCGCCAGGGACGGCCGGUGAGCACCACGAGACUAGUGUUAGCAGAUAAUUACUCGCUUCUUAGCCUUUGAGAUUUUUACCGCAUCUUUUUUUUUUUUUUUUAAUGCAGCGAGGCCUAGUUGGCUCACUUUAUAGCAUAGUUAAUUUAUUAUCUAAAUAAACGAAGCCAUAGCAAGCUACCUAUUUUUCAAAAAAUAAAAAUAAAAGUAACCAUAAAACAAGCAAAAACAAGCUCCAAAUUAUUCAAAGAAAAGAAUACUCAUCUCCUAGAUCUAUAUACAAACAUUAAUACUUUGUUCCCUGGAAACCCUGCACCCCCUUCUCUUCAUGUCUCCUCCUCACACUCCUCCCCUACUCCAAUAUAUAUAUAUAUAUAUAUAUAAGUUCCUGCGGCGGAAGUGCGCGGCCGACUGCGUGUUCGCGCCGUACUUCUCGUCGGAGCACGGGGCGGCGCGGUUCGCGGCCAUCCACAAGGUGUUCGGCGCGAGCAACGUGUCGAAGCUGCUCCUCCGCGUACCGCCACCCGACCGCUGCGAGGCGGUCGUCACCGUCGCCUACGAGGCCCAGGCGCGGCUCCGAGAUCCCGUGUACGGCUGUGUCUCGCAAAUCUUCGCCCUACAGCAGCAGGUAUAUAUCUGCAUAUUAACUUGUCGGCAAUCGAGAAACUUAAGUUAUCAAAGAACAGUAUUAUUUUAAUAUUUUUAUGUUCAAUAGAGAGCUUAAACCUAUGCUUGUUGCUUUCUCCGAUUCAGUAUAAAUGAUUAAAACACUAAUUUAUCAUCCUAUUGGAUGUAGCUAGUUUUGUUGAAUAAAUGAAUUAUGUUAUCAUAGUGGAUUUUUUUUUUUUUUAUUUGCCAGAUUCUCUAUUGAAGAUGAUUGUUACUAAAAGUUACAUAAAAAGCUGGACCUAAUCUUUAUUGGCACAUUACCAGAAAAUUAAUAUUUAAAAAUAUUUUUUUAUAUAUUUAAUGAUGUUUAAAAGUGUUUCAAUAUAGUUUAGCAUCAUAUUUGAAAGUGUUGACGAAUAAAGAGUCGCUACGUAUAUACACUACAACAAAAUUAGGUUAUAGGGACACUUUUUUGGGACACUUUAGUGUAAGUGUUCCAAAUAUAUUCAAAAAUUUUUAAAAUUAGAAAAGAAUUUUACAAAGCCCAAAUAAAAACCUCAAUUACAAAAAAAAAAAGGGAAAAAAAAGGGUCUUAUUCGUAUCCCUCUUCUCCCCUCACCAAACCCGUCGAAACCCUAAACCUCACCCUAACCCUAACACGAACCAAACCUGAUGCUACUCCACCGCACCUUCCCCCGCGUCGACCUCACACGAGCGCCCCCACCCUCAACCCCUUCUCUCCCUCACCUCCUCCUCUCCGAGCUCGAGCUCUCCCCCUCUCCUUCACCUCUACUCAUCCUCUCCUCCCUCAUCCUCCACGUUCUCUCCAAGCUCCGAACCCAUCCCCAAAUCGCCUUCGUUAUCGCCCCUGACCUUCUCGGCCCCGCGAGGAGGAUCCUCGACCCGGCGAUCCGAUCCGUGCCCUCGGCAGUGCGGCUUCUCGAUUCGGUGCUUCGAACCAUUGGUAAGGUGGUCUCCUCUCUUCUGUUCCCACUUGUUCUUCCUCUCUGUGCCCAACAAUCAGGUAUGGGCUCUCUCUGUCUCUGUCUCUCUGUGUAACUUCAUCUCUGUAAUUAGAUGGGUAGGUGUGUAAUUUCCCAUGUUUGGGAUUUGGGUUUUCUGUGUGAUCCAUGUUUGUUGCCUCUGAUGUGUGGAUUUGAUGUUUUUUUUUGGGUUUAAUUUUGGUGGGUUUUUUUGGAUUUUAGUAGUUUGUAAUUGCUGUUACCUCUUAAUUUGGUGUAAAAAUUGGAACGUUGGUGAGUUUUUUUCCUUUUUUUUUUCACCUUUUAGAUCCUUGAUGUCUCUGUGGGGCUAUAUUCUCAGAGGGAGUUUAAAAAUAAGGCUCUUCUUUAAAGAGAGAGAGAGAGAGAAGAGGGGGGGUGCAGGGCCUAAUUGUGGAUUUAGGUUUUUUCAAGUUGGGUUUUUGCUGAUCAUGUGAACUGAGUUUAUGCAGGAUUUUGAGCUGAUUAUUGGAUUUAAAUGUUAAUUUUGUUUUGAACUCACUCAUUUGGAUCAACAAAACUCAGUGUUUUUGUUUAAAAAUGAAGGAAUCCUUUCAAUUUAUUGGGUUUGUAGUAAACUUAAUUAGUCAGCUAUAAAUGAUUCAGUGGAUUCUAUGGAUUCUUUACACAGCAUGUUGGUGAAGAAAUGUAGAUUCUGUUCCAAAUAUGCCCAAGUCAGAAAUUCAGAAAUUGGAUCUUUCUCAUGUUGAUUCAAUCUCCUCGAUCCGCAUCCUCCAAUCGGAGGCGAUGAAGAAGAAGAAGAAGAAGACGAAGAAGAAGAAGAUGAUGAUGAUAAUGACGACGGUUGGUGGGAUGAGGUGGAUUAGGUAUUGCUCGCUCCUUGAUCGCCAUGCGGUUCUUUUUCUUUUUUAGGAAUUUUUCUUCUUUGGCGGGAUAGAGUGUAUUUUUAUUUUCUGCUGUAUUUUUUACCGCUCUGUUGUGAAAAAUCUUCCUAUCUGUAGUUCUGCCUAUAAUUGUAAUCAAGUCAAUGAAAUUUGGCUAUGUAGGGAUGAAUCUCCUAUUAUGUACUUGAUUUCAUGCUAAUAGAACAAAGCAUGUAAAUUUAAUGAUUUACGUUGUAGGAUUCGGGUAAAGCUUUUAUAUGAUGAUGCCAUCUAACUACUUUGCUCUUCUGGUUCUGUUAGUUUCUAUUGCUCAGCGCUGUUUCCGUUCCCACUGAUGUACCUCGCCUGAAAAGUGGCUUGAAGUUAGAAGGGAGCUACAAGUAUAACUGUGGCAAGUAAGCAAUUUGCUUCAUUUUUUCUUCCUUACAGAUAUUGUUAAAACUGCACGGUGCAAUAAUCUGUAGGCCAUUUUAAAAUAGAUCUUUGAACUAUUUCAAUUUGCCAAAUUAUGACCCAAAUCAACUAUAGGUUGUUUCGACAUACACCUGCAACUCUAAUUUAUAUUUGACUCAAUUUUAUCCUAUGAAACUCUCCUGUUAUUUAAUUCUACCCUUUUUAGCUAAUGGAAAUGUUGAGAGGCCAUGGCCAGUUUGAGGCACUAAUAUAUGCCCUCUAAUAUGUUUGCAUGUUACCUGUAAUUGAAACAAUAUGCAAUUAAAGGCCAUGCAUGCCAAUUAACUGACGCAUGCAUCCAUGGCCAUGCAUAUUAGUUCACAUGCAAUUAUGCAUGCAUAUUACCUCAAACAAUAUGCAUAUUACCUCUAAAUGCAUAUUAGUUCACAUGGCCAAUUAAUAGCAUGCUCCAUGCAUGCAUUAAUUGCAUGGCCUCAAUUAAAGUGCCUGCAAUUAAUUGCAUGCAUGCAUGACCUUUAAUUUACCAUGCAAUUAAUUGAGGCAUGCAUGCAAUUUACCAUGGCCGUAAUUAAAUCUACCAUGCAUGCAUGCCCUCGGCUUCUUGGAGGAACUAUCAACUAUUUUACUAGCCAUGAUCAUCCUCCAUAGGUUAAAAAGAGAGAACAGAGAUCUUUAUUUAAUCAUGAUUGUAUGCAUUCCAUAUAUUGGUAUGCUUUGUCCUGUAUGAUCUUCAGUCACAGAUAUCAUCUGGAGAUCUGCUGAAAGUGUAGAAACCAUCACGUUUAGAGAAUAAUGAAUGGGGACUCUCGUGACAAUUUUAAUCUACGUCAGGUAAAUUGCAUGUGGUAGUUAAUUACUUGAGGUAAUUAAUUAGAUUUAAUUUAAUCUAAUUAGAACUUCAUGUAAGAGCUUAUUAAUUAGGCCAUGCAUGCAAGUGCAGGUAAAUCUCUAUGGCGAGUAUAUAAAGGUCUUGCCCUCCUCUUCUUCGAUAUCGACUGCCCUGCUUCUCCCCUGCCCGGGUGCGUCUAGUCCCCCCCCCACCCCCACUGUCUCUGUUCGCUUCUUCCUUCCUUUUUUAUUUUUUUACCCCUUUCUAACCCACCUGCCUCGCUUUUUUUGUUUUCCCUUUUUUUUUUUUUUUUUUUCUUGCUUUGGAUGAGGAACAAAAAUAGAAAAAAGGAUUUGUGUAGCAUUUCGGUACCGAGCAAGGCUGCGUUGCUGUGCCAGAGGAAGGAUAGCUAAAGUGAUUCGGUAUACCCGAAAUACACCUUUGGUACAAAAUUGACGAUCUCACAAAGAUGCAAUAUCAGUAGUUUUCUAUUUACUGAUCCCAUCUUUCACGGAAUCGAUUCCCCUUUUUGAAUGUACAAAAAUUUGUGGAGCUCAGCAUGUCUGGAAGCACGGGAGAACGUUCUUUUGCUGAUAUUAUUACCAGUAUUCGAUACUGGGUUAUUCAUAGCAUUACUAUACCUUCCCUAUUCAUUGCGGGUUGGUUAUUCGUCAGUACGGGUUUAGCUUACGACGUGUUUGGAAGUCCUCGGCCAAAUGAGUAUUUCACGGAAAGCCGACAGGGGAUUCCAUUGAUAACCGGCCGUUUUGAUUCUUUGGAACAACUCGAUGAAUUUAGUAGAUCCUUUUAGGAGGCCCUCAAUGACCAUAGAUCGAACCUAUCCAAUUUUUACAGUGCGCUGGUUGGCUGUUCACGGANAGAUAGAGUUUCGGCGGUUGCUAAAUGCUUAAAUAAGUGUUGGUAAAUUAGCAGCACUCUUUUAGGUUAUAGCGACACUCUUUAACUGUCACUAUAUACCUAGCGACUCCACAUAUAGCAACACUUUUUAAAAGUGUCGGUAAUUUUAGCUAGCAGUACUUUUUUGACAUGUACUUAUAUUUAAAAAUGUUGCUAUAAAUCGUUUUUGUUGUAGUGAUGUCGCAUAAAAUAUAUUUUGUUGUAAUGCUAAAUAUAUCUUUUAUGAAUAAUGCUACGCUCGGUUUCAGCUUGGAAGUAGAAUUUUGACUAUAAAGUGAUUUAGUUCCUUUCGGUGAAGUGUUUUCAUUUUCAUAGAAGUACUUAUCUAUUAAUAUUUUUUUAUAAUAAACUAAAGUAGGUGAAGAACCACAAAGGCCUCCUAGAUGAGGAGACAUGCUAUUAUUAUUAUUAGGGACAAUUGAGAAUAAUGCUCUUAUAAUUAAAGUUACAAAAUUAUUUUUUGUAUUUUUAUUUUUACAAAACUUUGAAAUUUUAUCUGUGUUCAUGUAAGCUACAAAUGUACUAGGGACAAACUGAAAUUACAUACCUAUAAAGUUAGAAUAUUGUAUAUUUAUUAUGAGCUAGAAUAUUUCUGCGACUUUAAAGUACGGAAGCUUUCUUGCUUUAUAAGUUGUCUUUGAUAAUGGGAUAUCCGAUUUGGCGAUCGAUUUUGUUAGAUAUAAUAUACAGUAAAUAUUGAAACUAUUUAUAAAUAAAAUUUUAUAAUUUUUUGACUUCUUUCACCUCGUAAAUAAGUAGCCUUAAAAUGAAUGGCAUAAAAUAAAAUUUUAUAAAAAACAAUAUUAAAAAACUUAAAUUUCAAAUUAAAAGUACCGAUCUAAUUUUUGAUGUUAAAUAGAAUUUUUUUAUUAAAAUUUUAUGUAAUUUGGAUUGGUUUACACCGUUGAACUUUCAAGCUGCUGCAUCGGCCGUUAAAAUAGUCAUUUUGAGACCCUUUGGUCACUUAGUGAAUGAUGUUGAAAAUUAUAAAAUUUGGUUUUUAAAAAUUCUAAUAGCGUAGAUUAUGCCUAAGAAAGCAGACCGUCGAAUCAGAUAUCCUAUCAUCGAAAAUAACUUACAAGCACGAAAACUUUCGUACUUUCCACAGCAUAUGAGAUUUAUUACUAGGCACUUUGAAAUAUUUAUAUAUAUAUAGAGAGAGAGAGUCCAGCUACUAUACUCUUAUCAGUAUGAUAGCCUUCGUAUUCAUAAGUUGUUUUCAAUGAUAGAGAUUCCGAAUCGACGAUCCAUACAGUUAAACAUUAUCUAGAGCAUUUAAAACUUCUACAAAUCAAAUUUUAUAAUUUUUUGAUAUCAUUUACCUUACGAUCAAAAGCUCACAAAAUUGACAAUUUUUAACGGCCGAUAUGAUAUAUUUGCUAGUUUAACGGUGAAAAAGAAUCGGAAUAGGUUGAAUUUUUGAUAGAAAAUUCUAUUCAUUACCUAAAUAAAGAUCAAUAACUUCGAUCAUAAAUUGAAGGAUCCGAUCAUCAAUUUUUAAUAUGUCAUUCGAUUUUAACCGUUCAUUUUAUACCUGCUUGAUGGACUUUAUAAUGAUUUUGAAGAAUUACAAAAUUUAUUUUCUAAAGUUUCAAAUGCUCUAGAUCAUUUUUAACGGUGUGGAUCGUCGAUUCGAAAAGUCCAACAUCGAAAACAACUUAUGAGUACAAAGGGCUAUAUAUAUAUAUAUAUAUAUAUAUAGUAUAUGAUACAUACGUGACGGCUAGCUAUGGCUAUCGAAGCACGUAGCCUUCCGUGCUUCCAGCUCAUUUUCCGAUGUUCGCGAGCUUUCGAAUUGUCGAUACGGCUCCGUUAAACUUAUCUAGCGUAUUGAAGUACCUAGAAAUAAUAAAUCUUAUGAAUUUUACGAUACUCCAUGUUACUAGUGAACGAAGGGCUUAAAAUAUCAACGCUGAAAAUAAAAUCUUACAAACUGUGAUAAUAUACAUUAAAAAUUUUACAACACCAUAUUGAUCUUGUUUUAGUAUAGUAUAAAUAAUUUCUAUCAAAAUUGCACGUGAUUGAUAUUUCUAAUCACGCGUUAACAUGCAAACACGACCAACUACGACCAUUGAAAUGUGUUGAUUUUGGAGCCAUUCAUCAUCUAGCAAAUAUAUCGUAAAAUAAAGAAAUUCUAUUUUCUACGUACUUCAAAUAUCUCAGAGAUCAAGUUUAGACGAAGCCGGAUCGAUGAUUCGAAAGUCGCAACAUCAAAAAACGUACUGGAAGCACGGAAGGCUCCGUGCUUCCGAUAGCAUAGUAGCACUCACUCUAUAUAUAUAUAUAUAUAUAUAUAUCUAGGCUGGAAUAUUAUUAAUAGUACCAAUGACUUGGUGUUAUUAAGUUUUCUGCCCUUGGAUUAAAAGAUGUGUGGUUAGAAUGAUGUGGGCCCCCUAGGUUUGAGUGGGUGGUUAGUUGAAUAGUAUAAUCGAACGGAUGAAAAUGAUAAAAGAGAUAAAUCUAACAGCAGAAAACUUGAUAGCACCAAAUGCUUCGUGUUAAUGAUAGUAUCUCAGUCGGACCAUAUAUAUAUAUAUAUAUAUAUCCGGCUGCUAUGCUAUUGAUAACACCAAGCACUUGGUGCUAUCAAGUUUUCUGCCGUUAGAUUAACCCUUUUGAUUAUUUUUAUCCGUUAGAUUAUGCUAUUCAACCAACCACGCACUCAACCCUAGAGAGCCCACAUCAUUCUAACCGCACAUUUCUCAAUCUAAUGGCUAAAAAAUUAAUAGCACCAAUAGCUUGGUCACCAAUAGCUUGGUGCUAUUGAUAGCAUUCCAGCCUAAUUAUAUAUAUAUGACUAUAGAUUGUAUAGAAUUAGGCUACUAUACUAUCUAUAGUACCGGAGCUCCGGUACUAUAGUCUUGUUUUCGAUCUUAGGGUAUUUAAAUUAAUGAUCCACACCGUUAAAUAUGAUCUAGGGUAUAUGAAGUUCUUAGGAAUAAAAUUUUAAUUUUUUUCGACAUCGUUUAAUUAGUAAAUAAAUUAUGUCAAAAUGGUCGGUGGAAAUUGAAUAAUCUUUAAAAUUUGAACAUAGGACUUUUAAAUUCAAGAUCUAGAUAGUUUAAAGUAUUUUCUUUCAAAAUUUGAAGAAAUUUAGAUUCUUCUACACCGUUAAACUCCAAACUCGUCAUAGUAGCCAUUGAAAAUUGAUAAUUUUGAAAUGGUUUGAUCAAAAAGUAAACUAUGUUGCAAAAAUAUAAAAUUUUAUUUCUAAAAACUUUAAAUACCCUAAAUCAGUUUUAACGGUGUCGAUUGUUGAUUUGAACACCCUAAAAUCGAAAACGAGACAAUAGUACCGGAGCCCUGGUACUAUAGAUAGUAUAGGAGACUAGCUAUAUAUAUAUAGAGAGAGAGAGAGAGAGAGAGAGAGAGAGAGAGGAAGAGAUGAGAGAGAGAGAGAGAGAGUGGGUGGUAUGUUUAUGGAAGCACGGAGCCCUCCGUGUUUCCAAGUUGUUUUCGAUGUUCGGACUUCCGAAUCGACGAUCGGCCUCCGUAAGUUGAUCUAGAGUAUUUGAAGUACCUAGAAAAUAAAUUUUGUGAUUUUUCAAUAUCAUUUGCCUAGUGAUCGAAGGGGCUCAAAAUCAAUAAUUUUAUGGCCGUGGUGAGCCGGUUGCAAGUUUAACGGUGUAGAAAUAUUCAAUCAUAUGAAAAUUUUGAUAGAAAAUUCUUUAUACCAUAUAAAACAGAUCAAUAACUUUGAUCUAAAAUUUUAAUGUCAUAUCAUCAUUUUUGUAAGAUUUUUAUUUUCAGCCGUUGAUUUUGAGCCACUUCGAUCACUAGGCAAAUUAAUGAUAUCGGAAAGUCGCAAAAUUUAUUUUCUAGGUCUUCAAAUACUCUAGAUCAAGUCUAACGGAGCCGAUCGUCGAUUCGAAAGUCCAAACAUCGAAAAUAAAGUGGAAGCACGGAGCCCUCCGUGCUUCCAUAAGCAUCCUAGCCGCACUCUCUCUCUCACUCUCUCUCUCUCUCUCUCUCUCUCUCUCUCUCUCUCGCUAUAUAUAUAUAUAUAUAUAUAUAUAUAUAUAGUCCAGCUACUUUACUUUUAUGAACAUUAACUUUUUUAUACUCAUAAGUUUUUUGGCCCUUAGAUUUAUUUCAUUAAUCAUUUCCACCCGUUAGAUCAUACUAUUCAACCAACUACCCACUCAACCCUAAAGGACCACUAUCAUUCUAAGUGGGGACCACCAUCAUCCUAACCACAUAUCCCAUCAAUCAACGGUUAAAAAUUUAUAAGUAUAAGUAGGUCUAAGAGUAUAUUAGUCCCAGCCUAUAUAUAUAUAUAUAUAUAUUUAUUUAUUUAAAGGCAAAUAUAUCUCCCGACUAGUUAAAAGCACCUUAUAUUAUAUAUUAAAAAGACUCUUUUGUUAACGACCAAAGAUAUUCUAUCCAAUUGGUCAGUAUUACUGAUGGGCAAAAUACUCAUAAUACUAAAAUAUGAUUAGUUUUGAUCUGUCCUGCAAUGUAUUUUUAGGUUUCAAAAGUUUAUUUGUAAAAAUAUAUAAAAUAUUUUUAAAGUUUAAGAGAAAUAAACAUGCAAUAUUCCUAUAUAGUUUUUAGGGAAAACUUCAAAAACCCCUCUGUGGUUUCACACUUUUUCAUUUUAGUACCUUGUGGUUUAAAGUGUAUCAAGUUAGUACCCUGUGGUUUCUCACUUUAUCACUUUAGUACCCUGUGGUUUAAAGUGUAUCAAAUUAGUACCCUGUGGUUUUGUACUUUAUCACUUUAGUAGCCUGUGGUUUCACACUUUAUCACUUUAGUACCCUAUAGUUUAAAAAACCACAGGGUACUAAUUUGAUACAAAAUCAAAACCACAGAGUACUAAAGUGAUAAAAUGCAAAACCACAGGGUACUAACUUGAUACACUUUAAACCACAGGGUACUAAAGUGAUAAAGUGAGAAACCACAAGGUACUAACUUGAUACAUUUUAAACCACAGGGUACUAAAGUGAAAAAAAUUAAAACCACAAGGGGGUUUUUUGAAGUUUUCCCUAGUUUUUAUUACUCAUUAGUUUAUCUAUAAAAGGGUUAGAUACACUUAACUCAAAGCACAAGAAAAUUCUCACGAAGCUCAAGGUCAUUUGCUGCAACUCUAAAAGAGCAAUGUCAACAGUAUUGACUUAUUUUAAUUUAUUUUAUUUUUCUUUUUAUAUAUGUACAACAGGUAUAAGCAAGAACUAGCUAUUACAGGGAUAGGUACAAGUAUGGGGAUAAGAAAAAUAGCGUUUGGAUGAAAAUUGGGUUGUUCCCGAGGAUAAGAAAAAUAUUAGGAAGUUUUAUAUAGAAAAUGGAGGUGUUGGUGGGUAUAAGCGAGAACUACUAUUCUCGGAUAAAAAAUUAGCGUUUGGGUAUAAAGGGGGGAUAAGGGCAUAUCCCUAUCCCUAUUCCCAAACCAAACAGUGCCUUAAUAUUUAGUAAGAGUUAUAAUAGUAGGUUGUGAACAACAAACAUAUAUAGUGGUUUGUCACCUCUAUAGAUAUCUAGUGACAUUAUUUGAUACAUUCCGAACAAUUUAAGUUGUCAUUUGUGACACUUCAAAAUUUAAAAUAACUAUAUAUGUAUAAAAUAUAAUAGGGCUAAAUUUUUUAUAUAUCUCGACUUUUUUUUUUGAGAGAGAUAGAUAGCAUGCUACUCGUUUCGUUUAUUUCAUUUAUAAAUAGGCUUAGCUGAGAAUGUGAUCAACUAGGAUUCGAACUUAGGAUCUCGGAUACCAACCGCCAAGCCCUUUGCCACUUGCGCUAGAAACAGUCGAUCUCUUAUUCUGACUAUAAUAUGUAAAAAAGUGUAGUUCUAAAAUAAAUAUACUGACACACACUCUGGAAAGCAAGAUGUCACUUAAUGAUGCUACGCCACAGCACAUGCCCUAAUAUUUGCGCGAAACGAGACAAAUAAGUCUCAUAGUUUAGAGUAUUUGAUAUAUAUCAACCUGCUAUUCUAAGUAGUUGUGAUAUAUACAAAAAAAAGUGUUUAUAAUUAAUGAACUGGCAUUUUGUCUUAUGUUAUUUAAUUAUGUUGUUAUAAUUUUCCUAAAAUUUUUGUCACCUUUCUAAUUUGCUGAACUCGUCCCCUCUGUCGCCUUAUUCGAACAGAAUGCCGCUUAUUCUCUUGUCUUCGCCUCAGCCCACAAUUACCGUCCGCAUAAUUAAUUUAGGAAAAAUUUCCAAUACCACCCCUAUAAUUUCGUAUUUUUUUAAUUUUACUACUUUACUGUUUAAAGUGUAUCAAUUUAGUACCCUGUUAUUUUAUUUUUCUCUUUUUAUUAUUUCCUCCACUAUUUUUUUUCGUUAAAUCAAUGACAAAGUUAAAAUUAAAAGAUACAAAAGUGAAUAUUUGAUAAACUUAGGUAGAAUAUCUGAAGUUUUUUGUAUAUAAUUUAAGAAAUGUUAAUGGAGGAGCUGAAAAAAAAAAAAAUCAUAGGGUACUAAAUUGAUACACCUUAAAUAACAAGGUAUUAAAGUGAGAAAGUGCCAAAUCGUAGCGGAAGAGCUGACAAAGAGAGAAAAAUAAAACUAUAGGGUACCAAAUUGAUAUACUUUAAACCACAUGGUAUUAAAGUGAGAAACUGCAAAACCACAGAGGCGGCAUUUAAAAGUUUAUCCAUUAAUUUAUAAGAUAAAGGACGAAGUUGCAAAUUAAAUAAAACAAAGGCCUUUUUGCAUAAUAAGUUCAUUUAUUUUGUGCUUUUGCAAAUCUUACCAAUUCUUUUUUUUUGAAUCUUACUGAUUCGGUCCCUUUUUUUAAGAAAUAGGACUAAAUUGACUCUCUUCCGACAUAUAAGAUAAAAUAUAUAUUAAAUUUUUUGAAAAGUAUAAUAAAUAAAUUAUAAUUAUAAAUGUAUUUUUUUCCGGAGCAACGAGAACUCCAUCUAAUACAAACAUAGAAAGCUAAAUACAGUAAGUAAAAAAAAGGUGUAUAAUAUAUUCUUCUAAAUAGUAUAAUAUAUUUUAUUAUUUUUAUAAAUAUUACACAAUUUUUAUAAUAUAUUAUAAUAUAUUAUACGAUUUGCAGAUAAUAUUAUAACAUUAUUCGUAACAUAUUAUAUAGAUUGUACAGUAUAAUUUGACACUUUAUUUUAA